rnacentral:lncRNA from 1 species
UGAUUGCAAUUAGUUUGUCUUUUAAUUAAAUUAUUGCCGACAAACACUAUCACGACCCACGUCCGCUACUUGUGUGAAUGUGUGUAUAAAUAUCCGCAGCAUAUUAUCAAACCUGAAGCGCGAUCAUCUUUAAAUUUUGGUUAGGGUUCAUCAGACGUUGGAAGAUAUCUUUUCUAAUUUGAAGAAGAUGGAAACUCCUUAUGCAGGUUCUUAGGCCAUGUUCAGUUGAAUGUCAUUUAUAAUUUUUAUUUUAAUAUUAUGUAUUUAUGAAUAUAAUUAUUGUUAUGAUUUUUUCAAGUAAGAACGGAUGGUCUGAGGGUAAUUCAAUAACUAUGUACAGUAUUAUUAAUGAUGAGAGCGUGAAUGACAAUUUGGAUUUUAUUCUCGUCUCUAAAUACGGAAAAAAUCUCGACUAUAGUGGUUAAGUGCUAUGUAACUCUUUCGUAUUAUAUUUAAUUAAAUAAAAUGAUUUGUUAUUAUUACUUGUCAAUUAUGUGAGUGUCUCUGCUUGAUUUAAUUCAACUUAUAAAAUCUCUUGAGAUAUAUAAGAGAUUUUCUUUAUUCACUUUCAUGUACAUCAUCUUCUUGUAAAAAGAAAUUAAUAAAAAAAAUAUCAUUGUGUGCAAAGUAUUGACUAAGUUAGUGUAUUCAUGUUAGCUUAAUUGUGCUCUCUCUUCUUAAUUUUUUUGUUUUUUUUGGUUAAAACAAACUCCACAUAUUGUUGGUUAGCUAAUUCUUGCAGCUAGCAAGUGAUCAUUUUCUUUCCCCUACUGCAGUAGCAUCAAAUCCUUACAAUUACAUAUCAAGUGGUAUUCGAGCCGUCAAAUGAUCCAUGGAAACACACAACAAAUCAAAUGCUGAAUUUUGCGAAGAUAUUCACGAAAUCCUUGCUAUACAUGAGUCUAGUUUAUUUCAAACUACGCGUGCAAUGUUCCCGUUAUUGUUUAGUAUGUCUUUUGUUGUUUGCAAUGUAGUUAGGGAUGCUAGCGGGUAGGAUUUGGUACGGGUUUGACAUUACCAAAAGCCGCAUCUGUAAAAAAAUUUUAAUUAUCAAAUUCAUUGUGGGUUUUAUUUAUUCGUUUUUUUUCUUUUAACAAAGCCCAUCAGCUGUGGGUUUAAAUGGUACCUGAUGGAUAUUUUGUGAGUUCCUACAUAUAAAAUCACACUUGCAACAAAACCUAAAAACUUAAAUUACGCAAUUCAAAAUAUAAAUUUAUAAUCAUAGUCUAAAAAACCACAUAAAAUACUUAAUUCUAGAUUUUAUUAAUGUAAAUGAGAAAUGAAAAUUUUAAUAUUAAAAUAAAUACACAAAAUAUAUCAAUUUAACACAAAUUUUCAAAGUUAAUUAUCAAAUACAGAAGUCUAUCGCAACUCAAAGUGCUUUCAAUUGAAAACGAAAAAAGAGAAAGAGAAAAAAAACAAAGAACUACAAAUCAAAGUAGCACCCAUGACCCAUUUUGCAGUCUCAUUCAAUACCACUAGCACCCAUCCAACACGAUUUUUCUAAAGAAAGUAUAAAGUACAAAAUUACAAUAAGCAUAUCAUACUCCAUGCUUUAAGUUAAAGAUCCUUAUAUAUUUUUAUGAAUAAUUUUUUAAUGACAUUUUAUGAUUAAAAUUAAAAAUACAAACAUUCAAAUAAGAAUGUCGGACACUUGCGCAACUAUUUACCAAAUUUUUUCUCUAUAAAAAUCGACCUGCAACUUUCAAUAGGUAUAAAUUUAUAAUAUCAAACUUGAUUGCAGAUCGCAAAAAUUAUCCGUUGCGGCCAAGACUUUGGAUUUGCGAUGAUUUUACCACCCUAAGUGUAGUUAGUAUUGUAUAUCAUGUGGCUCUUAUAAAAAGCCUAGAAGAUGUUUGAAUAACGGGGGAGACACAUAUCUCCCAAAGAUUUUCUCUUUUUCAAAUUAUUAUUUUUUCUCUAUUAUUGUAACUUCGAAUCCUUAUAAAUUACAGAUUGGAGACAUGAACACAAUGUUUUGACAUAGUGGACUUUUGGCUUGUCCAGAGAAAUUUAGGAUAGAUUUUUACGCACUAAGGCUUUAUUUACUAUUGAGGUUUUAGAACUUUUAAGCCACACUAGAAAUUUGUAUUGUUUUGAUAGAGUUGUAGUCUUUGAUAUGUGAUUGGUAGUAAUCAAGUGUUAUGUUUACAAUAGUUAAAGGCAUAUUGAAUCAAAAUCCACUUCUAAGGGCUUGAUUGAGUGAUUGUAAAGCAGGUUUUUAGUUUGCUAGCCACUCAAGUUCAAAUAUUGGAACCACAUAGCUUUAUAGCCAAGUGAGAGAACUUGUGCCCUAAAAAUUGAGGGGUGCAUAUCGAGUUUUACCACCAAUAAAAAUUGGUGUUAAAACUUUAAUUUCCGUCCUAUCAAUGGAUAGGGGUAAUUAGGAGUUUACAUCCCCUCCUAUUUAUAGACAGGGGCUAUUAGGAAUAUUAAAAAAAAGUUCAAAUAUUGAAAAUAUAGGUAUGUUUUAUAAAAUUCAUAAUAUAAAGACACAAAAUCAAGAUAAAUAUUUAAAAAUUUAGAACCAUGAGAGCAUGACUUGUAAGUUUCAAAGAAGUAUGUGCAAAUAUAUGCAUUAUCGAUGCCCAAUUAAGGAUAAGCAUUGAGAUCGGGUUAACCCGAACCGAACCGAACUUAAAAUUGAUUUUGGAUUCAAUUUCGUUAUGGUUGAAGCUUUCAACUGAGUUCAAAACUUAAAAAUGAUUGGGUUGUAUUUCUGUUUGAAUUUAACCCCAAAAGACUAAUCAAUCCAAUCGAGUUAAGUAAGCAAAUUAAGACAAAAUAUCCCAAAAAAUUAAAACUAACCCUAACUAAAAUAUUCGACCGCGGCCUCCUCGUUUUCUUUUCUUCUUCCUCCCCUCGCUCACCCCUAAUGCCCUUCAUGGAAAUCCAACAGCGCCAAACGCGUUUCGGCCGCUCGCACGUGUGAGAAAUUUUCCUUCUCGUAGGAUUAUUCGUUUCCUUCGCUUGCAUGCCAGCAGAAUAUUCAGGCCGAGGAUUUUUCCGGGCCUAGCCCAACUAUAAGCUCGCCCGAAACCCAAUCAUAAGUUCAUAACGUUUAGCGUUUGCUAUUACUAUAAUUUUUUUUAACCAAUUUUCACAUUCAUCAACAUAGGCUGACAUAUUUUGUAGAAAAAAAAUUAAAUAAAAAUACAAGCUCACGAAAUUCCUUUUCCGAUGUGGGAAUCUAUCUACACCUUUCACGUGCUUUUUUUUUUGGUGGUGGGGGAUUCACUUGCUUUUGUUUGCAUUGCCUUAUUGGAUAAAAGUUUGUAGAACAUCGUCUGUUUGGUUAAAGCCGAGCAUGAGUGAAGAAGCGAUCUAAAGUUUAAAUCUUACUCACACUUAAUUUAGGGUUGGGGAUUAAUUGACGUAAUAUGUAUUAACGAAUUCGAAAGACAAUUAAAAAUUAAAAGAAAAUAAAAAAGUGCUUUAUUUUUUAUGAUGGUAAUUUGUUUAGAUGAUGAAAACUCUUAGAGUGGUAUUAUCAAUACAUAGUUUUGAGCGUUGCCAACGUGAAUAAUAUUUAAUUUCCUUUAUAUAGUUAUAUCUCAACUAACAUUUAAACAGAAGUAAGUUGUAAAAAAAAUGAACCAUUGAGAUUUGAGAGAACGAAAAACUAAAAAAAAAAAGUUAAAAAAUUAGAUCUCAAUAAAUUUACUUGAGAGCUACUUUACUGAUUAGUGAAGAGAAAACACAAAGAAUAAUGAUGUAUCUCAAUUAAUAGGACAGUUUUUGUAUUUUUCGUUUAUUCAAGAAUCACGAAACUUCAUUUAAACUUGUUAUGUCAUUGAUAAUAUAUUAAUAUUGAACAAUUAAUGUAGGAGACAUUCCUUUCCAAUUAUGCCCAUAUAUUAAUUAAAGACCACCAAAAAGUUCAGGAAUACUAUAGUAAUUUAAGUCAACAAUUUAUGUGCUUGAAAUCAGCAGAUCAAACUCACUUUAGAAUAAACUGAGAAAUCAAUAUCAUAUUCUCUGAUUCUACGAUUUCAAUUCAUCUUAUUCUUCAACUGAAAACUUGGUUGUAUUUCGUUUUAUUUUAUUUUUAUUUUUAUAUAAAGAUAAAUAUAAAAUAUAAAUGACGAGGAGACUAUAAAAGUAAAAUUAAAAGAAGAGCACGAGUUUUAUUAAACAUGACUCUUUUCAUCAUUUUGCCAAAGUGAAUGUAUCUACAUAUAAACUAAAGAAACACAUUUGUUUGUAUUGGCUUUUUUAUUAUAUUUUUAAUAAUAAGUCAUUUGUCAAUGAACUUAUAUCAAUUUUUACGAAAAUAAUAGGUGUUAGUUAGAUUAUUCAAAUGGCAAAACCUCUUGGGAUAGAGCUUGUAAUUUAGUGGCUCAUGAAUUGUCUAAAUUGACACUACCGAAUUAUUGUAUUUGGUUAAAAAAGCUCCUACUCUGCUUCAACUUUAUUAUCCUAUGAUGUUUAUUAAUAAAUAACAAUUUUAUUGAAAAAAAAGACCUCUUGAAAUGAUACAAAAGAUUUGGGAUAUGAAUCUCACUCGAAUUUAGCUUGAGGUUGGCAUUGUUACCAAAAUAUUUGAAGAUAGAAUUUUUUUUAAUUAAAAAUCAAAAGAUUUUUUUUUUGGGGUUCAUACUAGUUAGUUUUAACUCAUAGUGAGAUUUAAACAAAAACGGAAUAAUAAAUCUUGAUAUCCUGACUCAUGGAUAACGUAUAGAUAAGAUAGUAAAAUUUAUUGUGUCGAAAAUAAGAGGUUUGAAGUUUGAAUUUCGCUCACAUAGGUAGUAAGAGAAUCAAAUUAUUGAUAGAUUAAAUUAAUUAAAAAAAUUUCUGAUACCCAAAACAACAUAUCAACAAAAUUGAAAUAAAAGAAAAUUGAAGAGAAAAACCAUUGAGAGAACGAAAAAUUAACACAAAAAAAUUUCUAUAACUAAUUGUAUCAGUGUGCGCCAACUUCACUUAUUAAAACAUGGUUAUUUCAUUUUAAUGGAUAAUCAUUUUGACACCGGUCAAAUUUAAAAGUGUUAAAAAAUAUGGGCGAUUUUUCUUUCCACCUAUGCCCAUUAACUAAUAAAAGAACCGCCGGAAGGGUUCGGGGAUAAUAUAGUAAUUUAAACUAACAGUUUCUGUGCUUCAAAUCAUCAAAUCAAACUCACACCUCACAAAAGCAGAGAAAUCAAAUGGUUUCCGACUCUACGCUUUAAAUUCAGCUUCAUUUCUUCAACUGAAGAAUCGGUCGUCUCUCAUUUUUUAUUUAUUAUAUAAAGAUAAAUAUCUAAAUUUAAAUGGCGAGAAGAGCGGACGAGGAAUACGAUUACUUGUUCAAAGUGGUAUUAAUCGGCGAUUCGGGAGUCGGCAAAUCGAACUUACUCUCCCGAUUUACUCGUAACGAGUUCUGUUUGGAGUCCAAAUCCACUAUUGGCGUCGAAUUCGCCACCCGCACUCUUCAAGUAACUAACUUUUCCUCUUUCACUUCUCUUCAUUUUUAUUAGUUAAUUAAGAUCCAGUUAAUGUAAUUAAUUUUAUUUAAUCUUUCAAAUAAAGUUCUAGAUUAGGUUAACUUAGAUUCAUGUGAAGUUGAAGUGAUUUACUUUCGAUCUCUUUUUCGUCCUAUGUUUAUUUGUACUUACUAUUACUUUUUUUUGGGUUAAAAUUUUCGUUUUUGAAGUGUUUACUGAAUAAAUUUCUGAGCUUUAUUUGUGUAUGCUGAUUGAUUUGUGAUUUUAAUUUGUGAUUUUUUUUUUUGGAAUUUAAAUUUGAAUGCUUUUUAAGUUGAAUCUGAAUGUGUUGGGCUGCGAUUUAAUUAAGUCAUCUGUGAGCGCCAAAUUGUGAUAGACUGAUAGCUAUAUAUUGGGGUGAAAAUUUGGGAUUUAAAGUUAUGUAUUUAAGAUGCAGUUAAUUCGCAAGUGACAAUUAUGGGCCGGCAGAUUUUGUCAUUGGAAGACUGUUCUCCACAUGUUGAAGUUAGUGAUGCAAGUUGAAACCAAUCUGUUUAAGCUUGGGGUUUCAUGUCUUGAAUCAAGGCUGUGACUUGGGGUGGGUUGAAAGUAUUAUAGCUUUAGCUAUUCCUGAAGUGAUCUGUUUAGACUCACCGUGAUGAGACCGAGUGCUGUACAGUAAAAUUAAAGGAAGUUGGAAAAUAUUUACUUAGCAUUUCGCGUUACUAAUGUUGAACUAAUAAAACCUAGCCCCUAUCCUAGUGAAUUUAUGUUAAAAAGCUAUGCACGCAUUAAGUUAGUGCGAGAGUCUGCUGAAGCAUACGUCAGCUGUGUGUUUGGAGCUGAGUAUUCUUCAUUCCACAUUUUGGGUUUUGGUUGACCUCCAGCAUGACUCAACCCACUUGAGUUAAAAGCCCUAGAGUUACAUUCUACCCAUGAUGUCUUAGGUUUGGAAAAGAUGGGGCACAGGUUACAAAAUUUUUUUGAGUUUUGGAUUGAAGGAACAAAAUUGUUGAUGUCUAGCUCACAAUAUUUGAAGUCACUCUGUGCUUCAUCAUGUAAAAUGGAUUGAAUUGCUGUAAGAUCAGGUCAAAUUAAAAUGUUUAAACUCAUUUUUAAGAAACGAAUUCUCAAUUGGACCAGCCUUUCACAGAAGCUGAUAUCACAGAAGCUUUGAGUCAGAUGCAUCCAACCAAAGCCCCUAGCCCAGAUGGUCUCCCAGUAGUAUUUUUCCAAAAGCUUUAGAAUUCAGUAAGCGAAGGAGUUAUAGCCACUUGUCUGCAUAUCCUCAAUGAUGGAGGUAAUAUUGCUCCUUUGAAUCAUACAUACAUUGCUUUAAUCCCCAAGAUAGCAAAACCUAGGACUCUGAUGGAGUAUAGACCAAUCAGCAUAUGUAAUGUAAUUUAUAGGAUCAUUGCAAAGACUGUAGCGAAUAGGCUGAAGCUAAUCUUAGAUCAUGUUAUUUCGCCAACUCAGAGUGCUUUUAUGCCAAAUAGGCUCAUAACUCAUAAUAUAAUUAUUGGGCAUGAGUGUCUUCAUAAGUGGACAAAGCUAUGUUCCAGAGGUGAGAUAGGAAAUUCUCCCGCACGACACAGCAGAAACAAACUUUCCCUUUCAUUUUCUUUUCUCUUUCUCGCUCUCCAAACAGAGCAAAAGGACCGUCGCAAGAUUCUUCACUUCCAUCCAAAAUCAUGAGCAACGAAUAGUGAGCCUCCCUGUUUCCUUCCUUUUUUUGAUAUUAACAUUGUUAACAUAUACUCAUUUUAAUUUGACAAUACUUCAACUUUUUUUAUUUUUUUGCCUUUUCAUUUUUUUUGUGGAAGCAAUUAUCUGUUCAAGCUGUUGCUUAUCGGAGACUCGUCUGUCGGAAAUUCCUGCCUGCUGCUCUGAUUUGCUGUCUGUUGACUUUUCCUUUCCCUUCUUAUUUUCUUUUUUUAUAUUAAUUACUUUCUAUUUUAGCUUUUUGUUCUCUGAAUUUGUGUUAUUAAAAUGAUAAUUUAGAUGAUAAAUAAUUGUUAUUCUUGUAAAUUUAGGUUUUCAUUACGUUAAUUGUUAGUUUUUAGGUUUAUUAAUGUAAUUUUUUUUGUUUUUUUUUUUCAAUUUUUCAGGAUGAUUCUUAUGUCACCGCUACAUCAGUACCAUUGGAGUUGAUUUUGUGAGUCUCUCUUCUAUAUAUAUGUAUAUAUGUGUAUCAGUUAUAAUAUGAGUCUAUGUACGUGUAUGUAUGUAUGUGUAUGUAUAUAUGGAAAGAAAUGUUGGCAGACUUCAGCAUUUUACUCUUUUUUUUUUUUUUUUGGGCAGAAAAUAAGAACUGUGGAGCUGGAUGGGAAGACGAUCAAACUGCAGAUUGUGAGUCAAAAUUUCCUUUUAUCUUGUAUUGAGAGAAAUUCGAUUUGUCUUAUUUAGUGAAGGUUAUGUUCAAGAACCUUGUCUUAUUUUCUUUGUUUGAAGAGUGAUAUGUUGAAAUGAGUGUAUUUGUCUUAUAAACAUCAUUUAGGUAAUGUCUGAUGUUUGAUUGUUUUUCAUCUGUUUAGUGGGACACUGCUGGACAGGAGCGAUUCAGGACUAUAACUAGCAGUUAUUACCGAGGAGCCCAUGGAAUCAUAGUAAGGAGCCUUCCCGCUUCUUGGUUUAAAUCAGAAAGUUUGUGAUUUACAUGUGACAUCUUAACAACAUUGUACUUUUCAAAAAAAAAAAUAAACAACAUUGUAUGUGUUUAUUAACUUAUUUUUCAUCUUUCGUUAAGCAGUACAUUUUCCAAUAAAUCUGUAUACAAGAUGAUGUAGUCCAAGAAUGGGAGCGAUAAUAUGAUGCAAAUUGUCUAAUAAAUUCUUAUGACAUAUGAUGUUGUCGGAAGUAAAAGUCUUGCAAUGCUCUCUUUUAAGAAAGAAUAAGUGGUAAUUUUGUUUUUCCAAUUUUUUAAUUGAGCAACUGUGUGAGAUUAAUUAAAUGUGUUGGGAUUUCAACAGAUUGUCUAUGAUGUAACUGAGAUGGAGAGCUUCAAUAAUGUCAAGCAGUGGUUGAAUGAGAUUGACAGAUACGCAAAUGACAGUGUAUGCAAACUUCUAGUUGGGAACAAAUGCGAUUUAGUUGUGAACAAGGUUGUGGACACACAGACAGCCAAGGUAUAUUCAUGACUUUUGUCGCCUGAACUUUGAAUAUAAUUUUAAACUCUUCUCAAGUGCAUUUGCUUGGUAAGUUUCUGCAUACCCAGGACACUCAAACUUUGGACAGUCUGUAUCUUGAGUUGGAAUCUUUUCUGUCAAUACGACAUGUUAAAAUAAGGGUUAUUAUCGUUUGAAUCAUUCAAGAAUUGCAAUAAAUCUAAAGUCCAUAAAAAAAUAUGAUUCCAUCAUUUUACUAUUAUAUCUAGACAAAACCCAUUAUUUUACUACAUUUCAUUGGCACCGAUAGUUGACCUGUUGGCUGACUGAUAAAAUAUCAAUUUUGCACUUUAUAUUAAUUCUUUUUUGGUUAAAAAAUAACACACAAAGUAUUACAAUAUUAUAAAUUCAAAAUAUAAAGUAGUUACAAAUAAUUCCUAUUAGCCUAUGAAUAUAAUAUUUGAUACCUCUAUUUGUGUAAUUUUUUUCCAAUGGUGAAAUUGUUAUUUUUUUUGUACUAAUGGAAAUGUAGUAAAAUCAUAAGUUUUGUAAAGAUAUAGUAGUAAAAUGAUAGACUAAAAUACUUCUUGUAGUUGUUUGAUAUAUUGUAAUUCUUAAAGUAGUCAAUUGAUAAUAUCCCCUAAAAUAAAUGUUCGUAAUAUGUUCUCAUUUUAAUGCAACUGAUUGUUUAAUAAAAUUGUAUUUCUUUGUUAAUCUUUUAUCAUGUGCAUGCUCAGUGAGAAUUUGACUUACUAGAACACAAGUUUGACUCUUCAUUUAAAUGUCUCUUGUAUCAUAUCCUUCAAUGUUGAGUGUGAUUCCAAUAAAAUUGAGUAGGGAGAUCCUUAAAUACCUUUUCCUUUUUUCCAAGGGCCUGCCAAAUUGCUCUAAGUGGUUCUACCCUUUAUCAAUGAAUAAUGAAAAUAAAAUUUUUAUUAAAGCAUUUUGUUCCUUAAAUGGUGACUAAUAGUACCCCUUUUUUUUGGGGAGGAAAGCCAAACAUGCCCAAAGAGAAUCAUUUACUUUCCUCUAAUGUAUUUUCUAAUUCGUUUUGAGCCUUGAAUGUCUGUUUUGGUGCGUAUUCUCAUUCCAUGUUGAAUCUUAUCCACAUGGACAACCCCACUUACAAAAAAGUCUAAUGAAUCUAUUGAAGUUCAUAUGAGGUUUGUGCUUUAGAUUUAGACCUCUCUCUCUCUCUCUCUCUCUCCACUUACAUGUCUUUCACUUACCUGUUUGCAUGCAUGCCCAUGCACACACUUUCAAGAUAAUACACAGUCACUCGUACUUGUGUUUUGGUUGAAUUACUGGCUGCUAACCUCUGUAAUUCAGUUUGAAACUUGCCACCCUUAGUGCUUCACUCAAAUGGUUGGUUAGGGUGAGAUCUGUAUCGUUUUCCUGGUCUCUUUCCAGGGUUAUCUAAAGGGUUUUGGCAGUCUGAUUCUUUAGGGAAUAUCAUUGCAUAAGAUAUCUAUUGUUUGUUAAUGAAUAAUUUCUAUUUAACUAGUUAUCUAUAUAAAUUGGUAAAUUUUAACUGCAUAAUUUGCAUGCAAUAAGAUUUUAUAAGAAUCUUGUUUUCAACUCAUGACUUAGACUAAUGUGAUAUGUUGAGCAUUAAGCUACAAGAUCUGCACAUCAAAGUGCUUCACAAUGUUAAGGAGAAAGCAUCUUUUUCUGCUUCUUCAUGUGAUUUAAAGUUUCCAAGGUACUUAUUCUAUAAAAUAUCUUUCAAGACUUUGGAAAUGCUUUUAUGUAUGACUGAGAGAAACUUGUUGGGUUGGUUUUUAGCAACAGACGGAGUUAUGGACUUUGUGUUGACUUGUUAUUGAUUAAGACAGUACAUCGGCUGAUCUAUUGGCAUCAAGCAGCAGAUGCAGAAAUUAUGGGUGGCAUACCAUUGUAUCCAAAUAACAUACUACAUUGAUUUUUCUGACUUUCUGUUGGUCUCCGAGUGAAAUGCAGGCAUUUGCAGAUGAACUGGGGAUUCCUUUCCUGGAGACGAGUGCCAAAGAUGCAAUCAAUGUGGAGCAGGCUUUCUUGACCAUGGCUGGCGAGAUUAAGAAAAAGUAAAAUCACUUAACUCUUUCCUUCUUGCCGACUGUUCUUAUUUAACAAUCACUAUUAUUGCUGGUUAUAUGCAUUGUGAUGAAAAUUCUGCAAUGAGUAACUUUUUACCUAAUGUUUUCUGUUGGAACAAAUUACUCUGGUAGAAAAGCCCUACAGGGUUUGAGAAAUCCCAUGAUGUGAUGAUUGUGAGCAUUUUAGACACCGUCUAUGGGUUUAUUUUGUGACUAUAAAAUGUUAAGAUUGUUUCUAGUUUUGGUUUGUAGUGCAUAAAAGGAUUCAAAAUUUGACAUCUGUCUAAAUCAGAUUAAUAACAUGAUAAUGUACAUAUGCAAGAUGUGAGGAAUUGUUUUAUCUCACCCCUAAACUUUAAGAAAUUGAAACAUUAUUAUUCAAAAUAUUUAACAUUUCCAGAAUUGAUAGUUGUCUAUUUGAGCAGUGACUGGUGGUUAUCAUGAACUGAUGUGCGGUUGUGGCUUCAAAUCUUGGUGAAACCUGUUGUCAUAUGCUGAUUAACAUAGCUAGUCUCUGAAACAAUUUGUUGAUUCACUAAUUAUGAGUUCAAAUUUGAUGCAGAAUGGGCAACCAGCCUACUGCAAACAAAUCUUCUGGAACAGUUCAGAUGAAGGGACAGCCAAUCCAGCAAAACAGCGACUGCUGUGGUUAGCCGAGCUUCUUAUUUUACUUCUACAUGUUAGCUGACUGAUUGUAGACAGUUUUAACUAUGUUGACUGCAUUAUCUUAUGAAUCUUUUAAUCUGUCAAAUAUUUAUUUCCUGCUUUAAGUUCUUUCCCGUUUAUAACAAAUUUAAUUUCUUGCUCUAUUGCAUUCCAAAUUCCUGUUAAUUUACGAGGGAAAAAGAAAAGAGACGAAAUGGGAGAAAAUGGUCAAAUUUGUUAGGGGGAGAGAGCUGUUGAAGUAGUUUUUGUUCUCGUUUAUCGUCGUGACCCUCUUGUCGCUUAUCUACGACCUGGAAGUCUGGUCAUAUCGGAUGGGUAAAGUUACCGAAACGGCAUCAUUUUGGGUGAAAUAUCAUAUUUAUGUAACACUUUUGAUAAUAUUUUUAUGCAACAAAAAAAUGUUUGCAGUACCCUUUUCACAUUGUGAAGCGCAUGAUCGGAUGAGAGCAGUCUGGAUUCUGGCAUCACAAGCUAAUGCUUUUUUUUUUUUUUGAUUACAUGAGACUAUUGCUCAUAUUACAGCUCAUAUUACAUGAGAAUAUAACUGAUAUGUACAAAUCAGCUAUAACUGGGACCAACAUACAUCAAAGCUAAUGGAGCGCUGUCCAGAUUUUAACCCUCUCAAAUAUUCGAGGGAUGUCUACUCCUCGCACUGGGACAAGGAAGCAGACUGUCUUCACUCAAUUUUAUUUGAGGAAGGAAACACCCCCACAUGCAUUGUGGGGGUUCGAACUGCUGCUCUCCAACUGCUCUCCAACUUGGAGAGCAGCAGCUCUCACCACUCGGCCAAAGGCCGAGUGGCUCACAAGCUAAUGCUUUGAUUUGCUUAGUUUGUUUUUUGUUUCUGAUAUUUUCUCGGCAUCGGGUGGGAAAUUGUUUCUCUUUUGAGUUUCUCUUUUUUUUUUUUUUUUUUUGGUUAUGGAAUUUGGAGAUAGUGUAAAUGUACGCAGAUGAAAUUGUUGGGUUGGUUUUGUUAUGGAAUUUGGUUUACUUCACUAACCAUUAAUGCGCAAAACCUCCUAAUGACCCUCAAAAAUCCCGUACAUAAUUAAAGAAUUUCAAUUUUAUAUGUACAUAAAUAAAUAACUCUCAAAUAUAUUAUUUGAUAAUCCCAAAAACAACAAUUCACUCUAAUAAAUCUCGUAGUCAAUACAUGGUCUAUAUUGCAAGUGUUUUCGAGACUAAUUGAAAAAGAAAAUACGUUGAGUGAUGUAAUUGACCUUUACUAGUUAUAAAGAACUCUAAAUAAAUUCAUAUAGGCAUAGCAGCUAAUUACAGCCUUGAUACUUCAUUUGGUUUUUGUUAAUUUUCUAUAGAGUUGUGCUGUGCAUAAAAGUUUUGUUAAAUGAAAUCGGUAGGUGAGAAUUAAUUAAUCAAUUAAUUAAGAUCCAGUUAAUGUAAUUAAUUUUAUUUGAUUUUUUUAAUUCGAGUUCUAAAUUAAUCAAUGAAUUUAGAUUCAUGUGAAAUUGAAGUGAAUUAGUUUUGAUCUGUUUUUCGUCCUAUGUUUGUCUGUGUUUACUCUUACUUUGUUUUUUUGUUUAAAUUUUUGUUUUCUUAUUGUUUACUGAAUAAAUUUCUGAGCUUUAUUUGAGUAUGAUGAUUGAUUUGUGAUUUUAAUCUAAAUGUGUUGGGCUGCGAUUUAAUUGAGUGAUGUGUGAGCGCCAAAUAUUCAAUAACUGAUAAAUUAUAUUUAUAAAUAUUAAUAGCGAUGGCACAUAAACAAUUAAUUCAAGAACUUGCCCAUAGUGAUUAAUUUAAAGAGUAUAAGUAACAUUGCAAUGCAGUUAGCCCUUGCGUGUUUAAUUAGCAAUUGAAAACUAAUGUUGCUGAUGAGGUAGAACAUUAUAACACUGUUGCUGAUGAGGCAGCUGGUAAUUCUUCUGGUGAAGAUAUUAAGACUAUUAAAGCUGAAAUGUAAUUAGAGAAAUAUAAUGCAUUCCCUUAGUUUGCUUUUUGUUUUUUAUAUUUGUUUGGCUAAUGCUUUGCUUAGAUUACUUUUUGUUUUUGAGAUUUUAUUGGCUUAGUCAUGGGGUAUUGUUUUCUCUUCUAAUUUCUAUUUUUGUUGUUAUGGGAUUUGAUUGUAGUGUACAUAUACGAAAAUUAUGUAAUCAAAUGCUUUCAAUAAAUCAUGAUUGAUUUACUAUUAAUUAAUUAAAUUAAAUUUACUCAAAUUACUCAUGUACACAAUCAAAAUAAUUUUAAUUCCAUGAUAUAUAUACACGCGAGCACACAAACAAAAUGUAAUUAACUUUGAAAUAUAAAAUAUUUAAAAUAAUCACCGUACUAACAAUUCACAAAUCGGAUUUUAUAUAAAUAGACGAAAUAAUGUUAAUCUAGCGAAUCCAGUCAUAAUAAUUUGAUUUUCAUUUAUAUUAAUUAUGUCAAACCAUGCUAUUUUAAUAAAUAGCACUUGAGAAUAUAUAUAUCCAACAAGUAAAAUUUCAAAACAAUAUUUGCCAAAAUCUAAUGAAGAGAAUAUACACGCACGCACAUAUAUAACCGUACAGCAGAACGAUAAAUAAAAGAAAAUGAAGUUUCAACGGCUGAAUAAUGCAAAUUCAUUUUUUUUAACAAGCAUUUUAUUGUUUAAUUAAAAAAAUUUGAAAACCCAUUAAAUACAUGUAAGGACUCACUGAUGCCGAACCAUAUUAAUUUAAAUUAGUUUUCAAUUGAGAUUUGAAUUUUAAAAUUACACACACAAACACACCCGAUUUAAAAAUAAUAAUAAUAAUGCUAACAAUAAAAUAUUUCAGCCGUCCUAUGUGUUAAUCGCCAAAAACGGAUUUCCAAUCUAUUACAACAUGAGGUAUAUGAGUUAACAAGUCCCAAUAUUGUCCUCCAUCCUUUCUGCACUUCUCUGCUAUCAACGGACAUCCUGCGAUCUGUAAUUGCAAAAGUGAGGAAGGCAGGCCCUUCUCCGGAAAGUAUUUGAGCUUGGGACAAUUAUGGAGUCGCAAUGCAGUGAGGUUUUGAAGAUCAACAAUUGAAGAAGAUAGGCGUUCCAGAUUUGGAAAAUUGAAAAUCUCCAGAGACGUUAGAGAGGCAGGAAUAGGAAGCGCGGUCCCUAAUCUUUUGUCCUCUAGUGGAAAUGACACCAUGUCCUCAUCACAUCCACUGAUUAAAAGAUAUCGCAGAGAGGAGAAUCUGUGAAAUCCCCGUCCCCGCUCAAUCAUUGACUUCCAAAUCUCCAUAUUACCCCAAAUAUUAAGUGACUGAAGGUUGGUGGGAAGGCCAUCUUCUUCUUCAAGGCUUGGAAGCACACCUCCUUUUCCUGCUGUUAAUUCUUGAAGAGAGCUCAGAUUGUGCAUUCCCUUGGGUAAGGCCUCUAGUCUCUUACAAUUAGAUAUCGCCAGCCUCCUGAGUUUCGCACAAGGCAAUCCCCCUUCGGGAAAGGACACCAGAUUUCCACAACUAUCUAUACUGAUUGUUUCAAGAGAUGUGUUGUUGUCCAACCUUUCUGCUAUUGACUCCAGCUUUGAACAUCCCCAAACAACGAGGGACUUAAGAGACGAAGGUAGAUUGCCAACUUCAAGGGACUCAAGCGUGGCAGGUAACUCGUUUUUUGAAAAUAUACAUGUCAGAGAUGGACAACUAAUAAUUUCUACGUGCUCGAGAAGAGAUGAGGUGUACCUUCUGCUGCUGCUGCUGCUACACAGGAUACCCUCUUCCACUGUCAAAGUCCUUAUAUUAUCGCAAUCGCUGAUGCUCAGCUGCUUGAGGCUCGGUGGCAGCUGGACAGCAGCAAUAUAUGUCAACGAACGGCAACCAUGAAUACUCAAGAUCUCGAGAGACGAAUUGGUGUCGCACAUCCAUGCCUCUGGUAACGAUUUCAGUGCAUCACAAUGCCUAAUCUGAAUUUUCUUCAACUUGGAAGGCAGAGCAACCUCAGGAAAGGAAACAAGGGAACUGCACUUGCAGAUUUCUAUCUCUCUCAAGGAACUGAGGCUGAACGAUGAUUGUGGCAGCUUCACAAGGCCUUCGCAAUUACUCAAUCUUAGAUAUUCAAGUCUGCAUGACAACUCGCAGAGCUGCUGUUGUUGGUCUUUCUUUUCCUCCGCCACCAAGGAUUGAAGUUUGGGACAGCUGUCAAUCGUCAGUCUUUUGAGAGAGUAAAUGUCUUGCAGUAAUUCGUUAUGACUCUUCCAUAUAUGUGUUUCAUUUUUAAUAUUUUUUAUCUCCAAUUCUUCCAGUUUUGGUAUUCGCGGCUUCAAUGGCCCUGCGAGAAACACUUGAUUUGAUGUAUCUCUACAAACCACUGAAUUCUGUGAGCCGAGAUGAUCAGUUGCACUACUCCACACAAUCUUUUUACAUCCACCAAUUUCAAAUUUGCAAAGAGCUGGAAGACUUGCAACUGAAACUAGCAAUUCUUCACAUCCUUCAAUUACAAGCAUCUCCAAUGCAGGAAGGUGUUCUGGAAAUGUUCCUUGCAGCUUAGAACAGCUUAUAAUAUGAAGCUCUCUCAAUUUAGGAAACCCUUCAACUCCCUGACCAGAUCUAAGAGGAAUCCAGUCUUCCCAUUCUUGCAUGUCUUGAAAACGAAGAGUCUCCAAGCAUGGAAAAGGAAUCGGGGAAUCAUUCCCAUAGAACUCUGAACCCAAACUCUUUACUCUACUCAUUCCACGCACUUCAAGAUGCUUUAAAGAGGGUAGUUGCCCGACUGACGGCAGGGCAGUACACAUGCCGCAAUCUUCAAAUUUAAGUGUUACUAAAUUUGAGAAUGAGGAAUCUCCUAACCAUGUUGGAAAUUUUGUACCUCCAUAACCACAGAUACCAAAUUGUUCCAGAUUUUUAUGGGGUUUGAGCAUGUCAAGCACACCCAUUUCAGUUUCUGCCUCCCUUGAAGAUGAACCAUCGGUACUGCGUGUCCAUCGAAGCAAUAAUUCUCUAAGAUUCUCCUUUACAUCCAAUUGAGCCUCCUUCGCAUUACCAACGUCUUUUACGUUCUCCAAUUUUGAAAUUUCAAGUGCCCCACGAAGAUGCAUCAACAACUUUAGCUCUGAUAACCCCGAACCACUGUCUUUUCCCACAACAAAAUUACACAACGUCUGAAGACUAGUCAAUCUACCAAUUCCUACUGGCAUUUCCUCCAACGACUUCGUAUUUGAAUUCUUAAGAUGAUGCAAUUUGGUGAGGUUUCCCAUGUCUGCACACAACUUCUUCAGCCGAUCACAAUCUUCCAAGAAAAGACUAUGCAAAUUGUAAAGCUUGUUGACUGAUUCAGGCAGAGUUCUAAUCAUAGUUCCAGAUAGGUUGAGGUACCUUAAAUACCUCAAAUCACCAAUUGAAUCCGUUAGCUCAUACAGGCAAUAUCCACGCAAAGAGAAGACCCUCAACCGUUGGAGUUUGAACAACUUGGGGAGAAUGCUACGAGCCAAGUAUCCAUGCCACCUAUUUGACAAUGCUACUGGUAAAAAAGUUCGCAAAUGGUGGAUAUCAUGCAAGUCCUCAAACCUUUGAACGCCAUCACAAUAUCCACGAAUGUAUGACAGGUGACGAAAAUUUUUGGAAAAACUUUGUUGCUUGUUAACCUCUGAGUUAUACUCCAUUGUGAAGUAUAUCUCCCCCGCAGCCCAUUGAGCAAGGUCGUUGACAAGGUCGUGCAUCACAAAUCGUGAUUUAUUGUUGCUUGAUUGCUGGAAAAAAGAUCUUGAACGUAGCUCUUGAAAGAACUUUCGACCUAGAUCUUCAUUAGGAUUCCCACUCUCUUUGUGAUCCAAGAAACCCGAGGCACACCAUAAUAAAAUCAUCUCCUCCUCUUCAAAUUCAUAAUCCUUUGGAAACAAUGAGCAGUAUGCAAAGCAUUGUUUCAAAGGUGCCGAAAGAUAAUAGUAGCUCACUGCAAGGGCUGGUAUAAUACCACAUCUCUCUUCUGGUAAUUCCCAUAUCUUGCUACUGAGCACAUCUUCCCACUCACUUCUGUCAUGAUUCCCACGUAAAAGUCCUCCAAGCGUUUGUGCUGCCAAGGGCAAGCCAUCGCAUUUGGUCACUAUCUUCUUGCCGAUUUCCUCCAGUGACUUAUGUGAACUGAAAUCUCUCGUCCCCAAUGAAUGUUGAACGAACACAGCUAGACAAUCAUUAUCUGACAACUUCUUUAAUUGAUAAGCCGGAACAGUACCCAUAAUUUUAGCAACCUCUUGAUUGCGAGUAGUGACAAUAAUUUUACUUCCCGGUGCGCCAAGUUCAAAGGGACGUCUGAGUUGAUCCCAAUCAUGGUAAUUCCGGUUCCACACGUCAUCUAAAAGAAGUAAAAACUUCUUUCCAGAUAGUUGCUUAUUCAGUUUCUCUUGAAGUGAAUUCAAGUUGAGAUUAUCUACGUUCUGGUCAGCAACAAUGGAUGUUAAGAUUGUUUUUGUUAGCCUGAUAACGUCGAAAUCAUCAGAGACACAAGUCCAUGCCUUGAGAUCAAAAUGAUCCACCACUUGCUUAUCAUUGUAGACAAGCUGAGCAAGAGUGGUUUUGCCCAGCCCACCCAUACCUACAAUAGGUAUAACGGAGAAUCCACCAUCGUUGCUUAAAUCAUCCCUCAACAGCAGUUCAACAACAUCCUUCUUUUCGAUUUCCCUGCCAUAUACUUUGGCUUCCUUCACCAAAGAGGUUGUCUCUCGCCUUUUCCUGUCUUUUGUGGUCCUCCCACCCGAACUUACAUUCAAACCCAGCGAGUCCUUCUGUGUUACAAUAUCUUGAAAUCUGCCAUUGAUCUCUUUGAUUUUGGACAUCAUGGCGUAAUCGAACUGAAUCGAUUGUGGAGUAAAAGUGGUGCAGCAAGUAGGAAUGAGCUUCCGAAACUUACUUGUUCUUGUACGACUGCAACUGGGUUGAUCAUGAGCCGCAGCUGGAUCUCCAUUUCCAAGCAGCAACUUCCUCCGGAAAGCCUCAGUUUGAAACUCAUCCAGCAAGUCUUCAACAUCAAAAGCCAAGUUCUGAAGCUCGCCAAGCCACAACUUUACAGACUGAUCAGUCUUCUUCUCCUCAGCAUCAGCAAGCACCGCCUUGAUUAUCAUCAACAUAUUCUUCCACUUCUUUAGGUCGGCUUGGAUUUGCUCUUGGCGUGCAAACAGCCGAAUCCCCUCCGAAGCUAACUUAUUGACCAGCAAAUCAACGGACGCCGUAAGAAUUGCCUCUCCGAUGAAUGACAUUUUUUUCUUCUUUUUCUUUUUUUUUGGUUUUGCAAAGAAAGAAAGGAGCAGAAUUAUGGGUUAUGGAAAGCAGAAUGAGAAAAUGGAUAAUUAAGCAGAAUGAGUUUGUGAUUGUGAAGGGUCUGGCCCAGCAAGCUUAGUAGAAAUCACGCGUUGAUACUUUAUUGACCAAUGACUAAUAAUUUGGCAAUUCACUCAUCACCACCACUUGGUAAGCAAAAUGAAAAUGCUUAGUAAUUAAGUGUCAAGGGUCAAGCAAAAUACGACGUAAAAUGUGUCAAGGGUCUCCCCACUUGUUGUUCCUUGCAGCUUAGAAAAGAAAAACAGAGCCCACGACCCAUUAAUAUUUAGCCGCCCACCAAUCAUCACCACUUGUUACGAAACCAUCUCAUAAACCAAGUUCGUAGGUCGAGCAGUUAAUCCAGUGUCUAUGUCCUAGAACCUUCAUCUCAUAAACCAAGUUCAAUCAAAACGUUCCUCUCUAUAUAUUUUUUUUUUCAAAACUCCUAAAACGUUUCUUUUUAGAGACAUUUUACUUUAUUCAUCUCAUAUGUUAUCUAACAAAUAGACACAAUUGAAAUCACUCUAAAGUGAAGAUGAAAGGGGAAACAAAUAACCUUCCGACCACCAGUAAUUUAGCAAGCUUCACUUUAUUCCACCAAAGUGUAAAUAAAGCCAGCCCCCACCACCAUCAAUAAUUUUGCAAGCUUCACACGCUUGUUGUCUUCUCCUUGACGAACUGGACAUGAGUGCACCAAGAAUCAAUGACAGAAUUUUAAAAAUAAUAAUAAGAGAAAAACCUACACAUUUUCGACUUAGAGUAGAACCUUAAUUAAUGCUAAAAUCUACUCAGCUAACAUUUUCAAAAUAUUGUUCUUUAUGAUUUUCAAAACUGUGAUUAAGGUUCAUCUCAAAUGUUUGAAGAGAGUCUAUCAGUUCUUCAAAUGUUGAAUAAUAAAAAAAAAAGUUGAAUAUGGAGGAAAAUAGAAUGCAUCCAUCUUCGCUGCUGUAGAAGUCUUCUACUUAUAAAAGUAAGUUAGAAUAAACAAUUUUAAUCUCUCUUUUUAUUCCUACAAGUGCACUACAUUUUUUUUUUAAUCUCAAUGCAAAGUCGUAUCGAAAUGUUAUAUUCCUAUUGUAAAACAAAAUUUUAGAUAAAACAAAUUCGACUCAUUUUUUAAAGAUAUAUAUUUAGUAGGUUACCAACAUAACUAACAAAACGUGAUUAUUACACUAAAUGAAAUAAAUGACAGUACUAUCACCAAUAAUUUAGCAAGUUUCGCAUGCAUGUGUUUCUAAACACAUUAUAUGGAAUCAAACAACAGUGAUACAAAGAGAAAAGUAGAAAUCCUCUGAUUAUAUUUUUUUUUUCUUUUUCAAAAGAAAUGGUGGGGUUGGUUUGUUUGCAAAGUUAUUAGCGAGGGUCUAUUUGUUUUUGUUUUAACUUUAUUAAUCAAUAAGCAAACAUGUAAUUAUUUGUAUAUAUCACUAGCAUCACAUUAUUGUGAGGUAUUGCGCUUAAUAUUCACAAUUUUUGUAAGAUGAAUUUGUAAGACUAAUUAAUUUUGAUGAAAAUGUAUCGUUACUAAGAUAUUAUUUAAUUCAUUAAGUUAACUUGAGGUAUUAAUAUUUACUAAUUGUGGUGCUGAUUAAUUUAUUUAACUUGUCACUAUUUGCAAUUAAGAAUGAAGUUCAAUCAAUUUAUUGAGUAAAAAAAAAACAAAGAUGCAUUUUUUUCUUUAGAUUUUAAUUCUUAGGAUUUGAUUUCACGCUCUUUUGUUUUUUUACGUUGCUAAAGAGGCAGUAAAAAGUUUGCUGAAUGUCAUCAAAUACUUGUAUCUCAUCUCACAAAUUGGUAAUAUUUGUUUGGUAUUUCAUCUCAACAGACGCAGUAAGGAUUACCUCUCCAAUGACUGACAUUUUUUUUUUUUUUGGGGACAAAGAAAGAAACAGAAUUUUGAGUUUCGAAAAGCAAAAUAAGAAAAUUGAGCAGUAAGUGUGAAGGGUCAAGCAAAAUGCAUGUAGCAAGUCUUCGACUUGUUGUUUAUCCCACUAAAGUGAAAAUAAAAACAGAGCCCACGACCCCUUAAUAAUUGAGCAAUUCACCAAUCACCAGUCACCACCACUCGUUACCAUGAAUAUAAUAAAUUGCACCUUGAUAUUUGCAGGGUCCAGCAACAUUGACCUAGUGUCCGGGUAAAUGCUGAAUAAAGAGGAAAAUGGAAUGUAUCCACUCCGAACCUUCGCUUUACAACAAUUUUUAAGAAUCACAAUGGUAAUUCCUACUAUCAUGUUAUCUUAAUGUCGUGUUAAAAUAAAUUAUAAUAUAUUUUUUAUAUGAACACUCUUUUCAUUUAUAAAUUUUUAAGUUUCUAAUAUUUUUCUCACUUUUUUAAUCUUAAUAUUUAUAUUCCUCUCUUCAAAUUUUUUUAUUAUUUAAUUUUUAAAGAAAAAUAUGAAAAAAAUAAGAAAAACAUUAUACUUAGAAAAUAAUUAAUAUUUUAUGGGUCUAAUGCAAUUUUGUCUCACCUAUAAAUUUUUUUGUUUAGCAAUUAGUUUGAGAAUCUUAAAAAAUUAUUUGCAGUAGGAUAAAAUUUUAUUUAAUUUAUUUUUUUACUGUAUUGUAUCUUAAUUAAUUAAGUUGUUAUGUUUAUUACAAGAAUUUUGUUUUGGCUUAGAGGAUUGCUUCUUAAAUUCAUAUUAUUUUAAUGAUAAUAAAAGAUAUUUAUAUUGUGCAAGCAAAAUAAAAUGAAGAGAGAAAGAAAAUAUAAAUGAUUUAAUUCUAUUUAUAUUUGUCCUCAAAUGUAAUUGUAGUAUAAUAGGAGUUUUAUAAGAUUAAUGAAGGGGUGCCAAUAGUCGUACUCUUAUAGAAAAUGACUGUAAUAAUAGUGGAAAUUUAGUGUAAUAAAAAGGAUAAACCGUAAGAAAUUAAUGUUUACUUCAAGAUACGUUAUAAAUAUUGUUUUUCUUAAGAUGUUAUUUGCCUCCACCAAUCGAAUGAUGCACAUGAAUUAAGCAAAUAUGCUUCCAUGAUACAAUAAAGCGCUUAUUUAUUUGUUUACGUUGUAUGUCGACGAAGCAAACUUAAAUACUUUUGAAUGUUGUAAACCUACCAAGAAUCAAUAUAUUAUUUCUACAAAAAGAAACAAUAUAUUAGAUAUUUAAAGCAUAAAAAAUAGACGUUAAUUGAUUAAAUUUGAUUUAGCAAAGACACCUAAGAAAAGAGGGGGGUAACGCCAUUUUUUUGGUGUUUAAAUAGUCUAAAUAUGCCCCCUUUUUGUCCAUCCCCUUUUCCCCUUUUAUUGGGAUUAUUUUUUUUUUUAUAAUCUCCACCCCUUCAUGGUUAUUAGACCAACCAAUUAAAUCCCUCCUAAAGCUACUUAACUUUUUGCCCCCCAACUUAAAGGAUCCCAUAGGGAUUGCUUUUCGGAUGUUUGCCUUUUUUUUUUUCACUUUUUUAUAUUUUUUUUGGGGGUGUUGGGGGGGGGGGGGGGGGGGGGAGUUUAUGAAAAUUAAAGCAAAUAAGAAAGUCAAUUACAGCAGAAUGAGUUUGUGAUUGUGAAAGGUCGAGCAAGUCUACAAAUCAAUUAGACAAAACCCACCACGAGAGUUAAAAUGGAAAAAUAGCGCCCACCACAAAUAUAAAAUUGGAGGAGCUCAAGAUCCUGCCUUUGCUUUACAUAUUAAAUUAAAUAAAAGCCAAACCAAUAACCUUGCCUUUGCUUAACAUGAUUAAUUAAGCACUACUUCAGAAAGAAUACAAAAGUAAUGAACCUUGUAUUAAUCUUAAAUUUUAGGAAUAAAGCUACAUUUUCUCCUCUUACCAUCUUUUCAUGUUCAUUUCAAAAGUUUGAAGAGAGUUUAUCCAUUCUUCUUCUAAACUAAGAAAAUCAACAUUCUUACUUUCUUCAAAUGUUGAAUAAAGAAAAAUAAAUUAUUGAAUAAGGAGGAAAUUAGAAUGUAUUUACCUUCGCUAACCUAAAAUAAAAAAAAUUAAUCUCUCUUUUAUUACUAAAGUACACUAUUUUUUUAAUAAUUGUAUUGAUAAUGACAAUAUAUAUCAUCGAUUAUAUUCUUGUUGUGUUGAAAUAAGGUAUAAAAAUUUUUGGAUCAACAGGAAUUCGACUCAUUUGUUAAAAGUACAUAUUUAAUAUACUAAAAACAAAAAUUAACAUAAACAUGAUUAUUACACUAAAGUGAAAUGAAAGCCAGUACCCGCCGGUUCACCAACAGUAAUUUAGCAAACUUUGCAUUCUAGGAAAUGGACAUUGGUGAAUUAACCAAAGAAGACUUCCUUUGAUAAUGCGGGUAACGCCGGUCUGUCAUGGAAUGGACAUUGGUGAAUUCGACUUCCUUUGACGUUUAGUUGACUAUUUUCACAUCUAGCAGCCCUUGGCGUUUUGUUUUCGUUCGCUCUGUCGUCUUCAUCGCUCUGUCGUCUUCGAUCUUUAUGGCGACAUGGGUAUAUGUGUAUGGUAAACUGUGCGGGUGAAGAGUGUCGACAUGAUGCUGUCACCUUGCUUUAAUUAAUUGCAGUGACGUUAUAAAGUAAGCCUCAAAAAUUUAAAAUCGUGGGUCAAGCCCUGGUGUACAAAUCAGAAGUUGUAACAAAGAAGAAUUUAAAAUUUUUCUUCUUUGUUUCUUUCAUGCAUUAGGCUCGUUAACAAUUCAACAUACCAGGGAUGAGGGAUGCAAGGAAACAAUUAUUUGGUUUGAGUGUUUGGUAUUUUCUCGAUUCGUUCAGAAUUUGAUGAGUUUUUCUGUUUAAAUUGUGCGUAUAAUUUUUAUUUUUAAUUUUCUGACGUCGAUAUCUUUAGCAUAGAUUUUGUCUAUGAUACAUUAAAAAAGUUUGAAUCGCACAUGAUUCACUGUGUUGUAAGAGUAAAAUUUCUUCUUAUUAUUUAGAAUUCAUAUUUUUCAACUAAACUUUUAAUACAAUAUAUCGAGACAGAUCCUCGUGAUGCACAUACAUUUUCGCUUUUAGCCGUGCUGCCUGCUCUCAAAUGUACACUUAUAAAUUCCAAAUGAAAAGAAAUUUUGAAAUUGCGCAGCUCUGGCCAGGGAUCACCUUUUUGCCUUGCUAUUAUCUACAAUAUUUAUUUUUGCAAUCCGCAUGCAUGCUCGGUUAUGAUCACCCACGUGAUCGGCAUUAAGUUGUUUUUUAUCUUCUUAUUAACAAAUUAUUUAGUGUGCGGACUCCAUUCAUGCUCCCACGUUAAUCUUUCCAAAUUUUGUGCAAUAAAAGUUCAGCCGAUCCGCUAUUCACUUUGCCACAGUCUGCUACUUCAUUCUAUUUGUUUACUGCAUAUGAUCAUUANNNNNNNNNNNNNNNNNNNNNNNNNNNNNNNNNNNNNNNNNNNNNNNNNNNNNNNNNNNNNNNNNNNNNNNNNNNNNNNNNNNNNNNNNNNNNNNNNNNNAGAAUUUAUGAUUUUCUAUUAAGAUCUGUAAUAACCCUUUCUUAAUUUUCAAUUGUCCUUAUGAGUAUAUGUCAAUUUGGAUUAUUAUUCCACAUAUACAUAAUGUAUAAAGAAAAGAGUAAUGAUACUGCCACAAACUCUUGUACAAAUUUAUUUUGUACAAACUGACGUGUCAUUAAUUCACUGGUUGAAUGAAAAUAUAAAUUAAUAAAAACAAAUUAUGUGGGCUAAGUGAUAUUUAAUUCAACCAAUCUUAUCAUGCCUCAUCAAUUUGUACAAAAUAAGUUUAUACAAGAGUUUGUGACUGUAUCAUUACUCUAAAGAAAAUUAUUGGCAUAGAAAUUUUUUGCACAAAAAAAAAAAUCCAAGAUGUUUUUGACUGUUGGCGGCACAAUACAUAAAGGUGAAAUUAGGUUAUCGUUUGGAUUUUUUCAUGAGACACCCUAAGGUUUGUUUAGUUUAUGCUUUUGGCCAAAGUUUAUAAUUUUGUUUCAUUUAAGUCCAAUUGAAUUUGCAACGGCCAUCACAUGCUGUCUUCAAGCCGAAAUUUAGGAGCAAUUGCAUGUGAAAUUGCAGUGUAGUCCCUGGUAUUCUAUUUUAUUAAAUUAAAGAUAUGAUUAAUUGGAUUUACUAUGAUAAAGCCGCCAACUUUAUGUGCAUCAAGCCUUAUAAGUUUUGUUCUCGUAAUUUUGAAGCCUCCGCUCAUUAAUUAAUGAUCUCCAAAAUUUCUUAAUGUUCCAAUUUUAAUGUUUGAAAUUUGAAUUGAUGUUUGUGGUUUUAUUUACUUUAUUAAAGAAAUUACUUUGUUAUAAAUGUUCAAUUUGACAUUCAUAUUAUGAUAAUUUGUUAGUUACUAAAGUAGCCAAAUUAGAAAGUUUUCAUAGAUGUCAAAUUAAAUUCAAUUUCAAGUUCUCAUAAUUAUUGUGAUGCGUAUUAUUUAAUGACAUGAUGAUCUUGUUGUAUGAGUAUAUUGAAAUUCACAGAUUAUAAAAUAUUUAGGAAUUGGUCAAAGGUUGAUUAAUUAAUUUUAUAAUAUAUGAUCAUGAUUUGUGGAUAAUUAAUAUGCUUGAUUAGAUAUGUUUAGUAUAUCCAAAGAUAGCAAGCGUGUCUAGUUUAUGUAUAGUUGAUUACUAAUUAUGUGAAAUUAAAGUUAAGCAUCAAUUAUGUUUAUUGCAGUGUAUUGUUGUAUCACCAAAUAAAUUAAGCUUCUUAAUUUUAUGUCAGUAAGUAUUAAUAAAUUAAUAUAGGUAACAUUAAAUAAUUUAAAUUAGCUGUAGAAAAUUUUAAAAUAUUUUAUUCAUAAUAAAAAAUUAGCGAUAUUAUAUCAUGAAUUAAUUAAUAUGUAAAUUAUUUAUUUAUCAAAAUCAUUUUCAUUUAAUUAAAUAUUAAUUGAGGUUUAAUUAUUAGUUAUCAAUAAAAAUUAACAUGGUAUUGUCUUUUUUAUGGUCCUGGCCCCCAUCUCCAAAUUAGAAGCAAUUCUCAAACCCGCCCCAUACCUAAAAGUUCACAUUUGGGGAGCAUCCCCAAUUUUGUGUAUGUAUAUAUGAUUUGGUGAGUUACAAGAAGCAUUACCAGCAAAAGCACAGAAAUGGUUUCGUUUCAGAAGCAAAUAUGAUGCUAAGGAAAGUUUCGUCUUCAGCAUAAUAACUAUAUAAUAUCAUAAUGAAUUGGUGUGCAUUAACCAUGCUCCAGGUUGAUUUGGAAAGUCAUGAUGCUGUUUCCAUUUCAAUUUAGACUCCUUGCUUAUCAGCCAAAUGAUUUAUAAGUAAUAGCCAGUAGAAGUUUUUCUCAAAAUGGAAAUAAGUUGUCUUACUGGGAGAGUCCACAUAUGGUAUCUAAUUUGUGGUGUUAUUAUUUCAAUUGUAAGUUCCCUAAUUCUGGCCAAUGCACAGAUUCAGAAAGUUAUAUUUGGUGAGUUUUUUUUUUUUUAAAGGUUUUGGAUACAACGGCAAGAGAUAGGGAAAAACAACAAAGGGAGAGUCAAAACUCCACAUUAAGCUAACAUUUGAAUUUCCAUUUAUACUUUGCUCCACUCAUUCUAAUGUUUACUGGCUAAUUGUAGUUUAUGGUGUAGCAUCCAAAAAAGAUGACUCAUAGAAUUUAUUCUUUCGGACCACUAAGUAGCUUAAACACACACACACACACACACACACACAAACACAUGUACAUAUGAAUGUGUGUGUAUGUAUAUGUAUAUAUAUAUGUAUGUGCGUAUAUAUAAUCCUUCCCUAAUAUAGACAUCUCUUUUCUUUUUUUUUCUACAUAGACACACUAUCACUAGUAGAAAAAUAGCCUUCUAUGAUACUAUUUUGGUAUCGGCAGCUUGUUUUAUUAACACCGAGUUUAGUGUCAUUAAUCACGGUGCAAGAAAUUUACUGACACAAAUUUUUUGUGUCAACAAUUCUGUGUUACCUUAGAAUCAAAGAAAUGCUGAUUCCAUAGUAUCAAAAUAAUUGCAAUUCUAUACAAUCAUGUAGAUAGUGAUUCUAUGGUAUGAAGCAAGUUUUGAUGCUCUAAUGUCAUUUAUGUUCUGAUUCAAUAAUAUUGGUAUUUACCAAUGCUAUAUUGGUGUCAGCAGUUUUAAAAGUAUUUAAAAAAAAUAAUGAAAUGGUCAUUAUUACAAUUGUCAAUAAGCUGGAAUCAAAACUUAAUAAUCAACAGUUUUGAACAAUGAUUAUGAAACAAAUGUUGGUAUCAAAAUCCAAUAAACUCCAUUUAACAAUUGCCAAUAGGCUCCAUUCAGUAUUCAAUAUUCAACUUUCAACAUUGAAUAACCAAAUUGGUUCUAUCCAAUAUUCAGUAACCAAAUUCAUCAACCACAGUUUCAAUAGCACAACAAUGCUAAAAACCACAGCUAGUUUCUAAUCUAAAAAAACUACAACUUAUUUGUCAUUACGGCAACCUGAGUGGCAGUACUAAACAAUAAAGGCAAAUGGAAUUGGUGUGCUACCGCUAUCAUUCUCCAUGAUCUUCAAUGGCGUGAAUAAUAGUACCAACAACAAGCAACGACAAUACUCAAUUCCAACAAAAUCCACCCAACAAAGGAAAAUGGUUCAUCAAAGUUUGAAAACCACAAAUUUGUUUUACUACACCACUGAGACUAUUCUUGAAACCUGGAAGUAGUUCCUACAUAUAAAACGAAAUCAAGAGUAGGCUCCAACUAAAAAAGGCUUCAACAACAGAGAAAGAAGUUCACUAUACAUACAGAUCAAAGUUAGAACUUUAGCCAACCUGUGGCUUCCUUGCAGUAAUAGAGCAAUCAUGAUCAAAAUGAUUCAAAUGGCCUUUGACAGCUGAGCACCCAUUUAAAGGCAGCAGUGGUUUCUUACGGGAUUUUGAAAGUUUUUGAGUUGUUUCUUCCAUGGGUGUUACAUUUUCAGUGGAAUUAUCCAGUUUCUCUCCUUCAGAAUUCGUACAUGAUGAAUACAUCCGCACAAUGUUAUAUACAUAUGACCACAUGUAGAUGGCUUCAAUCUGAAAUAUCAAUAAUAAUGAAAAAUCAAAAUAUUGAAAAAGAUCCCAAAUUAGUUUGCCUGAGAUGACUAAGGAACAUUCUUAAUAUGAUCCAUCCAAAUACACCAUAAAAAUUAUCCAAAACUAUUCAUAGAAGUAAAGCAAAGAAUUGAAUUGAGUUUAUUCUUAAUCCAUUUCAUUAAAAAAUACUGCUACUUCAGCAAGCAAACCAUUGGUUAAGAUUAUAAGGCAACAAAGGAACAUUUAUAACAUUUUUGCUCACCUAUCUUCAUUUGACUCAAAUAGAAAGAAGGAGAGCGAGAGAGGGAAAAGAACCUGCAGCACAGCAUCCUAAAACAAGGCCCCACAAAUCAUAAGGAGCUUUUGUAGUUUUUAGAACUAUCCAUCCAAGUGCUGAGCCAACGAUGAAUGUAACAAGGAUAUUUAACGGCAUAAACCACCUACAUAGUUUUAUUUUAUUUAUGAAAGCUACUUUCAAUGAAUUGACGGAAGAAAACGAGAAAACAUGGUAAGAAGACCAAAAGAAUAAUUAAAAAAAUAGAAGAAACUGCACAGGUUUCGUAAAGAAUGCAAACUCACAACAUGCCCAUGCCUUCAGCUGUCAUGUGCUCUGCAAGACUGCUACCAAUAAGUGCUGGAUUGCAGAAGUAAAACACAACCUGUACAACAUUAAAAGAACCAAAUCCUUUAACAGCUUGGCAGGCUUUAGUAAAUUUUUUUUUGAAGAAAAAAUAUAACAUCAUUUGAAUUUUUUUUACAGUUAAAUUGCAGUGAAAAUUACCUUGUUCAAAUGCUGGCGUACAAGUCCCCCAAUAUAUCUAUCCGAUCUAGUGCAAGAAAUAAGCCAAGAGCAGUAAGCAGAAGUACCUUUAAAACUGGUAUAAAUGCAGCAAUAAAGAGGUCCAGAAUCUUCAUAGUGGGGUCUUUAAGUCCUCAGAUUAUCUAUAGUACUUGCUGCAGAGGAAAAGGCAUGAUAUGCUACCACAUGAGCAAUAGCUUUUAUAGAAACAAGCCUAAAAUUACUUUAAAAAUCAAUUUAACAUUGUUCGUAAUAGCAAUUUUACCCAUUAAAAACCGAUCUUCAAGCAAGUUUGUAUUUUUCACCACAAAAAUUAAAUCUAGACAAAUGACCUAAAAUAAAAUUUUUCUAAAGCACAUUUCAUAUUUCAUUAAAUUACAAAAAAGGAUUGCGUAUGACUUGAGAGGAAAUUCUGAUUGAUUCACAGUUUUAGCAUAAUAAGAAUACAGAUCACAAAUUAAAAUCCCAGACAACAUACGUGCAAAAUCUUUUUCUUUUUCUUUAUUGGGAAAUUAUCAUUCGUAUACCCUAUAUUUGCUUUGUUAUAAAAAAUACUACAACACUUUGAGGGUGUAUCAAUCCUCCACCCUUAGUUGACAAAAUGUAUUAGCUGACCACCAAACCGUUAGUUGAUGUUUAAAAGUUAACGGAAUUACAAUGAAUUGACGAUUUUACCCUUGAAAAUUAUCACUUGUAUACCCUUAAAUUCUAUAUUUAUCACUUGUAUACCCUUAAAUUAUCACUUGUAUCAUAUGAAAAGACUAAAUUACCCUUCUGACAUCAUCAUACUUAAACGGCAACUAACAGUUUGGUGGUCAGCUGAUACAUUUUGUCAACUUAGGGUGGACGAUUGAUACACCCUCAAAGUGUUGUAGUAUUUUUGAUAAUUGAGUAAACUAAGGGUAUAUAAAUGAUAAUUUCUCUUCUUUAUUAAAAAAAAUACCAGCCAAAAGGAAAGAAAAGGAAAAAAAAAAAAAACAAAUAUAGUUAGGUGGAUAGAUAACGAGGAAGGAGUAAAUAAAUUAUUGCUUGGUUAGAUAUCAUCUCAUAGUAACGAAUGAAAAGCAGAGAUAAGAACAGAUGAACCUCGUCUCUCCACCAGUGGCUUGGGGUCUUGGGGCCCAUCACGCGUGGGAGAGGAUUUCAGUUGGAGGAAGAAGGCGGAGCAUCGGGUGGCAACCUGAAAAGCUGGUGGAGGUAAAGGGAGUGAAGGAGACGGGAGCCACCGACACCGAGAGCUAGAACCACGGAUCUGAGCUCUUGGGUAGCACACCCAAAGUUAGCGAAUUGGUGGAUGCAUGUCUACUCUCAAAGGCGCUCGUCUUGAGCCGUCUUGUGCCAUAUCUUGUUGACGCAGGCUGCCCGUGCCAAGGUCCCGCCGUCCGUGUGUUUCAACUUUCAACACCUCGAACAGGAAGUUCUCAUCUAGAUUUGUAAGGCCAGUUUCUUUGGGAGGCUGAGAGUUUCUGUUUUGUUAAGACUUAAGAGGCUGAGAUAGCAAGAUAAAAACAAAUAAGAUUAUAAUUAAAUUAAACGUGAGAAAUUACUUUUCUAGCAAAAGCUUAAUCCAACGCCUCCAUUACUUCUUUUUUAUGGAUAUAUUCUUUAAUUAUUUUUCGUUAUUUUACUUCCUGUUCAUCAAGUUUGCGAUGUUUACAACAAUUAUUCAUUUGAAAAGUUAUCCAAUAAUGUUAAUACGUGAAAAUUGAGAAUAUGUAUAGCGAAAAAAAUUUCUUCAAAAAUGAAUUAUAUAAUCUUGACUUUGGAAAAUGUGGCCAGAACUGCAAAAAUGAAGAUUAAUUAACCUUGGAUGACAAUGAUUAAUACCCGUCCAUUUCUCCUAAGCUCUGUUUCUUACUUUGAUGCGCACAUGACUUGACAGCUUCAUCUUCCUCUAGCUUCCUUUCGUGAAACGUACUAACAAUUAACAGUAGUCUACUAACAAAUUAAGAUAUAAUCCAAUAUCUUUAGUACAAAUUCAAAUAGUCUCAUUUUGACUUUGAGCAAGCUUUUUAAUUCCACACUCAGAAACAAAAUUUUGUGAAUUCACAUUAUUUAGCAAAAUAAUUAACAAAUUAAUUGUGAUUAUGGUUGACGAUCAUGUUGAUAAGCAUCAUAUACACUAUCGUUGCAUAUUUAGUGAAAUGAUGCAAGGACGAAGUAUCACUUGGCUGUAAGAAUUAGUUACCCAACAAUUUGUGGAGUUUGUUUUAGAUAAAAUAAAUAAAUAAAUAAUAGAGAGCAUAAUUAAGCCGACAUGGAUAGACUAACUUAAACAAUAUAUUGAACACAAUUAUUAUUUUUAUUAACUUCCUUUUUCAAGAAGACACUGUACACAAAAGUAAAUUAAAACAAAAAUCUCUUGUACAGUUCAAGAGAUUUUAUAAGUUGAACUGAGCCAAAUAAAGACAUUCACACAAUUGAUAGAUAAUGAUUGAAAAAAUAUUAUGCUCAAAAUAUUUUCUUUGUAUGUCAAAGAACGAGAGAGUUACAAGCUUAUAUACAACUAUUAAGGUCAGCCAAAUCUCUUAGAGUAAUGGCUAGACAGGCUGUCCUAUUUAUGACUACAUACAUUAAGGAAUGAAAUCAUUUGUACAUAAGGAAUAUUAAUAUUAUCAAGUGAUACUUGCUCAAAAUAAAGAUUGUGUCUAGAAUAAGGGAUUGCCGAUGCCAAAUCUUGCCGCUAAUAAUAUUCGGUGAGCUGUAGCUACUGAUUGUAUGGUUUAUCAAUGAUAACCCAUCAUUUUAUUUAAUUAAUAUAAUACGGAAAGAGUAACUCGCACUUAAGUAGUGUAGUUGAGAUUUCUUCCGUGUUGAGGGACAAUAAAGAGAUCCAGAUUGUCGCUCAUGCUCUCAUCAUUAACAAUACUUAUAAGAGAUAUUGGAUAACCCGCAGACCACUCGACCUUCCCUAAAAAUUCACAACAACAAUUGUAUUCAUUAAUACAUAUAUUAAAAUAAAAAUUAUAAAUGACAUUCAACUGAACAUGGCCUGAGAACCUGGAUAAGGAGCUUCCAUGUUCUUCAAAUUAGAAAAGAUAUCUUCUAACUUCUGGUGAACCGUAAUCGAAAUUGAAGUUGCUUUUGUUUCUGGUUUGAUAAUAUGAUGUUGAUGUAUUUAUAUACGAGUCUUCGUAUAGUAUAGUGCUGUAUGCAAUACAGCCCCUUCAACAGUAAAAAGGAAACUUGAACAACUAGUAUUUUACCAGUUGUACAUUUAAUAAAUUUUUAAAAAUUAUUUUUAAUGCAGAAAAAAUAAAAUAAAACUGAAAAAAUUAAGGAAAUUUUGUAAAUAUUUAACACAAACAAUAUUUGAGAGAGAAAAAUAUUUUUAAUUUCAACAAAAGUUAAAAAAAUUAAAAUAAGCAUGUCUCUACUCUUUUGUUUUAAUGUCAAUAUAUUAGGUGACAUUCCAAGUUAAUUUCACAUAUACCUAAUUUUGAUUAAACUUUUUCACUAAUUGGUUUGCUUAUCUCCACUUUCGGAUCCACUAGUUUUAUGUUUAAUAUUCCUACUAAACUCGUUAAAUAUUAAUAUUUUGGGUCAAAUUCCAAUUAAAUUUAUUUCUCGUUAGACAAGUAUCAAAAUUCCGUUAAACUUUCUCCACAUUUGGUUCAUGUGUUUCAACUAUUAUUCUACUAGUUUUUCAUUUAAUAUUUCAACUCGUUUAUCAACAUUCCAAUUAUAUGGGUUAGAUAUUGAUAUUACUUUUUUUGGUUUGAUCAGUUCUAAAUUUUGGUAAUGUUUUUCCAUCCAUAGGUUCACAUGUUUCAACUUAUUGGUCCACUAAUUUUACGUUUGAUAUUUCUACUAAAUUUGUCAAGUACCAAGAUUUAUUGUUAGCUAGCUUCCAAGUAAUUAACAUUAUUCGUUGGAUAAGUUUCAAGUUUUGGUUGUUCUUUCUCUCUUAAUGGUUCACGUGUUUCCUCUAAUUUUUUCCCUAAUUUUGCGUUGAAAAUUGCCAUUAAUUGGUUGAGAUUCCAAUUACUAAGGUUAGGUACUAGGUUUGUUUUCUAUAACUUUAUUUUUUAUUUUGUAGAUCUCUAAUUUUAGUUGUGCUUUCCCCAUUUUUGGUUGACGUAUUUCAAUUGUAAUUCCACAGGUUUUGUGUUCGUUAUUCCAACUAACUUGGUAAAAUUCUAAUUAUAUGGGUUAAAUAUCAAUAUCACUUUUGCUUGGUUUGAUUAGUCUCAAGUUUUGGUUAUACUUUUUUAUCUUUUGGUUCACAUGUUUCAACUUAUUGGUCCACUGGUUUUGCGUUUCAUAUUCCUAUAAAGUUCGUUAGGUACAGUAUUAUGGGUUAGAUUCCAAGUAAAUAUCAUUUUUCGUUAAAUGAGUUUCUAAUUUUCGUCAAACUUUUUCUCUUAAUGGUUCACGUGUUUCAUCUAAUUUUUUCCCUAAUUUUGUGUUGAAUAUUCCCAUUAGCUAGUUGAGAUUCCCAUUACUGAGGUUAGGUACCAAGUUUGUUUUCUAUAACUUUAUUUUUGGUUUUGUAGUUCUCUAAUUUUGGUUGUGCUUUCUCUAUUUUUUGUUGACGUAUUUCAAUUGUAAUUCCACAAGUUUUGUGUUCGUUAUUCCAACUAACUCCACAUGUUUUGCGUUCAUUAUUAGAAUAAAAGCAACAAGUUCUAUCAAAAUUUAAGAAUGAUUACUAGCGCUUUCAUGCUCGUGGAGGUGAGAAUGGGAGACGCUUGUUGUCUUAAGUGACUAUUCUUACCCCACUAAAUUUAUAAAUUUAAUCAUUCCUUCUCUAUAUGGUGUUUCCACUCCUAACAAUAAUUUUCUUAAUAUUAAAAUUGUCAAUAAUAAUAAUUACAAUUAUUAUAACAAAUAGUAAUAAUGAUAAUAAUUGAUUGAGGAUAAAUUAAUAAUUUAUAAUAACUCAUUCUAAUUUAUGUUCACAAAGUAAACAUAUUAAUAGCAAUAUAGAAUAUUCCAAUUGUGUUUCAUUCAUCCAACAAAUAUCAUAUUUUGUUUGUUAUUCUUCAUUUUUAUUGUAGCCCAUUCUAAUUUUUUUUUAAUUUUUGUAAAUUUCAAUUAUUUAUUAGUGAGCACAUAAAAAAUUUAAUAAAAAUUAAAUUUCACAUUAGAAAGAGCAUGCAAGGUAGACUUUUGUAGGGUUUGCAAAUCAUAUUGUAGGUAUUUGGAAGUUCACAAAAAGUAAAUAAUGUUAUGUACAGAAAUAAGUUCUUGUUUAUAACGUUUUGCUGUAUUUCAGUGACACUUUGUUAUAUAAGGUGUUGGAUGCUAGGAUUAAGUAUGGGAUUGAACUAAUUUUGGAAUUAAAUAUUUAUCCAAUGUUUGUCAAGCUUAGUUGGAUUGUAUUAAGGGGGUAGUAAUUUAAAUUUAAUUCUAAAAUCAUGGGAUUAAUAAUGGUAAUUUACGCAUGGGUUUAGUUGGGAUAAGAUUAAUGAAAAAAGUUGUCCAUUUAUGAGAUUUUUAUUUAUAUCAUUUUUUAUUUGCACCUAAUAUUAAUUAAUUUUUAUUAUGAUUUACUUAAAACUUAUUUAUAUUUAUUAUCUAUGAUCUAAUUAAAUUAAUAUAUUUACUUGUAUUAACUCCGGAGAUUAAAUGUUCACCACUAGUAUAUUUAGUAAUUUAUCGAUAAAAUUAAAUGUUUAAUUAUUUAUUUCGCAAACACACCAAUAUUACAUUAUUUCCCUAUUAUUGCCAUCGGUUCCCAAACAUCCAAGAGCUGGUUGGCAACAAGAGAAAAAAUAGGGGUGACUAAUAACGACGACUAUGUAAUCGUGGCCAAUAAAUUAUUUCACAGUACCUAAUUAUAGCAACGAUUAAAUGCAACCUGAAACAUGCUGUUGAAGUCAUAGUUAUGGAAAAUUUUACAAACUUCAAAUAAGACCAAAAAAUUACAAAGAGUAAUGUUAAAUAUCCCAAUUAAAAUUGUGCCACUAUUCAAUCACAAAUGUAGGAUAGGUGACUAUAAUUUUUCUAUAAGUAAUGCUUCGGUACUUUUAACAGUGUGAUGAGUAAACGUUAAUUUUUAUAUUUUAACUCAUGAUCGUUAAGAGAAAUUAAAUUUGGAGUGUGUUUUUCAAAUAAUGUGACACUUCAAAAAUAUAUAUCUCAUCCUUCUCCCCGUUCCUCAUCAAAAACCACUUUUUCCAAUUUUCUCCCACAGGAUGCAGGAAUGAAGAAUGCAUGGAAGGAGAAAUUACCUAUCCAAACAUCCAUACUUGGAAAUCAUCAACACAAACCACAAAAUUAAGCUAUCUUAUGAAAAAUGUCCAUAAUGCAUAAUCAAAACAUAACAAGUAUUGACAAAUUUGAAAACAAAAUACAUAAUAAUCAUAAUUUCUGGGCAUAAAACCAUGGGAUAAUCACUGAGGAGGUGGCGGAGAUGAAGAUGAGGAUGGCGGCGAAAUCCCGAGAGUCCGGCAGAUGAGCUGCUGGUCAUCUAGAAUCUGCUGCUGCUGUGAAAAAAGACGUUGCUGCUCAGAAUGGAAGUGAUAGUGGAACGCUGCAAACCGUGUCUGAAGCUCGUUCUGUUGUAUAGAUAUGGAACAAAUUAAAACUGUCCAUUUAUAUGGGUAAUGAGUAACUACCUUAUCUUUUUAAUAAUUAAAAGAAAAGUAUUCCUUUAAUUAUUGGUAGAAUUUAUUUUCCAAUUCACUAUAAAAAAUAAAUACUCCUAGGGUGAAGAAUAUAAGUAUAAAUUGAAAUACAAAUUUUUUUUCACUUAAAGUGUUUUCUCAAAUUUUUUUCCAUAAGAAACUCAAAAAUGUAUUAAUGAAUAAGUUGUAAAAUAGAAAGUGGACAAGCCGUCCACUUAAAAAACAAAGCCUAGCACUAUUUGUGCUAUACGAAAGUGUACCCAAUCACCCCUAAAGUAUUUUUCCAACUUUUUCUCGUAUUUUUUUAAAGAAUACUUAAUAGAUUAGAUAUUGUAAUAUAAAAAUUGAAGACAAACAAACAUGAAUGAUGUAUCAAUAAAUUAAUGGAGAUCUAUUACUAUAUUUGGAGUAAAAUUAUGAAUAAAUUAACAUAGAUAAUGAAUUUAUACCUUUACUCUAUAAUGCAAAUGGUAUUAUGUUUUUAAUUCAAUUUAGCACCGUACAAGAAAAGAUUACCUUAUCGCUUCCAAUCCCUCCUUUAGAUCUAAGCCACUUCAUGAACUUCUUGAUCCUUGAUUUGCUCCAGAAUGUGAUAGGAAGUAUAAUCCUAUAAGGCUGAAUGUUGUCAUAUGCAACAUUAUGGAGAUAAAAGAUCUGCAUGAGCAACUUAUAAUUAAGAAGAAUAAUAUUAUUCAUGGUAAGCAUAUGCUCAGCUUUAGUUGCAGAAACUAUGUCACCUGUAGGAAGUGCUAACAAAUUCCAAUGUAUGCUGCUUGUUGUUUCCACUAUUUCAUUGUCACCAGAAUGUGAGUUUGAAUUACCCAUCCUUUUAUCUCUCUUUUUGUACCUUGCCUUUUGUUCGGGAGGAAGGUCUUUGUAGGUUUUCCCAAUAUGUUUUUGUAACUGUCAAAAUGAUAAUGAAUAUGUCUUAAAACAUAAAAAACCCACAAAAUAAUAUCUAUACAUGCUACAUUUAAUGAAUAUAUACUAACCCCAAUCGUAACGGACAAAUCUAAAUUUUCACUUCUCAAACGCUUAACUUCUUCAUUGCUGCAAAAGCAUAACAUCUAAUUACUGUUAUUUGGUAUGGGCGUGUUUCUUUCCCGAUAGGUAAAUCACAACGACUACUUACAAGUAAGAGACAAAUCCAUAAGUUGAAGACAUUGGAAUUGCAUCCUGACCAUUUGCUUUUAGAAUAGGAGCACUUUUUUCUGUAAGCCCCCUGGUAGUUGUUUACGCUUUCGUCGGUGACUGUCCAAGAAAAAUUUUAAAUAAUUAAGUGAAGGAUAAUUAUUCCAUCAAUAUGUAUUAAUUUUUUUUUAAAAGAUGAGUUCCCCCACCUGCUAUUCAAAGUCACUGUGUACUCCUUACUUUUUAAUCUAUUAAACAUUCCAUAUAUGGUGGAAUUCAAGCACAAAUUAUAAUUUUAUUUUAUUUUUUUCCUCAUUUAUACCAAUGAAGAAAAAGAUGACAAGAAUAACAAAGGAAAGAUCUUUAUUUUUGCCCAAGACUAUGACCUCUCACAAACUCACAAUAAAUGAAUGACAGAGUGAAAAAAAAUUGUAUAUAAUAAAGGGAUGGGAUCAAGAGCUCUCAUUUCUUACUACAAAAUUUACGAAAUCUAAAUAUUUCAACAACAUAAAAUUUAAUGGAUAAUGAUCUUUGCUGCAUACAUUAAAAUCAUGACUAUUACCGUGCCCUCAACUUUGCGUCAUACAAACAAAUUUCAUCAUAAAACAAAGUACAGUGCUUUUUUUUUAAUAAAAAAAUACAUUAAAGGCUGCUGGGAAUGAGUAGGGGAUGAUGGGUUGUAACCAAGAUCAAAAUUAAUGCAUUGAAACCAAUAUGACAAAAUCCAUACUAUGAAUUAUUAUAAACACCUAAUAAAGGGUUAGUAUAUCAGAGGGAUUGAUACCUGGAAUGUACUUCAGCAAAACAGGACCCCUGAAAAUAAGAAAGAAAAGUUUUGCUCAACAUUCCAAAAAAAAAAGAAGGCCUGCUCUUUUUAAAAAAUUAUAUCGUUGUAACUUACACAAAAUUCCACUUAGCACAAUCGUAAGGACCAAUCGUAAGAUUAAGAUGAAGGCCUGCUUGCUGCACCAGCUUGAUAAACUUCAGCAGAUCAGAAUUCCCCUCCAAGUAAUACUAAAACUAAUUAAAACAAAAACAAAAAACAAAAAUAGCAAAACAUUUACUGAAGAACUUAUUUAAAAUAUUACCCUAGAUUUGAGACUACAAGCAAACAGUGCCUUCUGAUAAAAACAAAUUACAUGCCAUAAAUAAAAUUAUUACGAGCCCACCAAAGAAAUUGUCAGGGUUAUAGUGAUUACAAACCUUCCCUAACUUUAUUUAUCUUCACCAAUGAAAAUAGGUCAACAUUUAACAUUCUUUUACAACCAAGUACACCAAGUCUUACAAUUAAAGGUUUAAGGUUACAAAGCAUAGUUACUUAAGACUCUUAGCUUUAUCGUAAGGCACCUUAGACAAUUCUAUUACCACACAAAGACCUGGGCCUAUUUCUUAUAAACACGGCAAGAAUCACAUCCAAGGUCAAGCAAAUUCAACAACAAGGUCAUACGGCAUAUACCCAGCACAUACCCAACUCAUUGGCCGAUUUGAGGCACAAAACAAUAGAAUAUUAUCAUAAAACCACCACAAUAUCACUGGAUUCGAAUAUAAGAAUAAUAUAAAUAUAAUUGUUCAAUUCAAUCAUUACCCCAAAUCACGAAUACUAGCGAGACUAUAUUAAUUCAUGCCACUGGCAGCAGCACAUUCUUUAAUAAAAUCCUUCAAAUAUAAAAAAUCAGCUACAUGCGAAUCUAGAAUUUAAAAGGAAAUAUACAAUAAUUUUUUGGAGAGAAGAAAUCCCUUUCCACUUAUAUUGAAGAUAAUUCAAGAAAAUGACAGGCCCCAAUUCGCAGAUCAUCAAAACAAACCCCAUUACUUGCAGUUGCUUGAUGCUCGAUAACGUUACCUCUUUUUUUUUUUCAAUUUAUAAUUUUUUCCUUUUUGUGAAUAACAGAAUCUCAAGAUAAAAUAUUGCAGUAUGACUUAAUUGUAACUCUAUCGGUUCAAAAACAAAAAAUGACAAGCCCUAUCAAUUAUCAUUCAAUUAUCAAUCCCUAGAAAUCAUCUCAAUAUUUCAAGUAAUAAUUUCUCAAUUGCAAAAUCAAAUUAUUGAAACUGAAAUUUCAAGUAAUAUUCAUAAACUAAACUGAAACGUCCUGCAUAUUUAAAUGACAUGAUAAGAUUUUUAAUCAUAUAUUAAAUUAGAGAGAGAGAGCUCACCGAAAUUAUUGGAAGACAUAAGAGAGAGAUACAGCAAGAGUGAUAGAUUGAAGCUGACGAAUUGAAGCUAUGAGUGACGAACUGAAGCUGAGAGUGAUAGAUUGAAGCUGACGAAUUGAAGCGAGAGUAACAGAUCGAGUAAGCCUGAGUAAAUGGCACUCUUUCGACUACAUCUUUGCUCUUUGCUGUGAUGGGUGGUGAAUAUUCUUGAAUACCAAUUUCAUUGAUCCAAAAUUCUAGAUGUAGGAGAAAACAAUAGCAGAGAGAAUAUGAAGGCUGUUACUUUGAGGGAGAGAGAGGCAUCACAAUCCAACGGCUGUGAUUUUUUAGAUAAGUCAAGUGAUGACAUAAUGACUGGCAUAUCUGGUCGCCAAAAUGAGUAAUCAAACAUAUUAACCAUUGGAUGUUUCUACUUCUAUAUAACGGUUGCCCUUUCUUUUAAAGUUAUUGUUACGUUCGGAAAACGUGACCACACAAUCAAAUGUUCUUCUAUUGUCAAAAACAAUAAAUACAUGAGUUUCUUUUUUUAGGUUAUGUCAAUUCAGCAGUUAAGCAGUUAGUGGUUUGUUUACUUAUGAGACCGAAUAAUUAAAAUAUAAAACAAAAAUGAUUAAUAACGUUUACUUGUUAAAAUAUAAGAGAAAUAAAAAUGAAAUAUAUAAAUUCACAUACUAUUUAAAUUAAAGAAUAAUAAUAGAGUCAUAACUUUUUUUCCAGUCAUCACUUUAUUUAAAAAAGAGUUGAACUAUAGGCACUCCUCUGAAAUUCUUAAAAAAAACCCUCUCAUGUUAUAAUUACAUUAAAGGAUAAAUUAAUCUAAUUAUACCGCUAUAUUUGUCUCGCUAAAUCUUUACAUCCACACAACUAUAUCAAAGUGUUUUACAUUUUUUUUUGUUUUCUUUUGCAUUCUAUUUUUUUAAUUUAAAAAAAUUACAUAAUAGCUAUUUGAGUCACUUCUUAAUUCAUACAUAUACAAGAAAUUUAAUAAUUCAAAAAUUUGUAUAAAAAAAAAUUUAGUUGGAGUUGUUUGGAAGAAACUAAAUUUUCUUUUGAAAUCAGAAAGAAACAGAAAAAAAAAAACAAAACAAAAAAAAGAAGACAUUUUGGGAAUUAAAGUAGGUAGAAAAGCAGCUUGAAACGUAAAUUACAAGGGUGCUAAUAGUCUUACUCUUUGAAAAAUGCGGCCUGAACUGACAAAAUGCCGACCUAACCAAUUUUUUAUGACGAUGAUUAAUACUUGUUCGUUUCUCCUUAGCUCUGUUUCUUACAUUGAUGCAUACAUGACUUAAAAGCUUCAUCUUCCUCUAGCUUCCUUUCGUGAAAUCCAAUAUCUUCUGUAGAAAUUCGAAUAAUCUCAUUUUGACUUUGAGUAAGCUUUUCAGUUCAAUUAUCUUGCUGUAGUUUAUUUUUGUAUUUGCACAAAAUAAUGCAGUCAGAACAAAAUAAUUAUGUAACCCGAAGCAAUUCCUUCCAUCUCUACGAUAUUAACAAAAGCCAAAAUUUUCAACCAUAAUUACAAUUAAUUUGCUACUUAAACAACGUGAAGUUACAAAAUUUUGGUUUCUAAAUGCGGAGCUAAAAACCUCUAGCAUCAAUAUAUUGGGAAUUGCGCCCUCAUCGUCUUAAGAUUAUUUGUUAAUAAUUAUGUAGAAAGGAAAAAAGAUGGAUGAUUUCAAUUUCCACCAAUCGAUAUGCAUGCACGAGUCUGAACUGAGACUGAGAAGACUAUUAGUACAGUGACGGAGGAAAAUAAUCUACUGAAGCACCGAGUUGCCCAUUUGGAUUUUUCGGAGAAGGUUGAUCUUUAAAGUUCAUUGUUUAUUCAACCAACCACAAAAAAAUUUAUUAUUUAUUCAACCAAUCAUAAACAAUCUUUUGUAUAUUAAAUUUUUUUUUAAAAGUUCCAGAUGAAAUGAUAUUUUGAAUAUUAUCUGCAAUAUUCACGUGAUUGGUACCACAUUUUUUAUUUUCUUAUUAACAAAAUUAUUUAUUUCGUAGGGACCGUAUUCACGCUUCCAAGUUUCUCAUACAUAUGCAAUUUAACCAUUGCGGUUGAUUAGCAUUUGAGUUUUGACAUGGGAAGCGGUAGGGAUGGGAAUAAAAUCCGGAUCCGCAUGUUAAAUAAUGCAGAUUUACAUGUAAGAAAUUAAAAUCUGCACGGAUCCGAAUCCAAAUUUAAAUAUAAGUGCAUUCAAAAAAUCAGAUAUUCUGCUAAUUUUUAUAUUAAAUUAAAAAAAUAUAUAUUAACUUUAACUUAAAAACAAAUUUAACCCAACUCUCACAUUCACACGCGCUCACAACACUUUUCCAGCAGCCACAACCCACAAACCCCUAACACCCAAAUCCCCCUAAUUCCGUAGGAUGUCGCCGUCUGCCUCACGGCCUCGCCUAAGCCUUGUGUCCAAGCCUCGAUCUAAGUCGGUCGCUGUCGUUGCGCGCUGCACGCCUCGAUCUGAGUCGGUCGCUGCCGCUGCACGCUGCACGCCUCGAUCUGAGUAAGUUGCUGCCGCUACACGCUCGAUCUGAGUCAGUUGCUGUCGAAUCCUCGCCAUCGAAGAAGCCUCUCGCUGUCGAAUCCUCGCCCUCGGAGAAGCCUCGUCUAAGCACUUUAAUUAAAAUGGUCUUGGCAAGCCUUGUUGAAUCCUUUGGCCUUUGUUGAUUCAAUUUAGUUUAAUUUUGAAUAAAUUUCUUUGCUGAUUCGUUUCAUCACUUUAAUUAAAUGCAUUAAUUUUCAAUAUAAUGUAAAUGUUUAAUAGGUUUUGGGAUUAGGUUUUAAUUUGGAAAAUUGUUGAAUUUUUAAAUUAAAAAUUUAAAUGAAAUCUUGGUGAAACCUGUUGUCAUCUGCCGGUUAACAUAGCUAGUCUCUGAAAUAAUUUCUUGAUUCACUAAUUAUGAGUUCAAAUUUGAUGCAGAAUGGGCAACCAGCCUACUGCAAACAAAUCUUCUGGAACAGUUCAGAUGAAGGGACAGCCAAUCCAGCAAAACAGUUAUAAACAACUCUAAAUAAAUUCAUAUACGCAUAGCAGCUAAUUACAGUCUUGAUACUUCAUUAGGUUUUUGUUAAUUUUCUAUACAGUUGUGCUGUGCAUUAAAGUUUUGUUAAAUGAAAUCGGUAGGUGAGGAUUAAUUAAUCAAUUAAUUAAGAUCCAGUUAAUGUAAUUAAUUUUAUUUGAUUUUUUUAAUUCGAGUUCUAAAUUAAUCAAUUAAUUUAGAUUCAUGUGAAAUUGAAGUGAAUUAGUUUCGAUCUGUUUUUCGUCCUAUGUUUGUCUGUGUUUACUCUUACUUUUUUUUUGUUUAAAUUUUCGUUUUCUUAUUGUUUACUGAAUAAAUUUCUGAGCUGUAUUUGAGUAUGAUUGAUUUGUGAUUUUAAUUUGUGACUUUUUUUUUUGGAAUUUAAAUCUGAAUGCUUUUUAAGUUGAAUCUGAUUGUGUUGGGCUGCGAUUUAAUUGAGUGAUGAGGGAGCGCCAAAUUGUGAGAGCCAAAUAUUCAAUAACCGAUAAAUUAUAUUUAUAAAUAUUAAUAGCGAUGGCACAUAAACAAUUAAUUCAAGAACUUGCCCAUAGUGAUUAAUUUAAAGAGUAUAAGUAACAUUGCAGUACAGUUAGCCCUUGCGUGUUUAAUUAGCAAUUGAAAACUAAUGUUGCUGAUGAGGUAGAACAUUAUAACACUGUUGCUGAUGAGGCAGCUGGUAAUUCUUCUGGUGAAGAUAUUAAGACUAUUAAAGCUGAAAUGUAAUUAGAGAAAUAUAAUGCAUUCCCUUAGUUUGCUUUUUGUUUUUGAUAUUUGUUUGGCUAAUGCUUUGCUUAGAUUACUUUUUGUUUUUGAGAUUUUAUUGGCUUAGUCAUGGGGUAUUGUUUUCUCUUCUAAUUUCUAUUUUUGUUGUUAUGGGAUUUUAUUGGCUUACUUUUUGUUUUUGAGAUUUAUCCAGUGCUUUCAAUAAAUCAUGGUCGAUUUACUGUUAAUUAAUCAAAUUUAAUUUACCCAAAUUACUCAUGUACACGAUCAAAAUAAUUAUAAUUCCAUGAUAUAUAUACACGCGCGCACACAAACAAAAUGUAAUUAACUUUGAAAUAUAAAAUAUUUAAAAUAAUCACCGUACUAACAAUUCACAAAUCAGAUUUUAUAUAAAUAGACGCAAUAAUGUUAAUCUAGCGAAUCCAGUCAUAAUAAUUUGAUUUUCAUUUAUAUUAAUUAUGUCAAACCAUGCUAUUUUAAUAAAUAGCACUUGAGAAUAUAUAUAUCCAACAUGUAAAAUUUCAAAACAAUAUUUGCCAAAAUCUGAUGAAGAGAAUAUACACGCACGCACAUAUAUAAUCGUACAGCAGAAGGAUAAAUAAAAGAAAAUGAAGUUUCAACAGUUGAAUAAUGCAAAUUCAUUUUUUUUUAACAAGCAUUUUAUUGUUUAAUUAAAAAAUUCGAAAACCGAUUGGUCUUAUAUACAUGAUAAAAACUCACCGACGCCGAACCAUAUUCAUUUAAAUUAGUUUUCAACUGAGAUUUGAAUUUUAAAAUUAUAUAAACAAGCACGCCCAAUUUUUUUUUUUAAAAAGUAGUAAUUAUAAAAUAUUUAUGUCGUCCUCUAAAAAACCAAUUUACAAUCUAUAAAACCAAUUUACAAUCUAUUUCAACAUAAGGUAUAUGGGUUAACAAGUCCCAAUAUUGUCCUCCAUCCUUUCUGCACUUCUCUUCUAUCAACCGACAUCUCCAGAUGUCUAAUUGCAAAAGUGAGGAAGGCAGGCCCUUCUCCGGAAAGUAUUUGAGCUUGGGACAUUCCCAGAGAUACAAUUCAGUGAGGUUUUGAAGAUCAACAAUUGAAGAAGAUAGGCGUUCCAGAUUUGGAAAUUUAUAAAUGCUCAGAGAUGUUAGAGAGGCAGGAAGAGGAAGCGCGGUCCCUAAUCUUUUGUCCUCUAGUGGAAAUGACGCCAUGUCGUCAUCGCAUCCUCUGAUUUCAAGACGUCGCAGAGAGGAGAAUCUGUGAAAUCCCCGUCCCCGCUCAAUCAUUGACUUCCAAAUCUCCAUAUUACCCCAAAUAUCAAGUGACUGAAGGUUGGUGGGGAGGCCAUCUUCUUCUUCAAGGCUUGGAAGCGCACCUCCUUUUCCUAUUGUUAAUUCUUGAAGAGAGCUCAGAUUGUGCAUUCCCUUGGGUAAGGCCUCUAGUCUCUUACAAUUAGAUAUCGCCAGCCUCCUGAGUUUCGCACAAGGCAAUCCCCCUUCGGGAAAGGACACCAGAUUUUUACAACUAUCUAUGCUGAUUGUUUCAAGAGAUGUGUUGUUGUCCAACCUUUCUGCUAUUGACUUCAACUUUGAACAACUCCAAACAACGAGGGACUUAAGAGACGAAGGUGGAUUGCCAACUUCAAGGGACUCAAGCGUGGCAGGUAACUCGUUUUUUGAAAAUAUACAUGUCAGAGAUGGACAACUAAUAAUUUCUAAGUGCUCGAGAAGAGAUGAGGUGUACCUUCUGCUGCUGCUGCUACACUGGAUGCCCUCUUCCACUGUCAAAGUCCUUAUAUUAUCACAAUCUCUGAUGCUCAACUUCUUAAGGCUCGGUGGCAGCUGGACAGCAGCAACAUAUGUCAACGAAUGGCAAUUCAGAAUAUUCAAGAUCUCGAGAGACGAAUUGGUGUCGCACAUCCAUGCCUCUGGUAACGAUUUCAGUGCACCACAAUACCUAAUCUCAAUUUCCUUCAACUUGGAAGGCAGAGCAACCUCAGGAAAGGAAACAAGGGAACUGCACUUCCAGAUUUCUAUCUCUCUCAAGGAACUGAGGCUGAACGAUGAUUGUGGCAGCUUCACAAGGCCUUCGCAAUUACUCAAUCUUAGAUAUUCAAGUCUGCAUGACAACUCGCAGAGCUGCUGUUGUUGGUCUUUCUUUUCCUCCGCCACCAAGGAUUGAAGUUUGGGACAGCUUGUAAUCGUCAGUCUUUUGAGAGAGCAAAUGUCUUGCAGUAAUUCGUUAUGACUCUUCCAUAUAUGUGUUUCAUUUUUAAUAUUUUUUAUCUCCAAUUCUUCCAGUUUUGGUAUUCGCGGCUUCAAUGGCCCUGCGAGAAACACUUGAUUUGAUGUAUCUCUACAAACCACUGCAUUCUGUGAGCCGAGAUGAUCAAUUGCACUUCUCCACACAACCUUUUUACAUCCACGAAUUACCAAUUUGCAAAGAGCUGGAAGACUCCUAAUUGAAAUUGACAAUUCUUCGCAUUGUUCAAUAACAAGCAUCUCCAAUGCAGGAAGCUGCUCUGGAAAUGUUCCUUGCAGUUUAGAACAUCUUAAAAUGUGAAGCUCUCUCAAUUUAGGAAACCCUUCAACUCCCUGACUGGAUCCAUGAGGAAACCACUCUUCCCACUCUUGCAGGUCUUCAAAAUGAAGAGUCUCCAAGCAUGUAAAUGGAAUUUGAGAGUCAUCCCCAUAGAACUCUGAACCCAAUCUCUUUACUCUACUCAUUCCACGCACUGUAAGAUGCUUCAGAGAGGGCAGUUGGCCGACUGACGGCAGGGCAGUACACAUGCCGCAAUCUUCAAAUUUAAGUGUUACUAAAUUUAAGAAUGAGGAAUCUCCUAACCAUGUUGGAAAUUUUGUACCUCCAUAGCCACAGAUGCCAAAUUGUUCCAGAUUUUUAUGGGGUUUGAGCAUGUCAAGCACACCCAUUUCAGUUUCUGCCUCCCUUGAAGAUGAACCAUCGGUGCUGCAAGUCCAAUUAAGCGAUAAUUCUCUAAGAUUCUUCUUUCCAUCCAACCGAGCCUCCUUUGCAUCACCAAUGUCUUUUACAUUCUCUAAUUUUGAAAUUUUAAGUGUCCCCUGAAGAUGUAUCAAUGACUUUAGCUCUCGUAACCCAGAACCAUUGUCUUUUCCCACAGCAAAAUUACCCAGCGUUUGAAGACAAGUCAGCUUACCAAUUCCUAGUGGCAUUUCCUCCAAGGAAUCUGUAUUUGAAUUAUUGAGAUGAUGCAAUUUGAUGAGAUUUCCCAUGUCUGCACACAACUUCUUCAGUCGUCGACAGCCCUCCAAAAGAAGGGUGUGCAAGUUGUAAAGCUUGCUGACUGAUUCAGGCAGAGUUUUAAUCUCAGUUCCAGACAGGUUAAGGUGCCUUAAAUACCUCAAAUCACCAACUGAAUCCGGCAGCUCGGCGAUGCAAUAUCCACGCAGAGAGAAGACCCUUAAGCUUUGGAGUUUGAACAACUUAGGAAGAAUGCUAUGAGCCAAGUAUCCAUGCCGACUAUUUAACAUCACUGGUAAAAAAGUUCUCAAAUGUUGGAUAUCAUACAAUUUCUCAAACCUUUGAACGCCAUCAUAAUCUCCACGAAUGUACGACAGAUAACGAAGAUUUCUAGAAAAACAUUGUUGCUUGUUAACCUCCGAGGUAUACUCCAGUGUGAAGUAUGUCUCCCCUGCAGCCCAACGGGCAAGGUCGUUGAUAAGAUCGUGCAUAACAAAUCGUGAUAUACUGUUGCUCGAUUGCUGGAAAAAAGAUCUUCCACGUAGCUCUUGAAAGAACUUUCGACCGAGAUCUUCACUAGGAUUCCCACUCUCUCCGUGAUUCAAGAAACCCACAGCACUCCAUAAUAAAAUUAUCUCCCCCUCUUCAAAUUCAUAAUCCUUUGGAAACAAUGAGCAAUACGCAAAGCAUUGUUUCAAAGGUGCCGAAAGAUAAUAGUAGCUCACUCUAAGCGCCGGCAUAAUGUCACAUCUCUCUUCUUGCAAUUCCCAUAUCUUGGUACUGAGCACUCUCUCCCAAUCACAUCUGUCAUCUUUUCCUCGCAAAAGUCCUCCAAGUGUUUGCGCUGCCAAGGGCAAGCCAUCGCAUUUGGCCACUAUCUUCUUGCCAAUUUCCUCCAAUAACUUAUCUGACCCCAAAGAGUGUUGAGCGAACACAGACAGACAAUCAUCAUUUGACAACUUUUUCAAUUGAUAAGCCCGAACAGUCCCCAUGAUGGCUGCAACCUCUUGAUUACGAGCUGUGACAAUAAUCUUACUUCCCGGUGCGCCAGCUUCAAAUGGAGGUCUGAGUCGAUCCCAAUCAUUGUAAUUCUCAUUCCAAACGUCAUCUAAAACAAGCAAAAAUUUUUUUCCAGAUAACUUCUUCUUCAGCUCCUCUUGAAGCUUAUUCAAGUUGUGAUUAUCCACGUUCUGGUCAGGAACAAUGGAUAUCAAGAUUGUUUUUGUUAGCCUGAAAACAUCGAAAUCAUCAGAGACACAAGUCCAUGCCUUGAGAUCAAAAUGAUCCUGCACUUGCUUAUCAUUGUAGACAAGCUGAGCAAGAGUGGUUUUGCCCAGCCCGCCCAUACCUAUGAUAGGAAUAACAGAGAAUUCACCAUCGUUGCUUAAAUCAUCCCUCAAAAGCAGUUCUACAACAUCCUUCUUUUCUGUUUCUCUGCCAUAUGCUUUGGCUUCCUUCACCAAAGAAGUUGUCUCUCGCCUUUGCCUGUCUUUUAUGGUCCUCCCACCUGAACUUACGUUCAAACCCAGCGAAUCCUUCUGAGUUACAAUUUCUUGAAAUCUGCCGUUGAUCUCUUUGAUUUUGGACAUUAUGGCGUAAUCGAACUGAAUCGAUUGUGGAGCAAAAGUGGUGCAGCAAGUGGGAAUGAGCUUCCGAAACUUACUUGUUCUUGUACGACUGCUACUGGGUUGAUCAAGAGCAGCAGCAGGUUCUCCAUUUCCAAGCAGCAACUUCCUCCGGAAAACCUCAGUUUGAAACUCAUCCAACAGGUCCUCAACAUCAUAAGCCAAGUUCUGAAGCUCGCCAAGCCACAACUUCACAGACUGAUCAGUCGUUUUCUUCUCCUCAGCAUCAGCAAGCACCGCCUUGAUCAUCACCAACAUAUUCUUCCACUUCUUUAGGUCGGCCUGGAUUUGCUCUUGGCGUGCAAACAACCGAAUCCCCUCUGAAGCUAACUUAUUGACCAGCAAAUCAACGGAAGCCGUAAGGAUUGCCUCUCCGAUGAUUGACAUUUUUUUUUUGUUUUUGUUUUGCAAAGAAAGAAACAGAAUUUUGAGUUUUGAAAAGCAAAAUGAGAAAAUUGAACAGUAAGUGUGGAGGGUCAAGCAAAAUGCGCGUAACAAGUCUUCCGCUUGUUGUUUAUUCCAGUAAAGCUAGAAUAAAAACAGAGCCCACCACCCAUUAAUAAUAAUUGAGCAAUUCACCAACCACCAAUCACCAGUCACCACUACUCGUUACCAUGAAUAUAAUAAAUUGCAACUUGAUAUUUGCAGGGUCCAGCAACAUUGACCCAGUGUCCGGGUAAAUGCUGAUAAAUCAAAACGUUUAUCUCUCUCUCUCUUUUCCAUAAAAUUACUUUAUUUAUUGAAUUAAUUUCCAUGCUAAAACGAAGACUUAAAAGUGCACUACAAUUUUUUAUAAUCACAAUGAUAAUUCUUACUAUCAUGUUAUCUUAAUGUCGUGUCAAAAUAAAUUAUAACAAAGUUUUUUCUAUAUGAAUACUCUUUUCAUUUAUAAAUUUUUCAGUUUUUAAUAUUUUUCUCACUCUUUUAGUCUUAAUAUUUGUAUUCCUCUCUUCAAACUUUCUUAAUUAUUUAAUUUUUAAAGAAAAAUCUAAAAAAAAGUAAGAAAAACAUUAUACUUAGAAAAUAAUGAAUAUUUUAUGGGUAUAAUACAAUUUUGUCUCACCUAUAAAUUUGUUGUUUAGCAAUUAGUUUGAGAAUUUUAAAAAAUUAUUUACAGUAGGAUAAAUUUUUAUUUAAUUUAUUUUUUCACAAUAUUGUAUCUUAAUUAAUUAAGUUGUUAUGUUUAUUACAAAAAUUUUGUUUUGGCUUAGAGGAUUACUUCUUAAAUUCAAAUUAUUUUAAUGAUAAUAAAAGAUAUUUAUAUUGUGUAAACAAAAUAAAAUUGAAGAGAGAAAGAAAAUAUAAAUGACUUAAUUCUAUUUAUAUUUGUCCUUAAAAUGUAAUUGUAAUAGAAUAAGGGUUUUAUAAGAUUAAUGAAGGGAUACCGAUAGUCCUACUCUUAUGGAAAAUGGCAGUAAAAAUGGAAUGUAUCCACUACAAACCUUCGCUUUACAAGUCUUCAAUCAAACAUGUAUUGAUUUGUAAAAGGAUCACUAGCAUCCGAUUAUUGGGAGGUAUUAUGGAGAAGUCACGCUUAGUAUUUACAAUUCAUGUAAGAUGAAUUUGUAAGACUUAUUAAUUUCGAUGAAAAUAUAGAUUUAUUAAGUUACUAAUUCAUUAAGUUAACAUGAGAUAUUAAUAUUUACUAAUUGUGGCGAUUAAUUUAUUUAACUUGUCAUGAUUUUCAAUUAAGAAGGAAGUUCAGUCAAUUUAUGGAAAGAAGGAUAAUUUUUUUUUUCAGAAUUUUAAUUUCUAGGAUUUUAUUUCACUUUGUUUCGAUUGUUGAUGUUGCUAAAGAGGCAGUGAAAGUUUGCUGAAUGCCAUCAGAUGCUUGUAUCUUAUCUCACAAAAUGUCAAUAUCGGUUUGUUUCCCUAUAGGCGCAGCCAUCAUGAAUUGAAAGUAACAACGUGAUGAGCAUAUAACAUAUACAUAUUUUACCAUUAAUUAUAUAAUUGUUAGUUAUUUUUAUUUGUUAUUUUUAAUUAAUUAAAUUAUUUUGUUGAAUAAAAAAUUAAUUAGAGAUUCUAGAUAAAAAGGGCAUGAAGAAGUUUAAUUUGGGAAGCAAAAAAAAAUAAAUUGAAAGAUAAAAAUACAGACAAGGAUUAAUGGAAUCCAAGCCGAAAAAAUCAAAGCACAAGGAUUUUCUUAAUGUCAUUAUUUAGGCAAGGGUUUUGAUGCAGCGGAAGUUUAAGAGAAUCAAAUCUGAAGAAUUUAUUAAGAGAAUCAAAUUGGAAGUUUUGAUGCAGCAAAAAAAAACUGAAGUUUGAAUUUCACUCACAUAGGUAAUAAGAGAAUUAAAUUAUUGUUAGAUUAAAUUGAUUAAAAAAAAUUAUCUGAUAUCCAAAACAGCAUAUCAACAAAAUUGAAAUAAAAGAAAAUUGAAGAGAAAAACCAUCGAGAGAACGAAAAUUAACACACGAAAAUUUCGAUAACUUCACUUAUUAAAACUUGGUUAUUUCAUUUUCAUUGAUAAUCAUUUUGACACCGGUCAAAUUUAAAAGUUUAAAUAAUGGGGGCGCUAUUUCUUUCCAGCUAUGCCCAUCGACUAAUUAAAAUACCGCCGAAACAGUUCAGGGAUAGUAUAGUAAUUUCAUUUAACAGUUUUCGUGCUUCAAAUCAUCAAAUCAAACUCACGGUUUCCGACUUGUAAUGGGUGCAACUCAUGUUUUUCAAACAUUAAGAUCUUUUGCCAUUCUGUUACUAUCCCAUGGUUAUUUAAGUUACAAGAGACAGUAAAAAACAUCAUCAUAUUUUAACGUCCUUUGAAUAUUUGAAGAGGUUAAAAUUUAGGCAGUGUUAUAUAAAAUAUAAUGUAAAUUAGUCUCAGUAAUUGUGUAGUUGUAUGUGAGAAAACAUACAAUGUAAAAGUGUGUGUGAGAAAACAAAAAAUAUGAAUCACCUUUGAUGUAGUUGUAUGGUUGUAAAGAAUUAGAUGGAGAAAUAUAGUAUAUAAUUAAAUUUAUUUUGUUCUUUAAAACGGAUAGGUUUUAUGCAAAUUUUUCAGAGGAGUGCCAAUAUUUCAACUCUAUCAUUGCUAUUAGUUUGUCUUGUAAUUCAAUCAUUGCCGACAAGUAUUAAUUGUGACUAUUAUUAUUUUAAAAAUAUUAUUAUUAUUAUCGUCGUUAUUCUUAACAGCAAUGACUAGAAUUAUAAUAAUAACAAUAACGUCAAUACAAUAAUAUAACAACAUAAUAAUAUUUUAAUUGGGGUCUUCCACCUGGGUAUGCAUGAUUCCUUGUGACAUGAUAUAGGGUGCGUUUGGGAUUGAGGUUAGGCAGCUGUAGCUUAAAAGCUACAGCACUAAAGUGUUUGAUAAACACUAACUGCUGUAGCUUUUAAGCUAUAUUGAUAUGAUUUUUCACUUGUAUAAUACAAAAUCUAUUAUAUCUUUAAAAAUUUUAUCAAAAUUAUUAUUUAAAAUUUAUAUUUACUAUAUAUUAUUAAAUUUUGUUUCAUAAUUACAGUUUUUUUUUCACAGCAGCUGUAGCUUAAAAGCUACAACACCUCAAUCCCAAACGCACCCAUAGAGCCAAUUAAAUUCUGAAAUGCGUGCAAUAAAGACUGUAAAGUGACCAGUUAUUCCGGUUGAAUUCACAAGAGCUCUUGUUUGUGUGUUUAUGUUUCAAGUUGUGUACUCUGUGUUACGAGUUCUCUAAUUAGUCUGAUAUUAUCGCAAUUAUUGCUCAAUAAUGUUACAAGUAUUAUAAUAUAUGUCACUAGUACGGUCGUUGUCUCGAGUGGUACACAUUAAGGCACAAAUUUAGAACGAAAAGCUUCCCAGUAAAAUAAGUUAUUUAAUUAAUUAAAUAAGAAUAAAAUGAAUUUGUGAAAGAAAUUUAAAUUUUAUUUUGAAUUAUUUUGACCAAAAUUUAAGUUUUUUUUUUUUAAAUUUGUUUAAGAAAAUGCAUUGUAAUUGUCUUGUUUUAAUUGGAAAAUCAAUAAAAAAAAUUAUGUAACAGAAAAAAAAAAAAAAAAAAGCAAAACGGUUUGUUUUGGAUGGAGUCCAUAGAUUCCAAUAUUUCCUUCACGAAAACUACAAAAAAUUAUCAAAGCCAUCAAUUUCUACACUCUCACCGAGCAAAUACUCUCAACCUAGAUGAAAGUGUAUAAAUCAACCCCAAUCAGUCCAUCAAUGUCGUCAACCUCAUACAGCAUAAAAAAAUCUGUGUCCAUUAAACCGCCAUCUUGCCAUCUCGUUGUAGUAUUUUACUGUUCAAAUCUAGUUAUCAAUUGGGCAAAAUGGGGACCAAUCUGCAAGUCUUUAAAAUAGAAAGAAACUUUAAUUGAGCACUAUGUUCACGGUGGUGGACCCGGCGGCAGUAAUCUUUAGGGUGGAGUUAUUUAUAUUUUAAAAAUUAUUUUAAACACUCUAAUUUUAAUAAGAAUAUGUAUUACAAAAAUAUUUAUCAUAUAAGUUACUAUUAAGAAUAAUAUAAUAUAUUAUAAGUCAACAUUAUAUAAUUAUUGUGAACACUUGUAUAGCACAAUCCUUAUUUAUUUUAUUAUUCUCAUGACUUAAAUAUAAAAAUUUUUAUUUCCAACAUCUUAAUUAAUAUGUAGAUGAAUAAUAAGGAAAUUAACUUUGAGAAAAAAUUAAAUACAAAAUAUGUGUAAUACUUUUAAAAAAUAAAAUAAAACAAAAGUAUUGCACAAGAUUUUUUUUUGGGAGGGAUUUUGCCAUUCUUCUUCUUCUUCUUCUCCUUCUCUCUCUCUCUCUCUCUCUCUCUCUCUCUCUCUCUCUCUCUCUUUUGGUAGUAUUUAUGGAACAUUUUCUCUUGUUAUGUUCUCAUUGCAAGUUAUUUUGGGUGCAAAAGUCAAUAUUAAAAAUAAAUUAAAUAAAAAAUUAGUAACUAAAAUUAUGUUAAAUUAUUUUUUUACAACUUAAUUUUUAAUUAUAUUUUGUGAGUAUAUGCUAAAUCUCUUAAAAAUAGAGUGUUGAAUAAUUUUAUUAGUUUUUUUAAAUAAAUGAAGCUAAGUAACUUAAAAAGUUUAGUAAGGAUAUUUUUGAAUUUUAAAUAAUGUACAAAGUAAAAUUUAAUUUUUUUAUAAUUAAGCUACGAGCGUGCAAAGUAAUAUUUAGAGUGCUAAUAGUCCUACCCUAAUCUUUAUCAUCACAUUAUUUUCCAUAAAAAGUUUACAAUUAUCUCUUUAUUGGAUAAUUUUGUUCCCUCUCUUACCGUUAUGUUCCCCUACAUUCUCAUAUCUGCAUCACCAUUUAAAUUGUAAUCAUAACGUUAAUCUUUAUCAUUUCACAUAUUUUGCCAAAUUUAUACGCACUGCAAAGCUCUUUCCUUUUUUUUUUUUUUCCCGUUAAGUUUGCUAUAAUGUACAUGAAGAAUAGUUAAAGAGCUCUUUCGAGUCCUUAUCCUUUCUUUCGAGUUUACUUUUGCUUUUUUUUUUUUUUAACGUUUCUCUGGAAUUCACUUCAACAUCACUGGCGCGUUUUCUUCUUUCUCACUGCAACAUCAACUGGGCCACCACCUCUUGCCUCUCCCGGUUCCCCUCAAUUUUCGUAUUCAAUGUCCACCGUUGAUUGUACAUUUAUUAAAAUUCUGUGGUUAUUAUUUUUUGCAUAUAUUUAAUUCCACACGGUCUAGAUCGUAGUUGUGUCCUUUUAAUUGAGGAUGAGAAUGAAAUUAUGAAAUUUAAGUUGGGUAAAAAUGGUGAGUAUGAGGAAAUUAAAUUACAAUUCUUUAAGAUAAAUAAUUUGUAAAUCCCACAUAUUUCAUUUUUAUUUCUCUAGUUAAAUUAUAUUUUAAUAAAUAAAUAUAAUCAAUUAUUUUAAUAUUUUAAUUAAUAAACACGACAUUAACUACGGAACUAAAAAAUCCAAAAAAAAAAAAACAGAGGCGUGUGUGUAUUGCUUGUGACAAAUGUCACCCAUGGAAAACCUUGUGAAAGGCAUUUGAAUGUGUGGCCACAUUUAAUGAACGAAACGAUAACUUUAAAAGAAAGUAUGUACUGUGUUAAUUAUUAGGCUUUAGCUUAAUGAUUUCAAUUAGUUUGUCUUUUAAUUAAAUUAUUGCCGACAAACACUAUCACGACCCACGUCCGCUACUUGUGUGAAUGUGUGUAUAAAUAUCCGCAGCAUAUUAUCAAACUUGAUGCGUGAUCAUCUUUAAGUUUUGGUUACGGUUCAUCAGACGUUAGAAGACAUCUUUUUUAAUUUGAAGAAGAUGGAAACUCCGCAGGUUCUUAUGCCAUGUUCAAUUGAAUGUCAUUUAUAAUUUUUAUUUUAAUAUUAUGUAUUUAUGAAUAUAAUUAUUAUUAUGAUUUUUUCAAAUAAAAACGGAUGGUCUAAGGGUAAUUCAAUAACUAUGUACAGUAUUAUUAAUGAUGAGAGCGUGAAUGAUAAUUUAGAUUUUAUUCUCUUCUCUCAAUACAGAAGAAAUCUCGACUGUAGUAGUUAAGUGUUAUGUAACUCUUUCGUAUUAUGUUCAAUUAAUAAUAAAAUGAUGAGUUAUUAUUACCUGUCAAUUAUGUGAGUGUCUUUGUUUGAUUUAGUUCAACUUAUAAAAUCUCUUGAGAUAUAUAAGAGAUUUUCUUUGUUUACUUUCAUGUACCGCGUCUUCUUGUAAAAAGUAAUUAAUAAAAAAAAUAUCAUUGUGUGCCAUGUAUUGACUAAGUUAGUGUAUUCAUGUUAGGUUAAUUGUGCUCUCUCUUCUUGAUUUUUUUUUAUUAAAAAAAACUCCACGUAUUCUUGGUUAGCUAAUUCUUGCAGGUAGCAAGUGAUCGAUCCUUUUCUUUCCCCUACUGCUGUACCACCAAAUCCUUACAAUUACAUAUCAAGUGGUAUUCGAGCCGUCAAAGGAUCCAUGGAAACACGCAACAAAUCAAAUGCUGAAUUUUGCGAAGAGAUUCACGAAAUCCUUGCUAUACAUGAGUCUAGUUUUGACCAAGUUCACGUCACGCAUCAGCUGCGGGUUUGAAUGGUACCUAGUGGAUAUUUUGUGAGUUCCCACUAAUAAAAUCACACUUGCACAAAACUUAAAAAUUUAAAUUACGUAAUUCAAAUUAUAAAUUUAUAAUGGUAGCCUAAAAAAUCACAUAAAAUACUUAAUUCUAGAUUUUAUCAAUGUAAAUGAGAAAUGACAGUUUUAACAUUAAAAUAAAUACACAAAAUAUAUCAAUUUAACAUAAAUUUUUAAAUUUAAUUACCAAAUACAUAAGUCUAUCGCAACUCAAAGUGCUUUCAAUUGAAAACGAAAAAAGAGAAAGAAAAAAAAAACAAAGAACUACAAAUCAAAAUAGCAGCCAUGACCCAUUUUACAGUCUCAUUCAAUACCACUAGCACCCAUCAAACACGAUUUUUCUAAACAAAGUAUAAAGUACAAAAUUACAAUAAGCAUAUCAUACUCCAUGCUUUAAGUUAAAGAUCCUUAUAUCUUUUUAUGAAUAAUUUUUUAAUGAAAUUUUAUGAUUAAAAUUAAAAAUACAAACAUUCAAAUAAGAAUGUCGGACACUUGCGCAACUAUUCACCAAAUUUUUUCUCUAUAAAAAUCGACCUGCAACUUUCAAUAGGUUUAAAUUUAUAAUAUCAAACCUGAUUGCAGCUCGCAAAAAUUAUCCGUUGCGGCCAAGACUUUGGAUUUGCGAUGAUUUUGCCACCCUAAGUGUAGUUAGUAUUGUAUAUCAUGUGGCUCUUAUAAAAAGCCUAGAAGUUGUUUGAAUAACGGGGUAGACACAUAUCUCCCAAAGAUUUUCUCUUUUUCAAAUUAUUAUUUUUUCUCUAUUAUUGUAACUUCGAAUCCUUAUAAAUUACAGAUUGGAGACAUGAACACAAUGUUUUGACAUAGUGGACUUUUGGCUUGUCCAAAGAAAUUUAGGAUAGAUUUUUACGCACUAAGGUUCUAUUUACUAUUGAAGUUUUAGAACUUUUAAGCCACACCAGAAAUUUUUAUUGUUUUGAUAGAGUUGUAGUCUUUGAUAUGUGAUUAGUAUUAAUUAAGUGUUAUGUUUACAAUAGUUAAAGGCAUAUUGAAUCAAAAUCCACUUCUAAGGGCUUGAUUGAGUGAUUGUAAAGUAGGUUUUUAGUUUGCUAGCCACUCAAGUUCAAAUAUUGGAACCACAUAGCUUUAUAGCCAAGUGAGAGAACUUGUGCCCUAAAAAUUGAGGGGUGCAUAUCGAGUUUUACCACCAAUAAAAGUUGGUGUUAAAACUUUAAUUUCCCUCCUAUUAAUGGAUAUGGGUGAUUAGGAGUUUACAUCCCCUCCUAUUAAUAGACAGGGAUUAUUAGGAAUAUUAAAAAAAAGUUCAAAUAUUGAAAAUGUAGGUAUGGGUUAUAAAAUUCAUAAUAUAAAGACACAAAAUCAAGAUAAAGAUUUAAAAAUUUAGAACCAUGAGAGCGUGACUUGUAAGUUUCAAAGAAGCAUGUGCAAAUAUAUGCAUUAUCGAUGCCCAAUUAAGGGUGGGCAUUAAGAUCGGGUUAACCCGAACCGAACCGAAUCAAACUUAAAAUUUAUUUUGGAUUUAAUUUGGUUAUAGUUGAAGCUUUCAACUGAGUUCAAAACUUAAAAAUGAUUGGGUUGUAUUUCUGUUCGAAUUUAACUCCAGAAGACUAAUCAAUCCAAUCGAGUUAAGUAAGCAAAUUAAGAAAAAAAAUCCCAAAAAAUUAAAACUAACCCUAACUAAAAUAUUCGACCGGGGCCUCCUCGUUUUCUUUUCUUCUUCCUCCUCUCGCUCACCCCUAAUGCCCAUUCAUGGAAAUCCAACAGCUCCAAACGCGUUUCAGCCGCUCGCACGUGUGAGAAAUUUUCCUUCUCAUAGGAUUAUUCGUUUCCUUCGCUUGCAUGCCAGCAGAAUAUUCAGGCCGAGGAUUUUUCCGGGCCUAGCCCAACUAUAAGCUCUCCCAAAACCCAAUCAUAAGUUCAUAACGUUUAGCGUUUGCUAUUACUAUAAUAUUUUUUAACGAAUUUUCACAUUCAUCAACAUAGGCUGACAGAUUUUGUAGAAAAUAAAAUUAAAUAAAAAUACAAGCUCACGAAAUUCCUUUUCCGAUGUGGGAAUCUAUCUACACCUUUCACGUGCUUUUUUUUUUUUGGUGGUGGGGGAUUCCCUUGCUUUUGUUUGCAUUGCCUUAUUGGAUAAAAGUUUGUACAACAUCGUCUGUUUGGUUAAAGCCGAGCAUGAGUGAAGAAAUUUUUUUUAAAAAAAAUUUCCCAUUAAUUUGCAACAAGUAUUAAUAAAGUGCAUGAGAAAAGACACCGGGAUAUGCCUUUUUUAAAAUGAAAAUAAAUGUGUUAAUUAGUCAAUUUAAAUGGUAUGACAUUUUGAAAUGAUAGAAGUGAUCUAAAGUUUAAAUCUUACACUUAAUUUAGGGGUGGGGAUUAAUUGAUGUAAUAUAUAAUAACGAAUUCGAAAGAUAAUUAAAAAUUAAAAGAAAAUAAAAAAGUGCUUUCUUUUUUAUGAUGGUAAUUUGUUUAGAUGAUGAAAACUCUUAGAGUGGUAUUAUCAAUACAUAGUAUUUAUUUUAUUAUAUUUUUAAAUUAAUAAUAAUUAUUAAUAUUCUUAACUAUGUAAAUCACAAUUAUUUUAUUAAUUUUAAUUUAAAUUAUAUAAAUAAAAAAUUAAUAACAACAACACAAAUGAAACAUUAUUAUUGAUAAUAUAGUACAAAUUAAUUUUUUUAGAAUAAAAUAUUUAUUAUUAUUAAUUACUAAUAUUAAAUAAAUAUAAUAGUAUUAUUUUUAAAUAAGUAUAAUAAUAUUAUAUUUUCAAAUAAAAAUAGAAUAUAGUAAUAUUAUUAAUUCUUUAUGAAUAUAAUAAUAUUAUUUUUAAGUAAUUUUAACUUAGAAUCAAUAUAAAUUAUUAUUUUUAACCAAAAAAUUAAUAUUAUUUUAAAUAUGUUUAAUAUUAUUAUUUUUAAUAAAUUUAAUUUAUAAAAUAAUAAAAUAUUAUUAUUUAAAUAAAUAGGAUUUUACUUAUUUUAUUAAAUUUAAUAAAAUAAAUAUGUUUAAUAUUAUUAUUUUUAAUAAAUGUAAUUUAUAAAAUAAUAUAAUAAUAUAAUUUAAAUAAAUAUGAUAUUAUUUAUUUUAUUUUAUUAAAUAUAAGGGUAAAAAAUGAAGAGAGGCGAGUGAAUUCCCACUCCCACCUUCCUCCAUGGGAGUGGGAAUCCUACUCCCCACUCCAAAAUUAGGUGGGAUCCACACAGUGGAAUUCUCACUCCUCCUUUGAAAAUUAUAAGUAAACAUUGGAGUAAAAGUAAUCCACACUCCUCACUCUCACUCCUUAAAAUAAACACUACAUUAAAGAAGCCACUGACUCAUAAGAAAACCAUGAUUAAGUACACGACGAAACAUGUGAGCUCGUUUUUCAAUUUCUUUGAUCACUCAUAAGCUUUUCUAUACCACUCACUAUAUCAUCCUUUUAAGUCAAUUUUGACUGAUCAUAAGAGAUUAUGCACCCCACCUUGAGAUGAUUGAUCACCAAUUUGGCAUUGUAACGUUGAUCACCUCUAAUUGGCCAUGCUAAAAUUGGGACCCCAUUGCCAAUUACUUCUACAGUUAAAUUUUAUCUACAGUGAGAUAAAAAUCCACCUAUUAAUUGAUAACUUAGUAUCAAUAAUUAUGGCGCCGUUCCAUCUAUUAUCAAACCCUUUUUACCGGCUCUACUAUCUAAACCACUACGAAAAUAAGCUGGUUAAAAAUAAAAAAUCCCCAGUUACUCUGCUCAAACUCGUUAAUAUUUGUUUCCACCACCAAAGCAGCCACUCGUAUCUUUUAUUAAGCAUAAUGUUUUUAAACAAAUAUGAUGAAAACUCUUAGGGCCAGUUUGGUAAUGCUGCAGCUUUUAAAAUAAUUGCUGUUAGCUGUGCUGUAGAAAUAAUCAGCUGUGAAGAGAAUCAGUUAAGUGUUUGGUAAAUUUUAUUUUCAAAAGUACUGUGAAUUUUGAAAGCAGUUAUGGGUGUUUGGUAAAUUUUAUUGUUAAACUGCUGUAAGAAAAUAAAUGACCAAAAUGUACAUAAUGUAAGAUGAAAUUUACCUAUACAUAUAAAAAUGUUGUAAGAAAAUAAAUUUACUUGCACUAGAGAAGUUUUGAUAGAACACAAAAUAUGAAGAAAUAGGGUAAACGAAAGGUGUGCGUUAAUUAUAAUAAAAAUUUAUUAAAAUAUUGAUUUUAUUUCUAAUUUAACUAAGGAUAAUUUCGGGUUUAAGUAAUAAUUGUAAGGAUAUUUAUGAAAUUAUAUUAAAGGAUAAAAUUGAUUCUCAAAAUCAGAAUCUAAAAGUUACUAUUUCCCUGCUUUUCAAAAUCAGUUGUAGGAGGAGCUGAUUCUGGCAAAAGUGAUUUUGAUUUUCUUUUACCAAACACCAAAAUUAGCUUUUAGAUUUUUAAAAUCACUUUUAACCCUCCCAAAAGCAAUCCCAAACGGGGCCUUAGAGUGGUAUUAUCCCAUGUUUACUCCAAUGAUUUGGUAUACGCACAUGUAUUUUGGUAUACGCACAUGCACGCUAUAAAUUUAGUCAAGAAAAGUGAAUGUAUCUACAUACAAAUACUUAUCCCAUAUAACUUCAUUUCUUCAACUGAAGAAUCGGUCGUCUCUCAUUUUUUAUUUAUUAUAUAAAGAUAAAUAUAUAAAUUUAAAUGGCGAGAAGAGCGGACGAGGAAUACGAUUACUUGUUCAAAGUGGUAUUAAUCGGCGAUUCGGGAGUCGGCAAAUCGAACUUACUCUCCCGAUUUACUCGUAACGAGUUCUGUUUGGAGUCCAAAUCCACUAUUGGCGUCGAAUUCACCACCCGCACUCUUCAAGUAACUAACUUUUCCUCUUUCACUUCUCUUCAUUUUUAUUAGUUAAUUAAGAUCCAGUUAAUGUAAUUAAUUUUAUUUAAUCUUUUAAAUAAAGUUCUAGAUUAGGCUAACUUAGAUUCAUGUCAAGUUGAAGUGAUUUACUUUCGAUCUCUUUUUCGUCCUAUGUUUAUUUGUACUUACUAUUACUUUUUUUUUGGGUAUUUUCGUUUUUGAAGUGUUUACUGAAUAAAUUUCUGAGCUUUAUUUGUGUAUGCUGAUUGAUUUGUGAUUUUAAUUUGUGAUUUUUUUUUUGGCAUUUAAAUUUGAAUGCUUUUUAAUUUGAAUCUGAAUGUGUUGGGCUGCGAUUUAAUUAAGUCAUGUGUGAGCACCAAAUUGUGAUAGCUAUAUAUUGGGGUGAAAAUUUGGGAUUUAAAGCUAUGUAUUUAAGAUGCAGUUAAUUGGCAAGUGAAAAUUAUGGGCCGGCAGAUUUUGUCAUUGGAAGACUGUUCUCCACAUGUUGAAGUUAGUGAUGCAAGUUGAAACCAAUCUGUUUAAGCUUGGGGUUUCAUGUCUUGAAUCAAGGCUGUGACUUGGGGUGGGUUGAAAGUAUUAUAGCUUUAGCUAUUCCUGAAGUGAUCUGUUUAGACUCACCGUGAUGAGACCGAGUGCUGUACAGUAAAAUGAAAGGAAGUUGGAAAAUAUUUACUUAGCAUUUCGCGUUACUAAUGUUGAACUAAUAAAACCUAGCCCCUAUCCUAGUGAAUUUAUGUUAAAAAGCUAUGCACGCAUUAAGUUAGUGCGAGAGUCUGCUGAAGCAUAUGUCAGCUGUGUGUUUGGAGCUGAGUAUUCUUCAUUCCACAUUUUGGGUUUUGGUUGACCUCCAGCAUGACUCAACCCACUUGAGUUAAAAGCCCUAGAGUUACAUUCUACCCAUGAUAUUUGAGUUUAUCAAGUCACCUUAUUUUAAUACUUCUCUGGAAAACAAAUAUAUAUGUUAAAUCAGGUAGGAAAAAUAAAAAGUUAAUUAUUUUAAUACUAAGGUUUUGAAACAUUAAGAUCUUUAGCCAUUAUGUUACUAUCCCGUAGUUAUUUAAGUUACAAGAGAUAGUAAAAAAUAACAUCAUAUUUUAAUUACUUACACUAAUCCUACAAGUGCUGAUGGUCUAAAGUUGCUGCUGCUUGCACUGAAUCAGUGGUCAUGGGCCAGCCAAGGUUAGGUGAGGCCAACUCAUUAGCUUGUGAAACUUAAAGAAGUCUUAGGUUUGGAAAAGAUGGGGCACAGGUUACAAAAAUUUUUUGAGUUUUGGAUUGAAGGAACAAAAUUGUUGAUGUCUAGCUCACAAUAUUUGAAGUCACUCUGUGCUUCAUCAUGUCAAAUGGAUUGAAUUGCUGUAAGAUCAGGUCAAAUUAAAAUGUUUAAACUCAUUUUUAAGAAACGAAUUCUCAAUUGGACCAGCCUUUCACAGAAGCUGAUAUCACAGAAGCUUUGAGUCAGAUGCAUCCAACCAAAGCCCUUGGCCCAGAUGGUCUCCCAGUAGUAUUUUUCCAAAAGCUUUAGAAUUCAGUAAGCGAAGGAGUUAUAGCCACUUGUCUGCAUAUCCUCAAUGAUGGAGGUAAUAUUGCUCCUUUGAAUCAUACAUACAUUGCUUUAAUCCCCAAGAUAGCAAAACCUAGGACUCUGAUGGAGUAUAGACCAAUCAGCAUAUGUAAUGUAAUUUAUAGGAUCAUUGCAAAGACUAUAGGGAAUAGGCUGAAGCUAAUCUUAGAUCAUGUUAUUUCGCCAACUCAGAGUGCUUUUAUGCCAAAUAGGUUCAUAACUGAUAAUAUAAUUAUUGGGCAUGAGUGUCUUCAUAAGUGGACAAAGCUAUGUUCCAGAGGUGAGAUAGGAAAUUCUCCCGCACGACACAGCAGAAACAAACUUUCCCUUUCAUUUUCUUUUCUCUUUCUCGCUCUCCAAACAGAGCAAAAGGACCGUCGGAAGAUUCUUCACUUCCAUCCAAAAUCAUGAGCAACGAAUAGUGAGCCUCCCUGUUUCCUUCCUUUUUUUGAUAUUAACAUUGUUAACAUAUACUCAUUUUAAUUUGACAAUACUUCAACUUUUUUUAUUUUUUUGCCUUUUCAUUUUUUUUGUUGAAGCAAUUAUCUGUUCAAGCUGUUGCUUAUCGAAGACUCGUCCUUCGGAAAGUCCUGCCUGCUGCUCCGAUUUGCUGUCUGUUGACUUUUCCUUUCCCUUCUUAUUUUCUUUUUUUAUAUUAAUUACUUUCUAUUUUAGCUUUUUGUUCUCUGAAUUUGUGUUAUUAAAAUGAUAAUUUAGAUGACAAAUAAUUGUUAUUCUUGUAAAUUUAGGUUUUCAUUACGUUAAUUGUUAGUUUUUAGGUUUAUUAAUGUAAUUUUUUUUGUUUUUUUUUUUUCAAUUUUUCAGGAUGAUUCUUAUGUCACCGCUACAUCAGUACCAUUGGAGUUGAUUUUGUGAGUCUCUCUUCUAUAUAUAUGUAUAUAUGUGUAUAAGUUAUAAUAUGAGUCUAUGUACGUGUAUGUAUGUAUGUGCAUGUAUAUGUGGAAAGAAAUGUUGGCAGACUUCAGCAUUUUACUCUUUUUUUUUUUUUUUUUUUGGGAGAAAAUAAGAACUGUGGAGUUGGAUGGGAAGACGAUCAAACUGCAGAUUGUGAGUCAAAAUUUCCUUUUAUCUUGUAUUGAGAGAAAUUCGAUUUGUCUUAUUUAGUGAAGGUUAUGUUCAAGAACCUUGUCUUAUUUUCUUUGUUUGAAGAGUGAUAUGUUGAAAUGAGUGUAUUUGUCUUAUAAACAUCAUUUAGGUAAUGUCUUAUGUGUGAUUGUUUUGCAUCUGUUGAGUGGGACACUGCUGGACAGGAGCGAUUCAGGACUAUAACUAGCAGUUAUUACCGAGGAGCCCAUGGAAUCAUAGUAAGGAGCCUUUCCGGUUCUUGGUUUAAAUCAGAAAGUUUGUGAUUUACAUGUGACAUCUUAACAGCAUUGUAUGUGUUUAUUAACUUAUUUUUCAUCUUUCGUUAAGCAGUACAUUUUCCAAUAAAUCUGUAUACAAGAUGAUGUAGUCCAAGAAUGGGAGCGAUAAUAUGAUGCAAAUUGUCUAAUAAAUUCUUAUGACAUAUGAUGUUGUCGGAAGUAAAAGUCUUGCAAUGCUGUAUUCUCUUUUAAGAAAGAAUAAGUGGUAAUCUUAUUUUUCCAAUUUUUUAAUUGAGCAACUGUGUGAGAUUAAUUAAAUGUGUUGGGAUUUCAACAGAUUGUCUAUGAUGUAACUGAGAUGGAGAGCUUCAAUAAUGUCAAGCAGUGGUUGAAUGAGAUUGACAGAUACGCAAAUGACAGUGUAUGCAAGCUUCUAGUGGGGAACAAAUGCGAUUUAGUUGAGAACAAGGUUGUGGACACACAGACAGCCAAGGUAUAUUCGUGACUUCUGUCGCCUGAACUUUGAAUAUAAUUUUAAACUCUUCUCAAGUGCAUUUGCUUGAUAAGUUUCUGCAUACCCAGGACACUCAAACUUUGGACAGUUUGUAUCUCAAGCUGGAAUCUUUUUUGUCAAUACGACUUGUUAAAAUAAGGGUUAUUAUCGUUUGAAUCCUUCAAGAAUUGCAAUAAAUCUAAAGUCCAUAAAAAAAUAUGAUUCCAUCUUUUUACUAUUAUAUCUAGACAAAACCCAUUAUUUUACUACAUUUCAUUGGCACGGAUAGUUGACCUGUUGGCUGACUGAUAAAAUAUCAAUUUUGCACUUUAUAUUAAUUCUUUUUUGGUUAAAAAAUAACACACAAAGUAUUACAAUAUUAUAAAUUCAAAAUAUAAAGUAGUUACAAAUAAUUCCUAUUAGCCUAUGAAUAUAAUAUUUGAUACCUCUAUUUGUGUAAUUUUUUUCCAAUGGUGAAAUUGUUAUUUUUUUUUGUACUAACGGAAAUGUAGUAAAAUCAUAAGUUUUGUAAAGAUAUAGUAGUAAAAUGAUAGACUAAAAUACUUCUUGUAGUUGUUUGAUAUAUUGUAAUUCUUAAAGUAGUCAAUUGAUAAUAUCCCCUAAAAUAAAUGUUCGUAAUAUGUUCUCAUUUUAAUGCAACUGAUUGUUUAAUAAAAUUGUAUUUCUUUGUUAAUCUUUUAUCAUGUGCAUGCUCAGUGAGAAUUUGACUUACUAGAACACAAGUUUGACUCUUCAUUUAAAUGUCUCUUGUAUCAUAUCCUUUAAUGUUGAGUGUGAUUCCAAUAAAAUUGAGUAGGGAGAUCCUUAAAUACCUUUUCCUUUUUUCCAAGGGCCUGCCAAAUUGCUCUAAGUGGUUCUACCCUUUAUCAAUGAAUAAUGAAAAUAAAAUUUUUAUUAAAGCAUUUUGUUCCUUAAAUGGUGACUAAUAGUACCCCUUUUUUUUGGAGAGGAAAGCCAAACAUGCCCAAAGAGAAUCAUUUACUUUCCUCUAAUGUAUUUUCUAAUUCGUUUUGAGCCUUGAAUGUCUGUUUUGGUGCGUAUUCUCAUUCCAUGUUGAAUCUUAUCCAUAUGGACAACCCCACUUACAAAAAAGUCUAAUGAAUCUAUUGAAGUUCAUAUGAGGUUUGUGCUUUAGAUUUAGACCUCUCUCUCUCUCUCUCUCUCUCCACUUACAUGUCUUUCACUUACCUGUCUUUCACUUACCUGUUUGCAUGCAUGCCCAUGCACACACUUUCACGAUAAUACUGUAGGGGAAAAAUCAUGUUUUUAAAUUUUAUAAAACCUUUUGAAGAUCGCUCUCAUAUAAUAUAUAAGAAUUCGUAUUCUAGAAAUCGUACCUUGAAAAUCCGAGUUGGCUUUUCCACUGAAGUGAUUUAGGCUCCUAGAUCACGAUCUGCCACCACCACUCCUGUUAGAUCACGAUCCGUCAUCACCACGCUUGUUAGAUCACGAACUGUCGCCAAUGAUCUUCCAGGUUAUGACUCAGGUUCGAUCUGCACUUGACGUGUGGGCGCCUUUAUCACUGCCAAAGCAACUAGCACGAGAAAAUUUUUCUCUCAAUCAUGGAGAGAAAAAUCUUAUUCUCUGAUUUGUAUAAAGUGGCUUCUUCCUUUUUCUUUUGAGAAAAUAAGCCUUAUAUAUCUCCCUUUAGUGAAAACCCUAGGCUCCAAAUAAUGCCCUAAAUAAAACUCACGUUAUUUUCUUUUUCAAUAGGGAACCCACCUUGUAAAAUAACAUAAGGCCCCUUAUACAAAAGCUAAUUAAAUGGAGCCUCCCACUAAAUGAUAUAUUUAGGCUUUUGACCCAAAUAGCUAGUUAUCUUACUUAUUAGUCCAGUGGUGGUGCAGUCAAUUAAAUGAGCUAACCCGGGGAUCAUUUGGGAACAUACAAUAGUGGCUACAAUAAUUAGGCCUGUAAUUAAACUAGCCUAAUUAUUUAAUUCCAAAUCUACUCCACUAAAAGAUUGGAACUGACUUCCAUAAUUGUAUGCUCGAAUAAUAAUUCGUCCCAAGCCACAUUGAUUUCUUUAGUGCACAAUCCUUUGUACCACAUCGUUAAUUAAAUUGAUAUCUCAACUGUCCAAUCAAUUUAAUAACAUCUUAUUCCUUGAUCCUUACUGGUUUUCUCUAAUGAUCAUUUUCAACAUACUAAAUAUGUUGACACACUCUGGCCAGAGAAUUCUAUGAUCAAGUGCCGAAAACCCAUCAAGAGAUGUGUUGUACAAAUUCUAUAUUGUUAAUCCAUAACUCCAAUACUCAUAAUUGCUCCCACCAAGAUACCGGGUAAUCUUGACCACAAGUAUGUGUUGUGUCCAUUGGUAACUCAAAUGGAAUAACAAUUACAAUCAUGAAAUCAUAAUUAACUCAAGAUUAAGAUUACAGUAAAAUCAACGCCUAUGAGAUUUAAUAAGUCUGACAGUUAUUACAAAGUUAAUUAAAUCUCACAUGUGAUCCUGUUCAAUGUAGUCGUACUACAUCAAUAAAUUCAUACAUGAUUAAGACAAAUCAUUCAAUGAAUUUAUUACAGUCUAUACCUAAAUAAAGUGCCCAACUUUAUUUAUCAACUGCGAACUAAAUUUAUUUAAUCAUAAGAUAACUUGUAUUUAUGUCUUCUGUGAAUCCACAUGGUGAUCACAUAAAUACAUAUAAUAUGAUUAAAUGGACUUUAAUACAAAUAUUAAUGCAAUUAAGAUAUUUGAAUAAAAUACCUCAUUUAUUUUAUUAAUCAGAAAAACUGUUUAUUACAAUUAAAUAAACACAUAUGCUUUUAAAGAGCAUAUUUUCCCAACAAAUACACGGUCACUCGUACUUGUGUUUUGGUUGAAUUACUGGCUGCUAACCUCUGUAAUUCAGUUUGAAACUUGCCACCCUUAGUGCUUCACUCAAAUGGUUGGUUAGGGUGAGAUCUGUAUCGUUUUCUUGGUCUCUUUCCAAGGUUAUCUAAAGGGAUUUGGCAGUCUGAUUCUUUAGGGAAUAUCAUUGCAUAAGAUAUCUAUUGUUUGUUAAUGAAUAAUUUCUAUUUAACUAGUUAUCUAUAUAAAUUGGUAAAUUUUAACUGCAUAAUUUGCAUGCAAUAAGAUUUUAUAAGAAUCUUGUUUUCAACUCAUGACUUAGACUAAUGUGAUAUGUUGAGCAUUAAGCUACAAGAUCUGCACAUCAAAGUGCUUCACAAUGUUAAGGAGAAAGCAUCUUUUUCUGCUUCUUCAUGUGAUUUAAAGUUUCCAAGGUACUUAUCCAAUAAAAUAUCUUUCAAGACUUUGGAAAUGCUUUUAUAUAUGACUGAGAGAAACUUGUUGGGUUGGUUUUUAGCAACAGACGGAGUUAUGGACUUUGUGUUGACUUGUUAUUGAUUAAGACAGUACAUCGGCUGAUCUAUUGGCAUCAAGCAGCAGAUGCAGAAAUUAUGGGUGGCAUACCAUUGUAUCCAAAUAACAUACUACAUUGAUUUUUCUGACUUUCUGUUGGUCUCCGAGUGAAAUGCAGGCAUUUGCAGAUGAACUGGGGAUUCCUUUCCCGGAGACGAGUGCCAAAGAUGCAAUCAAUGUGGAGCAGGCUUUCUUGACCAUGGCUGGCGAGAUUAAGAAAAAGUAAAAUCACUUAACUCUUUCCUUCUUGCCGACUGUUCUUAUUUAACAAUCACUAUUAUUGCUGGUUAUAUGCAUUGUGAUGAAAAUUCUGCAAUGAGUAACUUUUUACCUAAUGUUUUCUGUUGGAACAAAUUACUCUGGUAGAAAAGCCCUACAGGGUUUGAGAAAUCCCAUGAUGUGAUGAUUGUGAGCAUUUUAGACACCGUCUAUGGGUUUAUUUUGUGACUAUAAAAUGUUAAGAUUGUUUCUAGUUUUGGUUUGUAGUGCAUAAAAGGAUUCAAAAUUUGACAUCUGUCUAAAUCAGAUUAAUAACAUGAUAAUGUACAUAUGCAAGAUGUGAGGAAUUGUUUUAUCUCACCCCUAAACUUUAAGAAAUUGAAACAGUAUUAUUCAAAAUAUUUAACAUUUCCAGAAUUGAUAGUUGUCUAUUUGAGCAGUGACUGGUGGUUAUCAUGAACUGAUGUGCGGUUGUGGUUUCAAAUCUUGGUGAAACCUGUUGUCCUAUGCUGAUUAACAUAGUUAGUCUCUGAAACAAUUUGUUGAUUCACUAAUUAUGAGUUAAAAUUUGAUGCAGAAUGGGCAACCAGCCUACUGCAAACAAAUCUUCUGGAACAGUUCAGAUGAAGCGAAUGCCAAUCCAGCAAAACAGCGACUGUUGUGGUUAGCCGAGCAUCUUAUUUUACUUCUACAUGUUAGCUGACUGAUUGUAGACAGUUUUAACUAUGUUGACUGCAUUAUCUUAUGAAUCUUUUAAUCUGUCAAAUAUUUAUUUCCUGCUUUAAGUUCUUUCCCGUUUAUAACAAAUUUAAUUUCUUGCUCCAUUGGAUUCCAAAUUCCUGUCAAUUUACGAGGGAAAAAGAAAAGAGAGACGAAAUGGGAGAAAAUGGUCAAAUUUGUUAGGCGGAGAGAGCUGUUUAAGUAGUUUUUGUUCUCGUUUAUUGUCGUGACCCUCAUGUCGCUUAUCGAUUACCUGGAAGUCCGGUCGUAUCGGAUGGGUAAAGUUACCGAAUCGGCAUCAUUUUGGGUGAAAUAUCAUAUUUAUGUGACACUUUUGAUAAUAUUUUUAUGUGUUACAGAGUAUGAUAAUAUGGUACAGCUGAGAGCAUCUGAUUAAAUGGAGCUGCUGAUGCUUACGUGUGUUGUUGAGUUAGUUAUCCAGCUCAGCAGUAAAGAUAACGAACUGGACUGCAUGCAUAUUAGAUUCAACAAACUGACAAGCUACGAGAUGCCUCUGAUCUUUUACUAUAAAUAACAAGUUGUAAUCAUCAGUCAAAUAAUAAGAAUAUGAUCAUUUUCAGAUCUGAUUCUUUAUGAUUUUCUUUCAUUUUCUUGUUAGUUUCUCUUAAACCAAACACUAUAUACAAACUCUUUCAUGGUAUCAGAGCAAACAAAUGGCAAAUUCGAAUCAAAAUUCUGGAUCCUAUAGUUUUAUUACUCCGAUAAAACUAGAUCAUAAUAACUUCAUUGUUUGGCGAACUCAGAUUCUCACAUCCAUUAAAGGAAAUGGUUUAGAAGAUUUCAUCAAUGGAAAUCAAGUCUGUCCGGAAAAAUUUUUCUCUGCUACAAGCUCUGCUGCUGGUUUCUCAUCUGGAACAGAUAAUCAAGAGAUCAAUCCAGCUUACACAAUGUGGAUAAAGACGGAUCAAUUGAUUCUGAGCUGGAUGCUCUCAUCUAUUCAACCGAAUUUGCUGACAACUGUGAUCCACUGCUCAACUGCAAAGGAACUGCUGGAUACACUUACAAGUAUGUUUGUUUCCCAGUCACAAGCUAGAAUAAUGCCUCUAAAAAUGCGAAUCCAAACUCUUAAAAAAGGCUCGAUGUCCAUAACUGAUUAUUUUGCAAAAAUGAAAAGGAUAUCUGAUAGCUUAGCUUUAGCUGGAAAACCUGUUGAAGUGAAUGAUUUCGUUCAACAUGUUUUGACUGGAUUGGAUUCUUCUGAUUAUGAGUCACUAGUUACUACUGUGUUAGCUAGAGGAGAUAAUAUCAGUCUUGAUGAGUUUUAUUCAUUGUUAUUGAGUCAUGAAAAUCGUGUGGAACAAAAGAGAGGAAAAAUUGCAAGUGAUGUUACACAUAACUUGUCAGCUAAUGUUGCUCAAAAGCAGUUCAAUCCUGGUAAAAACACUAGUGGUAAUCAGAAGUUUAACACUGGAUCGUAUGGAGGAGGUUAUAAUUCUGGAGCUGGAUCUAGUGAUGGUAACUUCUCACAAAUUGUAUGCCAGAUCUGCUUCAUUCCUGGUCAUGGUGCCAAUAAAUGCAGGAAUAUGUUUAACUCAGCUUUUGUUCCUUCAAGAAAUCAAGGAAGAGGUAGUUUUAAUGGAAAUUUUAGGCCUGGUCAGAGGCAGUAUGGUAGAGGUUUUGGCUAUGCUAAUGGAAAUAGGUCUUCUAUGGCUUAUGGAAAUUUUGGUAAUUUUGGUAGAAAUCUUAAUCCUCAAUAUGGUGCUGGAAUUGGUAACUCUCAGUUUGGUAAUUUCAACAUACCAAGAGCACCUGGUUAUCAAGGUCAUUUGAUGUAUUCAGAUCCAACUGCUUUCAAUGUUUAUCAACCAUCUAACUCUCAUGGUGGUUACUCUCCUGCUCAUGUUUUUGUUCCUACUGGAGAUUACUCUGGAUCUCCUUCAGUCCCUGUUCCAACUCAUGCACCUGAGAUGAUUGAAGAUCCAGCUUGGUACAUUGACAGUGGUGCUACUAACCACAUCACAAAUGACUCAGGUAAAUUACUGGAUCUCAAGCCAUAUGUUGGCACUGACAAAUUGCUUGUUGGGAAUGGUUCUGCAUUGCAUAUUAAACAUAUUGGAUCAGUAUUGCUAGCUACUACUGCAAAUAAACCCUUGUGUUUAAACCAUGUUCUUCAUGUUCCAAAUAUUAAGAAAAAUUUACUCAGUGUUUCAAAGCUCUUAGUAGAUAACAAUGUGACACUUGAGUUUUUUGCAAAUGUCUGUGUUGUCAAGGCCAGGAACUCAGGGAUCACUUUGCUUAGAGGAAUUGCAACAGGGGGAUUGUAUCAAGUCCAAUCUGCAACUCAAGUCUCUGAAACUAGCUCAGCCUUGUCAUGUCAACUUUCUUCCAAUAAACCUCAGUCUUUGUUUGCUUUUCAUUCUCCUUUGUCUAGUGAUAUUUCUCCUGAAAUAAGUAAGAGUACUUUGUCUCAUCAUUUGCUGUGUAAAUCAGCCUUGGCUGUCAAUACUAGCUCAGUCGAUGUCAAUGUUUUCCAUAAAAGGCUAGGACAUCCUGCCUUACACACACUCAAAUCUGUAUUGAAAGCUUGUAAUAGUUUCAAUGUACUCAAUAAAACUCCAAACUUUUGCAAUGCCUGUCAACAUGGUAAAAGUCAUCUUUUACAUUUUGGAUCUGUUCCAACAAAAACAACUGCACCAUUACAACUUAUAUAUGCUGAUUUGUGGGGACCAUCACAUGUUGCAUCCACUCAAGGCUAUAUAUACUAUCUGUCCAUUUUAGAUGAUUUUAGCAGAUUCACAUGGAUUUUUCCUUUGACUGCUAAAUCAGAUGCUCUCCAAGUCUUCACAGAAUUCAAAUCCUUUAUUGAAAAACACUUACAACAACUCAUCAAAAUAGUUCAAACAGAUUGGGGAGGGGAGUUUAGAACCUUUGCAUCAUAUCUCACUCAAUUUGGAAUUCAGUUCAGGCACCCUUGUCCACAUAUCCAUCAUCAAAAUGGAAGAAUUGAGAGAAAACAUAGACACAUAGUUGACAUUGGCCUCACUCUGUUAGCUCAAGCUAAUUUACCACUUAAGUUCUGGUGGAAUGCCUUUCAUACUGCUGUAUUCCUUAUCAACAGACUACCCACACCAACUUUGAAUAACAUUUCACCUUAUCAAAAACUUUUUCAGCAAGUACCAGAUUAUGCCUCUCUUAGGGUCUUUGGUUGUGCUUGCUUUCCUUAUCUCAGACCUUAUAACAGACACAAGCUCAGUUUUAGAUCAAACAGAUGUGUUUUCAUUGGGUAUAGCUCUUCUCAUAAAGGGUAUCAGUGUCUUCAUUCAUCUGGUCGUGUGUAUGUGUCCAAUCAUGUCAUCUUUGAUGAACAAUCCUUUCCAUAUGUAUCUGGAUCAGACUUCUCUUCCAUUGCUCAGUCUUGCAGUCCCUUAGAUAUUUCUUCAGAGUCCAAAGUUACUCUUGUUCCAAUCCCACAAGUACAAUCCCCCCUGCAAGAAUCUCCAGCAAGUGAUUACCUACCUGCUGACACUCCACAGGUAUUCUCUCCAUCUUCAACCUCCUCUUCAUCAUCUACUUCAACAUCACAUACACAUCCUAUACAUCAUACACAAUCUCCUCCUCAUAUAUUACCUGCUGCACCACCUAUAGGUCAUCCCAUGAUAACCAGAUCCAAGGCUGGUAUCUUUAAGCCUAAAUCUUUUUUAGCUGCUUUACUAGCCAUACCUUCAGAACCUACUUCUGUUUCAGCUGCUUUAUCUGAUCCAAAAUGGUUUAAGGCAAUGCAAGAAGAAUUUCAAGCACUUCAGAACAAUCAUACAUGGGAUCUGGUCUUGCCAAGUGAACCAGUUAAGGUAGUUGGAAACAAAUGGAUAUUCAAGAUAAAAUAUCAUGCUGAUGGAACCAUUUCUAGAUACAAAGCCAGGUUAGUGGCUAAGGGGUUUCAUCAGACACAAGGAGUUGAUUACACAGAAACAUUCAGUCCAGUUGUUAAAGCAUCCACAGUCAGAGUUAUUUUAAGUUUAGCAGUUCUGAAUAAAUGGGAGCUCAGACAAGUGGAUGUGAAUAAUGCUUUUUUGAAUGGCAUAUUAGUUGAAGAUGUGUACAUGGGGCAGCCAGAGGGCUUCAUUGAUCCAUCUCGACCUCUUCAUGUCUGUAAGUUGAAAAAGGCUCUCUAUGGUUUAAAACAAGCCCCCAGGGCAUGGUUUGAGAGACUGAAAGAUGCUAUGGUUGUGAAAUGGGGUUUCCAAAAUUCAAGGUCAGACAACUCCCUUUUCUACAAGUGGAUAGGUGAUCAAGUAAUUUUUGUUCUUGUCUAUGUGGAUGAUAUAAUCAUAACAGGCUCAAGUGAUAAAAUGGUGCAGCAAGUGAUCACAAAUAUGCAAAAUGCUUUUGCUUUGAAGGAUCUGGGAAAAUUGAGUUAUUUUCUUGGGAUAGAAGUUACCAAAACAGCAUCUGGAAUUUAUCUAUCUCAAUCUAAAUACAUAGCUGAUAUUCUAACCAAACACAAUAUGGCUGACUGCAGUCCAGUUCCUACUCCCAUGGCCACUGGUCAUUAUCUUACAAAGGGGUCAGGAAGUGUUAUUUCAAAUAGUUCUCAAUAUAGAAGUGCAGUUGGAGCCUUACAGUAUGUGACUCUCACUAGGCCAGAAAUAGCUUUCUCUGUAAACAAACUUAGUCAGUUUUUAGCUUCACCAACAGCAGAGCACUGGGAGGCUUGUAAGAGGCUUCUUAGAUAUUUGAAAGGAACAAUUCAUUUUGGAUUACAUUUUUAUCAUUACGGCACUAUGCAGAUAAAUUGUUUUAGUGACUCAGAUUGGGCAUGUGAUAAGGAUGAUCGCAAAUCAGUGGCUGGUCAUGCUGUUUAUCUUGGUUCAAAUUUGGUUUCUUGGUCGUCUAAGAAACAGGCAGUAGUUUCCAGAUCAAGCACUGAAGCUGAAUAUAGAGCUUUGGCUCAAGCUACAGCUGAGGUUACUUGGAUUCAGUCCUUACUGAAAGAGCUACAUAUUCAUCUUGUCACAGCCCCCAUAAUGUGGUGUGAUAAUCAAAGUGCCAUAGCUUUAGCUCACAAUCCUGUUUAUCAUGCUAAAACUAAGCAUGUUGAGCUUGAUAUUCACUUCAUCAGAGACAAAGUAACAGCUAAGCAAAUUACAUUUCAGUUCAUUCCCAGUGAAGACCAAAAUGCCGAUGUUCUUACCAAGGCAUUAACUUUUAAUCAGUUUCACUAUCUAAGAAGCAAGCUGAAUGUCCAUCCAGGUCAGUUCAGCUUGAGGGAGGAUGUUACAGAGUAUGAUAAUAUGGUACAGCUGAGAGCAUCUGAUUAAAUGGAGCUGCUGAUGCUUACGUGUGUUGUUGAGUUAGUUAUCCAGCUCAGCAGCAAAGAUAACGAACUGGACUGCAUGCAUAUUAGAUUCAACAAACUGACAAGCUACGAGAUGCCUCUGAUCUUUUACUAUAAAUAACAAGUUGUAAUCAUCAGUCAAAUAAUAAGAAUAUGAUCAUUUUCAGAUCUGAUUCUUUAUGAUUUUCUUUCAUUUUCUUGUUAGUUUCUCUUAAACCAAACACUAUAUACAAACUCUUUCAUUAUGCAAUAAAAAAAUGCUCAUGGUACCCGUUUCACAUUGUGAAGCGCAUGAUCAGAUCAGAGCAGUCUGGAUUCUGGCAUCACAAGCGGAUGCUUUGACUUGCUUAGUUUGUUUUUUGUUUCUGAUAAUUUCUCGACAUUGGGUGGGAUAUUGUUUCUCUUUUGAGUUUCUCUUUUUAUUUUUUAUCUUAUGGAAUUUGGAGAUAGUGUAAAUGUAUGAAGAUGACGUAAUCAAGUUGUUUUGAUAAAUUCCCCUGGUCGGUUUACUUCACUAACCAUUAAUGCGCAAAACCUCCUAAUGACCCUCAAAAAUCCCGUACAUAAUUAAAGAAUUUCAAUUUUAUAUGUACAAAAAUAAAUAACUCUCAAAUAUAUUAUUUGAUAAUUCUCAAAACAACAAUUCGCUCUAAUAAAUCUCGUAGGAAAUACAUAGUCUAUAUUGUAAGUCUUUUCGAGACUAAUUCAAAGAGAAAAUACGAAGGAUAUAUAAUUGACCUUUAUCUGUCAUAAAGAACUCUAAAUAAAUUCAUAUACGCAUCGCAACUAAUUACAGUUUUGAUACUUCAUUUGGUUUUUGUUAAUUUUCUAUACGGUUGUGCUGUGCAUAAAAGUUUUGUUAAAUGAAAUCGGUGAGGGUUAAUUAAUCAAUUAAUUAAGAUCCAGUUAAUGUAAUUAAUUUUAUUUGAUUUUUUUAAUUCGAGUUCUAAAUUAAUCAAUUAAUUUAGAUUCAUGUGAAAUUGAAGUGAAUUAGUUUUGAUCUGUUUUUCGUCCUAUGUUUGUCUGUGUUUACUCUUACUUUUUUUUUGUUUAAAUUUUUGUUUUCUUAUUGUUUACUGAAUAAAUUUAUGAGCUUUAUUUGAGUAUGAUGAUUGAUUUGUGAUUCUAAUCUAAAUGUGUUGGGCUGCGAUUUAAUUGAGUGAUGUGUGAGCGCCAAAUAUUCAAUAACUGAUAAAUUAUAUUUAUAAAUAUUAAUAGCGAUGGCACAUAAACAAUUAAUUCAAGAACUUGCCCAUAGUGAUUAAUUUAAAGAGUAUAAGUAACAUUGCAGUACAGUUAGCCCUUACGUGUUUAAUUAGCAAUUGAAAACUACUGUUGCUGAUGAGGUAGAACAUUAUAACACUGUUGCUGAUGAGGCAGCUGGUAAUUCUUUUGGUGAAGAUAUUAAGACUAUUAAAGCUGAAAUGUAAUUAGAGAAAUAUAAUGAUUAAAGAGGUGAGCUUUGAUAACCAUCUCUUUAACUAUAUCACUUAAAUAACUAACUUUUUAAUAUUAAAGCUGAAAUUUAAUUUCCACUAUUUUUGAUAUUUGUUUGGCUAAUGCUUUGCUUAGAUUACUUUUUGUUUUUGAGAUUUUAUUGGCUUAGUCAUGGGAUAUUGUUUUCUCUUCUAAUUUCUAUCUUUAUUGUUAUGGGAUUUGAUUGUAGUGUUCAUAUACGAAAAUUAUGUAAUCAAGUGCUUUCAAUAAAUCAUGAUCGAAUUACUAUUAAUUAAUUAAAUUAAAUUUACUCAAAUUACUCAUGUACACGAUCAAAAUAAUUUUAAUUCUAUGAUAUAUAUACACGCGCGCACACACAAACAAAAUGUAAUUAAUUUUGAAAUACAAAAUAUUUAAAAUAAUCACCGUACUAACAAUUCACAAGUUAGAUUUUAUAUGAAUAGACAGAAAUAAUGUUAAUCUAGCAAAUCCAAUCAUAAUAAAUUGAUUUUUAUUUAUAUUAAUUAUGUCGAACCAUGCUAUUUUAAUAAAGAACACUCCGGUGUUUAUAUAUCCAACAGGUAAAAUUUCAAAACAAUAUUUGCCAAAGUCCGAUGAAAAGAAUAUACACGCACACACAUAUAUAAUCAUACAACAGAAGGAUAAAUAAAAAAAAAAAUGAAGUUUCAACAACUGAAUAAUGCAAACUCAUUUUUUUUAAACAAGCAUUUUAUUGUUUAAUUAAAAAAUUCGAAAACCCAUUAGCCUUAUAUACAUGAUAAAGACUCACCGACGCCGAACCAUAUUAAUUUAACUUAGUUUUCAACUGAAAUUUAAAUUUUGAAAUCACAUACACAAACACGCCCAAUUUGAAAAAAAAAAGUAGUAAUCAUAAAAUAUUUCAAUCGUCCAUUGUUCAGUCACCAAAAACCAAUUUACGAUCUAUUUCAACGCCUAAUUUGAAAAAAGAAAAUACUAAUAAUAAAAUAUUACAGUCGUCCAUCCUUUCACAAAUAAAAAAUAUCACCAUAAACAUCGGGUAUAUGGGCUAACAAGUCCCAAUAUUGUCCUCCAUCCUUUCUGCACUUCUCUUCUAUCAACGGACACUGAUUGAUACUUAAUUGCAAAAGUGAGGAAGGCAGGCCCUUCUCCGGAAAGUAUUUGAGCUUGGGACAAUUCUGGAGUCGCAAUGAAGUGAGGUUUUGAAGAUCAACAAUUGAAGAAGAUAGGCGUUCCAGAUUUGGAAAAUUGAAAAUCUCCAGAGAUGUUAGAGAGGGAGGAAGAGGAAGCGCGGUCCCUAAUCUUUUGUCCUCUAGUGGAAAUGACACCAUGUCGUCAUCGCAUCCUUCGAUACGUAGACGUCGCAGAGAGGAGAAUCUGUGAAAUCCCCGGCCCCGCUCAAUCAUUGACUUCCAAAUCUCCAUAUUACCCCGAAUAUCAAGUGAAUGAAGGUUGGUGGGAAGGCCAUCAUCUUCUUCAAGGCUUGGAAGCGCACCUCCUAUUCUUAAUUCUUGAAGAGAGGUCAGAUUGUGCAAUCCCUUGGGUAAGGCCUCUAGUCUCUUACAAUCAGUUAUCUCCAGCCUCGUGAGUUUCGCACAAGGCAAUCCCCCUUCGGGAAAGGACACCAGAUUUCCACACCUCAUUAUCCGUAUGUCUCGAAGCUGGCGGAGAUUAUGUAAACCACUCGGUAAACUUUUCAGAUUUUCACAAUCAGGAAUGUAGAUUGUUUCAAGAGAUGAGUUGUUGUCCAACAUUUCUGCUAUUGACUCCAGCUUUGAACAUCCCCGAACUAAAAGGGACUUAAGAGACGGAGGUAGAUUGCCAACUUCAAGGGACUCAAGCGUGGCAGGUAACUCGUUUUUUGAAAAUAUACAUGUCAGAGACGAACAACUCUCAAUGUGUAAGUGCUCAAGAAGAGAUGACGUGUACCUUCUGCUGCUUCUGCUGCUGCUACACUGGAUGCCCUCUUCCACUGUCAAAGUCCUUAUAUUAUGGCAACCGCAGAUCUUCAAAUUCUUAAGGCUCGAUGGUAGCCUGACAGCAGCAAUAUAUGUCAACGAACAACAAUAGUGAAUAUUCAAGAUCUCGAGAGACGAAUUGGUGUCGCACAUCCAUGCCUCUGGUAACGAUUUCAGUGCAUCACAUGCUCCAAUAUGAAUUUUCUUCAACUUGGAAGGCAGAGCAACCUCAGGAAAGGAAACAAGGGAACUGCACUUGUAGAUUGCUAUCUCUCUCAAGGAACUGAGGCUGAACGAUGAUUGUGGCAGCUUCACAAGGCUUUCGCAAUCACUCAAUUCUAGAUAUUCAAGUCUGCAUGACAAUUCGCAGAGCUGCUGUUGUUGGUCUUUCUUUUCCUCCGCCACCAAGGAUUGAAGUUUGGGACAGCUGUCAAUCGUCAGUCUUUUGAGAGAGCAAAUGUCUUGCAGUAAUUCGUUAUGACUCUUCCAUAUAUGUGUUUCAUUUUUAAUAUUUUUUAUCUCCAAUUCUUCCAGUUUUGGUAUUCGCAGCUUCAAUGGCCCUGCGAGAAACACUUGAUUUGAUGUAUCUCUACAAACCACUGAAUUCUGUGAGCCGAGAUGAUCAAUUGCACUUCUCCACACAACCUUUUUACAUCCAUCAAUCUCUAAUUUGCAAAGAGCUGGAAGACUCGUAACUGAAACUGACAAUUCUUCACAUCCUCGAAUAACAAGCAUCUCCAAUGCAGGAAGGCAUUCUGGCAAUGUUCCUUGCAGUUUAGAACAUCUUAAAAUGCUAAGCUCUCUCAAUUUAGGAAACCCUUCAACUCCCUGACCAGAUCUAAGAGGAAUCCAGUCUUCCCAUUCUCGCAGGUCUUCAAAAUGAAGAGUCUCCAAGCAUGGAAAAGGAAUCCGAGAAUCAUUCCCAUAGAACUCUGAACCCAAACUCUUUACUCUACUCAUUCCACCCACUUCAAGAUGCUUUAGAGAGGGUAGUUGCCCGACUGACGGCAGGGUAGUACACACGCCACAAUCUUCAAAUUUAAGUGUUACUAAAUUUGACAAUGAGGAAUCUCCUAACCAUGUUGGAAAUUUUGUACCUCCAUAGCCACAGACACAAAAUUGUUCCAGAUUUUCAUGGGGUUUGAGCAUGUCAAGCACGCCCAUUUCAGUUUCUGCCUCCCUUGAAGAUGAACCAUCGGUGCUGCAAGUCCAAUUAAGCGAUAAUUCUCUAAGAUUCUCCUUUACAUCCAACCGAGCCUCCUUUGCAUCACCAAUGUCUUUUACAUUCCCUAAAUUUGAAAUUUUAAGUGUCCCCUGAAGAUGUAUCAAUGACUUUAGCUCUCGUAACCCAGAACCAUUGUCUUUUCCCACAGCAAAAUUACUCAAAGUCUGAAGACAAGUCAGCUUACCAAUUCCUACUGGCAUUUCCUCCAACGAAUCUGUAUUUGAAUUAUUGAGAUGAUGCAAUUUGAUGAGGUUUCCCAUGGCUGCACACAACUUCUUCAGUCGCCGACAGUCUUCCAACAGAAGGGUGUGCAAAUUGUAAAGCUUGCUGACUGAUUCAGGCAGAGUUUUAAUCUCAGUUCCAGACAGGUUAAGGUGCCUUAAAUACCUCAAAUCACCAACUGAAUCCGGCAGCUCGGAGAUGUGAUAUCCACGCAAAGAGAAGACCCUCAACCGUUGGAGUUUGAACAACUUAGGAAGAAUGCUACGAGCCAAGUAUCCACGCGAACUCUUUGUCAACAUUACUGGUAAAAAAGUUCGCAAAUGUUGGAUAUCGUACAAGCCCUCAAACCUUUGAACGCCAUCACAAAAUCCGCGAAUGUAUGACAGGUGACGAAUAUUUUUGGAAAAACUUUGUUGCUUGUUAACCUCUGAGGUAUACUCCAUUGUGAAGUAUAUCUCCCCCGCAGCCCAUUGAGCAAGGUCGUUGACAAGGUCGUGCAUCACAAAUCGUGAUUUAUUGUUGCUUGAUUGCUGGAAAAAAGAUCUUGAACGUAGCUCUUGAAAGAACUUUCGACCUAGAUCUUCAAUAGGAUUCCCACUCUCUUUGUGAUCCAAGAAACCCGAAGCACACCAUAAUAAAAUUAUCUCCUCCUCUUCAAAUUCAUAAUCCUUUGGAAACAAUGAGCAGUAUUCAAAGCAUUGUUUCAAAGGUGCCGCAAGAUAAUAGUAGCUCACUCUAAGCGCCGGUAUAAUGUCACAUCUCUCUUCGGGUAAAUCCCAUAUCUUGCAACUGAGCACACCUUCCCAAUCACUCCGGUCAAGUUUACCACGUAAGAGACCACCAAGAGUUUUCGCAGCUAAGGGCAAGCCGUUGCAUUUGAUCACUAUCUUCUUGCCAAUUUCCUCCAAUGACUUGUUUGAACUGAAAUCUCUUGUCCCCAAAGAGUGUUGAGCGAACACAGACAGACAAUCAUCAUUUGACAGCUUUUUCAAUUGAUAAGCCGGAGCAGUCCCCAUGAUGGCUGCAACCCCUUGAUUACGAGCUGUGACAAUAAUCUUACUUCCCGGUGCGCCAGCUUCAAAUGGAGGUCUGAGUCGAUCCCAAUCAUUGUAAUUCUCAUUCCAAACGUCAUCUAAAACAAGCAAAAAUUUCUUUUGAGAUAACUUCUUCUUCAGCUCCUCUUGAAGCUUAUUCAAGUCGUGAUUAUCCACAUUCUGGUCACUAGCAAUUGAAAGUAGGAUUGAUUUUGUAAGCCUGAUAACAUCAAAAUCAUCAGAGACGCAAGUCCAUGCCUUGAGAUCAAAAUGAUCCUGCACUUGCUUAUCAUUGUAGACAAGCUGAGCGAGAGUGGUUUUGCCCAGCCCGCCCAUACCAAUGAUAGGAAUAACAGAGAAUUCACCAUCAUUUCUCAAAUCAUCCCUCAACAACAAUUCAACAAUUUCCUUCUUUUCUGUUUCCCUCCCAUAUACCUUGGCUUCAUUCACCAAAGAGGUUGUGGGUAGUCUUUGCCUAUCUUUUUUGGACCUCCCAACUGAACUUACGUUCAAACCCAGCGAGUCUUUCUGUGUUACAAUAUCUUGAAAUCUGUCGUUGAUCUCUUUGAUUUUGGACAUUAUGGCGUAAUCGAACUGAAUCGAUUGUGGAGUAAAAGUGGUGCAGCAGGUAGGAAUGAGCUUCCGAAACUUACUUGUUCUUGUACGACUGCUACUGGGUUGAUCAAGAGCAGCAGCUGGAUCUCGAUUUCCAAGCAGCAACUUCCUCCGGAAAGCCUCAGUUUGAAACUCAUCCAGCAAGUCUUCAACAUCAAAAGCCAAGUUCUGAAGCUCGCCAAGCCACAACUUCACAGACUGAUCAGUCUUCUUCUCCUCAGCAUCAGCAAGCACCGCCUUGAUCAUCACCAACAUAUUCUUCCACUUCUUUAGGUCGGCUUGGAUUUGCUCUUGGCGUGCAAACAGCCGAAUACCCUCUGAAGCUAACUUAUUGACCAGCAAAUCAACGGACGCCGUAAGGAUUGCCUCUCCGAUGAAUGACAUUUUUUUUCUUUUUCUUUUUUUUUUUGGUUUUGCAAAGAAAGAAAGGAGCAGAAUUAUGGGUUAUGGAAAGCAGAAUGAGAAAAUGGAACAGGUGAGAAAAUGGAUAAUUAAUCAGAACGAGUUUGUGAUUGUGAAGGGUCUGGCCCAGCAAGCUUAGUAGAAAUCACGCGUUUAUACUUUAUUGACCAAUGACUAAUAAUUUGGCAAUUCACUCAUCACCAUUCACCGCCACUUGGUAAGCAAAAUGAAAAUGCUUGGUAAUUAAGUGUGGUCAAGCAAAAUACGACGUAAAAUGUGUCAAGGGUCUCCCCACUUGUUGUUCCUUGCAGCUUAGAAAAGAAAAACAGAGCCCACCACCCAUUAAUAAUUUAGCAAUUCACCAAUCAUCACCACUUGUUACGAAACCAUCUCAUAAACCAAGUUCGUAGGUCGAGCGGUUAAUCCAGUGUCUAUUUCCUAGAACCUUCAUCUCAUAAACCAAGUUCAAUCAAAACGUUCCUCUCUCUAUUUUUUUUUUUUUAAAAAACUCCUAAAACGUUUCUUUUUAGAAAUAUUUUACUUUAUUCAACUAAUAUGAUAUCUAACAAAUAGACACAAUUGAAUCACUCUAAAGUGAAGAUGAAAGGGGAAAAAAAUAACCUUCCAACUACCAGUAAUUUAGCAAGCUUCACUUUAUUCCACCAAAGUGUAAAUAAAGCCAGCCCCCACCACCAUCAAUAAUUUUGCAAGCUUCACACGCUUGUUGUCUUCUCCUUGACGAACUGGACAUGAGUGGACCAAGAACCAAUGACAGAAUUUUAAAAAUAAUAAUAAGAGAAAAACCUACACAUUUUCGACUUAGAGUAGAACCAUAAUUAAUGCUAAAAUCUACUCAGCUAACAUUUUCAAAAUAUUGUUCUUUAUGAUUUUCAAAACCUUGAUUAAGGUUCAUCUCAAAUGUUUGAAGAGAGUCUAUCAAUUCUUCUAUGCUAAAAAUAUCAAAAUUCUUACUUUUUCUUCAAACAUUGAAUAAUAAAAAAAAAAGUUGAAUAUGGAGGAAAGUAGAAUGCAUCCAUCUUCGCUGUAGAAGUCUUCUACUUAUUAAAGCAAGUUAGAAUAAAAGAUUUUAAUCUCUCUUUUUAUUCCUGUAAGUGCACUACAUUUUUUUUUAAUCUCAAUGCGAAGUCGUAUCAUAAUGUUAUAUUCCUAUUGUAAAACAAAAUUUUAGAUAAAACAAAUUCGACUCAUUUUUUAAAGGUAUAUAUUUAGUAGGUUACUAACAAAACUAACAAAACGUGAUUAUUACACUAAAUGAAAUAAAAGACAGUACUAUCACCAAUAAUUUAGCAAGUUUCGCAUGCAUGUGUUUCUAAAAACAUUAUAUGGAAUCAAACAACAGUGAUACAAAGAGAAAAGUGGAAAUCCUCUGAUUGUAUUUUUCUUUUUCUUUUUCAAAAGAAAUGGUGGGGUUGGUUUGUUUGCAAAGUUAUUAGCGUGGGUCUAUUUGUUUUUGUUUUAACUUUAUUAAUCAAUAAGCAAACGUGUAAUGAUUUGUAUAUAUCACUAGCAUCACAUUAUUGGGAGGUAUUGCGCUUAGUAUUCACAAUUUUUAUAAGAUGAAUUUGUAAGACUAAUUAAUUUUGAUGAAAAUGUAUUGUUACUAAGAUAUUAUUUAAUUCAUUAAGUUAACUUGAGGUAUUAAUAUUCACUAAUUGUGGUGCUGAUUAAUUUACUUAACUUGUCACCAUUUGCAAUUAAGAAUGAAGUUCAAUCAAUUUAUUGAGAAAAAAAAAUAAAGAUACCUUUUUUUCUUUAGAUUUUAAUUCUUAGGAUUUGAUUUCACGCUCUUUUAUUUUUUUACGUUGCUAAAGAGGCAGUAAAAAACUUGCUGAAUGUCAUCAAAUACUUUUAUCUCAUCUCACAAAUUGGUAAUAUUUGUUUGGUAUUUCAUCUCAACAGACGCAGUAAGGAUUACCUCUCCAAUGACUGACAUUUUUUUUUUUUUUUGGGGCAAAGAAAGAAACAGAAUUUUGAGUUUCGAAAAGCAAACUAAGAAAAUUGAGCAGCAAGUGUGAAGGGCAAGCAAAAUGCAUGUAGCAAGUCUUCCACUUGUUGUUUAUUCCAGUAAAGUGAAAAUAAAAACAGAGCCCACCACCCAUUAAUAAUUGAGCAAUUCACCAAUCACCAGUCACCACCACCCGUUACCGUAGGAUAAAAUUUUAUUUAAUUUAUUUUUUCACUGUAUUUUAUCUUAAAAAAUUAUUUACAGUAUGAUAAAAUUUUAUUUAAUUUAUUUUUUCAUUGUAUUGUAUCUUAAUUAAUUAAGUUGUUAUAUUUAUUGCAAAAAAUUUAUUUUGGCUUAGAGGAUUACUUCUUAAAUUCAGAUUAUUUUAAUGAUAAUAAAAGAUAUUUAUUUUGUGGAAGCAAAAUAAAUUGAAGAGAGAAAGAAAAUAUAAAUGACUUAACUCUAUUUAUAUUUGUCCUUAAAUAUAAUUGUAGUAUAAUAGGGGUUUUAUAAGAUUAAUGAAGGGGUGCCAAUAGUCCUACUCUUAUAGAAAAUGGCAAUAAAAAUAGUGGAAAUUUAGUGUAAUAAAAAGGAUAAACCAUAAGAAAUUAAUGUUUACAUCAAGAUACGUUAUAAAUAUUGUUUUUCUUAAGAUGUUAUUUGCCUCCACCAAUCGAAUAAUACACAUGAAUUAAACAAAUAUGACUCCAUGAUACAAUAAAGCGCUUAUUUAUUUGUUUAAGUUAUAUGUCGACGAAGCAAAUUUGAAUACUUUUGAAUGUUGUAAGCAUGUCAAGAAUCAAUAUAUUAUUUCUACAAAAAGAAACAAUAUAUUAGAUAUUUAAAGCAUAAAAAAUAGAUGUUAAUUGAUUAAAUUUGAUUUAGGAAAGAAGGCUACGAAAAGAGUGGUGUAAGGUCAUUUUAUUCAUGUCUACAUAGCCCUAUUAUUUGGGUUGUCAUUUUUUUAUAAUACUCCUUCAUGGCCAUUAGAUCAAACACUCAAAUCCCUACUAUAGCUAAUUAGCUUAUUGACCAGUAACUUACAGGAUGCCAUAAGGAUUACAUCUAUGAUGAUUGACCUUUUUUUUUUUUGGGUGGGGGUAGGGGGGAAGAAACCGAAUUAUGAGUUUAUGGAAAUUAGAGCAAAUAAGAAAGUGAAUUACAACAGAAUGAGUUUGUGAUUGUGAUAGGUCGAACAAGUCUAGAAAUCAAUUAGGCAAAAACCACCACGAAAGUUAAAAAGGAAAAAUAGCGCCCACCACAAAUAUAAAAUUGGAGGAGCUUAGGAUCAUGCCUUUGCUUUACAAAUUAAAUUAAAUAAAAGCCAAACCAAGAACCUUGCUUUUGCUUAACAUGAUUAAUUAGGCACUAUUUCAGAAAGAACACAAAAAUAAUAAACCCUUUUAUUGAUCUUAAAUGUCAAGAAUAAAGUAACAUUUUCUCCUCUUACCGUUUCUUCAGGUUCAUUUCAAAAGUUUGAAGAGAGUUUAUCCAUUCUUCUAAACUAAGAAAAAGAAAAUCAACAUUAUUGCUUUCUUCUAUUCUUGCUUUCUUCAGAUGUUGAAUAAAAAAAAAUAUAUUGUUAAAUAUGUAGGAAAAAAACAAACAAAGUGAGUUAAACAAAUAAAACCUAGGUAAAUUAACUGACGCAACACUGGAAAUCACAACUGAAAAUAUAGGAGGGAAAAGAAAAAUCGAAACAGAAAAUGAAACCCGAGGCCUGCACAGGACAAUUUCCUUAAAACAAAUUUACCACCUACUGAAGUGCUUUAGGUCUGCUGGUAACUGUUUCUCAGGAUACAACGAGCACGAAUUUUCGGUCAAUCACAUACAGGUAAUGUCGGCGAACUACAACAGUGGCAAACUCAAUAAGAAAAAACAAAUGAAAGAAGGAGGAAAGGAAAAUUUUCAAGUGCUCUGUGUGCUGGUUUCAGUGUGUAUAAAAAACAGAAGAGGAUGUGCUUUUUUAUACUCAUGUGAGGAUAUAACAGCAGCAUUGUAUUGAAUUUCGGAAUUCAAUAUAUGCCAUUAAAUAGUUAUAACAGCCAAUUCAAUUCCAUCAACUGAUUUCAAAAUUGAAUUCAAAACCAGUUAAAAAAUAAUUGUUGUGAAGUUGUUACAACAAAAAAUUCAAAGGAAAUUAAAAAUGUGCUAUGCAAGCUUGGAUGAUUUUGGACUGACAUUCGCGUACGCAGGACGCACACGAGUUUAACCAAAUCGGUCUUGGAUUUGCACCCCCUACGCACGCGCGUGUAGAGAGAGUCUCUAUCCUUAUAAUUAUUACUCAUGCAUGGUUAAAUGUUUAUAUAUAAACACUAAUCCUUGGGCUUCUUUUUCUCAUGUGGGAAAAGUUUCAUUUGCUUUCAAAUUUCCAACUUCAAUAGUGAACUUUGAGAGACAAUUUCUCAUUCACCCAAGCACUAUUUUGAGAAAAUAAAAUUAUAUUUUUGAAGUAUUAACAUAAUAGAAUCCAAACCUCACAAGAUUUCUCACUUUCGCUAAGUGAGACCCACUCAAAAUGUGCCCUCAAAAUAUCAUAUAGACAUGCUAUUUUUUCAACAAAAUAAGGAGGAAAUUAGAAUGUAUCUACCUUUGCUAACCUAAAAUAAAAGAAAUUAAUCUCUCUUUUAUUACUAAAGUACACUAUUUUUUUAAUAAUUGUAUUGACAAUGACAACAUGUAUCAUCGAUUAUAUUCUUGUUGUGUUGAAAUAAGAUAUAAAAAAUCUUGGAUCAAGAGGAAUUCGACUCAUUUGUUAAAGGUACAUAUUUUAUAUACUAAAAACAAAAAUUAACAUAACACGAUUAUUACACUAAAGUGAAAUGAAAGCCAGUACCCACCAGUUCACCAACAGUAAUUUAGCAAACUUUGCAUUCUCGUGUUUGAGGAAAUGGACAUUGGUGAAUUAACCAAAGGACCAAUGAAAGAAUUGUAAAUAACAAAAUGGAGAUUACACUUUUUUUCCAUAUAAUUGUUCAGGCAAUGAAACUAAUUUUGAGACAUUUUCAAAUAAACUUAUUUUCAAAAGCAAUACAAAAUGAUUUCGUUUUAUUUUGAAACAUUUCAUGGAAUCAAGUAGUAGUAAAAUAAAUAGAAAAGUGGUAAUUCCCUCAUUUUAUUAUUUUCUUUUUUAAAAGGAGAUGAUGGGGUUGGGUUGUUCACAAAAUUAUUGGUGCGGGGUCUGUUUGUUUUUGUUUUAACUUUAUUAAUUAAUUAGCGAAGCAAACAUGUAAUGAUUUGUAAAAGGAUUACUAGCAUCAGAUUAUUGGGAGGCAUUAUGGAGAAGUCACGCUUAGUAUUUACAAUUCAUGUAAGAUAAAUUUGUAGAUUUAUUAAGUUACUUGAGAUAUAUUUAUUAAUUGUGGAGAUUAAUUUAUUUAACUUGUCAUGAUUUUCAAUUAAGAAUGAAGUUCAGUCAAUUUAUGGAAAGAAGGAUAAUUUUGUUUUCAGAUUUUUAAUUCUUAGGAUUUGAUUUCACUUUGUUUCGAUUGUCGAUGUUGCUGAAGAGGCAGUGAAAGUUUGCUGAAUGCCAUCAAAUGCUUGCAUCUUAUCUCACAAAAUGUCAAUAUCAGUCUGUUUCCCUAUAGGCGCAACCAUCACGAAUUUAAAGUAACAACAUGAUGAGCAUAUAACAUAUACAUAUUUUACCAUUAAUUAUAUAAUUGUUAGUUAUUUUUAUUUAUUAUUUUUAAUUAAUUAAAUUAUUUUAUUAAAUAAGAAAUUAAUUGGAGAUUAUGGAUAAAAAGGACAUGAAAAAGUUUAAUUUGGGAAGCAAUAAAAAUUAAAUUGAAAGACAAAAAUACAGACAAGGAUUAAUAGAAUCCGUGCCGAAAAAAUCAAAGCACAAUGUUUUUCUUAAUGUCAUUAUUUAGGCAAGUGUUUUGAUGCACUGGAAGUUUAAGAGAAUAAAAUCUGAAGAAUUUAUUAAGAGAAUCAAAUAGAAAGUUUUGAUGCAGCGAAAAAAAUCUGAAGUUUGAAUUUUGCUCAUAUAGAUAGUAAGAGAAUCAAAUUAUUGUUAAAUUAAAUUAAUGAAAAAAAUUAUCUGAUAUCUAAAACAGCAUAUCAACAAAAUUGAAUUAAAAGAAAAUUGAAGAGAAAAACCAUUGAGAAAUUUCGAUAACUUCACUUAUUAAAACUUGGUUAUUUCAUUUUCAUUGAUAAUCAUUUUGACACCGGUCAAAUUUAAAAGUUUAAAUAAUGGGGGCGAUAUUUCUUUCCAGCUAUGCCCAUCGACUAAUUAAAAUACUGCCGAAACAAUUCAGGGAUAGUAUAGUAAUUUCAUUUAACAGUUUUCGUGCUUCAAAUCAUCAAAUCAAACUCACGGUUUCCGACUUGUAAUGGGUGCAACUCAUGUUUUUCAAACAUUAAUGUGUUUCAAACAUUAAGAUCUUUAGCCAUUCUGUUACUAUCCCGUGGUUAUUUAAGUUACAAGAGACAGUAAAAAAUAUCAUCAUAUUUUAACGUCCCUCGAAUAUUUGAAGAAGUUAAAAUUUAGGCGGUUUUAUAUAAGAUGUAAUAUAAAUUGAUAUCAGUAAUUAUAUGAUUGUAAAUAUCAUGAUCAAUAGUCUCUUAUAAAAAAAAAAAAAGAACAAGUGUCAUGAGCCCAUUUAGAUUAACUUAUAUUUGAGGGGGAAAUCUUUGUACACCAUGGUAUAUAUUAUAUAUAUAGACAUUGAUGAAUUCGCACAGUACAACUAAGUAUUUUUUUUUUUUGAAUACUGGUUACACACCAGAUUACUGGCAAUUGCUAUUAUAGCAGACAUUACACUGAUAUUUACAAUCAAAUAUACAUAAUUGAGACUUAUAUUAUUACAUUAAAUUCUAUGAAGUACAUUUCCAAACAAAUAACCCUUAUAGAGCAGAGAUGUCCUUGCUCCACUCGCAUUUCGCAGGGAGAAGAACUUAUAAAAAUUUAGCCCCCACAAUACUUUUGUGGAGGGUUGAACCGCUGCUCUCACGCUUGUGAGGGCAGCAGUCCAACCCGCAGACCAAGGGCCCAAUGGCGUACAACUAAGUAAUUGCAUGCGCCAUUUGUGCCAAUGUGUAUAUAAAUAUAUAUAUAUAUAUAUACACCCUGCUUGCAUUGCAUUAACUACGUCCCUAGUCACCCACGUCCGCUACUUGUAUGAAUGUGCAUAUAAAUAUACAUAUCCGCAGUGUUAGGAAUUUAGAUCUAUUAGAAAUAGAUAUAGGUAAUUAAAAAACCAAAAAUUAAGAACUUCAUUUUUUUUGGAAGUACUAUUCACGGUUACUGUUCACGACUACUGUUCAUCAUCAUAAAAAAUAUUAAUUUUCAAAAACAUAAUAAAAUGCAGAAAAUAAAUGACACAGAGAUUUUUACGUGGUUCGAAUUAACCAAUCAUACAUCCAUGAGGCCACGCCCAGAUGAAAAGCAAUUCAUUAAGUUGAGAUGUUACAACCUAUGGAUUUACCAAACUUAAGACUCUCAUUUACAGUUUAUCACCAUACAGUUUACUCAACCUUAGAAUGAAUCUGCUUCUCUUGAAUAAUCACUACCCCUCUUGAUCCGCGAUCUUCAAGGCACUUCGCAAAGUGAUCAAUAGCAAUUCUUCAAUUCUUCAAUGUCUAGUGAUACAAGAUACACAUAGACUCUCCAUAGAGAUUAACAGAAGAUGAGAAAAAAAAUCAACACAACAUGAUGCGCCAGAUCCGGAUUCUUUGGGGAGGAGGCCGAAUCUUACUUCUCUGCUUUAUGCUCUGCGUUAUAUGAUCUUCAAUUGUGAAAUACCUCUCUUUAUAUAGGCACUAGAGUUUUACCAAAAUAGCAAGUCUUAAAAGACUUGGAUUCUUUCCAAAUAAGAGUUGCAUUCCUCUUAUAAUUCCCAUGAAUCUGAAUAGGAAUAAAUCUAACCUUCUUACCUUGCUUGUCUCCUAAGAAAUAUUUAGAGCAUUUAAUGAACUCUCUGUUUGAACCAACUUCUUGCUCUAAAUAGAUCUCAUGCGCUAAAUAUAAAAUCUCACCAUUAAUUAACUUGCUAAAUUAAACAUCUAAUUAAAUUAAGAAACAAAUAUUCCUAAUACUAAAUUAGUGAAUUAAUAAAUUAAUCCAUAUUACAAUAUAUGCAAUAAAUAAAUUUUCAAUUUAACUAGACUUGCCAUAAAAUAUCAACUUUAUAAAUAUUGGACUUAACACGCAGCAUAUUAUCAAACCAGAAUCAGAAGCAACUUAAGUUUUGAUUACGGUUCACCGGAAGUCACAGCUAGCAAGUGAUCCUUGCAUCAUUUUACUAAAUAUACAAUGAAAUUAACCCCCGCAAUUUCGGCCUUUGCCAUAGUCGUUUUGUUUAUUAGGUUUAUGUUUAUCAACAUGAUUGUCAACCAUAAUCACAAUCAAGUUGUUAAUUAUUUUUAAAUAAUGUGAAGGAACAAGAUUUUGGUCUUUGAAUGUGGAGUUAGAAAUAUCUCACCUCAAUAUACGGUAUUGUGCUCUCAUCAUCUUAACAUUAUUUGUUAAAAAUUAUGUCAAAGAGGAAAGCAGAUUCAAACAUUACUUCAAUUUUCUUUAAGAGCAUCAAAAAAUCGUUAAUAGGCUACUGUUAUUUGAUAGUACGAUUUCACAAAAGGAAGCUGGAGGAAGAUGAAGCUUUCAAGUCAUGUGUGCAUCAAAGUAAGAAACAGAGCUAACGAGAGAUGGACAAGUAUUAACCACUGUUAUCAGAAAUUAAAUAUAUCAGCAUUUUGUUAUAUCAGCAGAGACGCGUGUACGUAUUGCUUGUGACAAAUCUCACCCAUGGAGAACUUUGUGGACGGCAUUUGAAUGUGUGGCCUCAUUUAAUGAACGAAACGAUAACUUUAAAAGAAAGUAUGUACUGUGUUAAUUAUUAGGCUUUAGCUUAAUGAUUGCAAUUAGUUUGUCUUGUAAUUAAAUUAUUGCCGACAAACACUAUCACGACCGACGUCCACUACUUGCGUGAAUGUGUGUAUAAAUAUCCACAGCAUAUUAUCAAACCUGAAGCGUGAUCAUCUUUAAGUUUUGGUUACGGUUUAUCAGACGUUAGAAAAUAUCUUUUCUAAUUUGAAGAAGAUGGAAACUCCUUAUCCAGGUUCUUAGGUCAUGUUCAGUUGAAUGUUAUUUAUAAUUUUUAUUUUAACAUUAUGUAUUUAUAAAUAUAAUUAUUAUUAUGAUUUUUUCAGGUAAGAAUGGAUGGUCUGAAAGUAACCCAAUAAUUAUGUACAAUAUUAUUAAUGAUGCGAGCGUGAAUAAAAAUUUGGAUUUUAUUCUCGUCCCUCAAUACGGAAGAAAUCUUGACCAUAGAGGCUAAGUGUUAUGUAACUCUUUCGUAUGUAUUAUGUUUAAUUAAUAAUAAAAUGAUGGGUUAUUAUUAUGUCAAUUAUGUGAGUGUCUUUGUUUGGUUUAGUUCAACUUAUAAAAUCUCUUGAGAUAUUUUCUUUAUUUAAUUUUGUGUACCGUGUCUUCUUGUAAAAAGAAAUUAAUAAAAAAAAUAUCAUUGUGUAUAAUGUAUUAACUAAGUUAGUGUAUUCAUGUUAGGUUAAUUGUGCUCUCUCUUCUUCAUAUUUUUUUUUUUUAAAAAAAAACUCCACAUAUUGUUGGUUAGCUAAUUCUUGCAGCUAGCAAGUGAUCAUUUUCUUUCCCCUACUGCCGUAGCAUCAAAUCCUUGCAAUUACAUAUCAAGUGGUAUUCGAGCCGUCAAAUGAUCCAUGGAAACAAGCAACAAAUCAAAUGGUGAAUUUUGCGAAGAGAUUCACGAAAUCCUUGCUAUACAUGAGUCUAGUUUUGACCCAGUUCACAUCACCCAUCAGCUGCGGGUUUGAAUGGUACCUAGUGGAUAUUUUGUGAGUCCCCACGUAUAAAAUCACACUUGCAACAAAACCUAAAAACUUAAAUUACGUAAUUCAAAUUAUAAAUUUAUAAUCAUAGCCUAAAAAACCACACAAAAUACUUAAUUCUAGAUUUUAUCAAUGUAAAUGAAAAAUGAAAGUUUUAAUAUUAAAAUAAACUCACAAAAUAUAUCAAUUUAACACAAAUUUUCAAAGUUAAUUACUAAAUACAUAAGUCUAUCGCAACUCAAAGUGCUUUCAAUUGAAAACGAAAAAAGAGAAAGAGAAUAAAAAAUAAAGAACUACAAAUCAAAGUAGCAGCCAUGUCUCAUUUUGCAGUCUCAUUCAAUACCACUAGCACCCAUCCAACACGAUUUUUCUAAACAAAGUAUCAAGUACAAAAUUACAAUAAGCAUAUCAUACUCCAUGCUUUAAGUUAAAGAUCCUUAUAUAUUUUUAUGAAUAAUUUUUUAAUGAAAUUUUAUGAUUAAAAUUAAAAAUACAAACAUUCAAAUAAGAAUGUCGGACACUUGCACAACUAUUUACCAAAUUUUUUCUCUAUAAAAAUCGACCUGCAACUUUCAAUAGGUUUAAAUUUUAUAAUACCAAACCUGAUUGCAGCUCGCAAAAAUUAUCCGUUGCGGCCAAGACUUUGGAUUUGCGAUGAUUUUGCCACCCUAAGUGUAGUUAGUAUUGUAUAUCAUGUGGCUCUUAUAAAAAGCUUAGAAGUUGUUUGAAUAACGGGGGAGACACAUAUCUCCCAAAGAUUUUCUCUUUUUCAAAUUAUUAUUUUUUCUCUAUUAUUGUAACUUCGAAUCCUUAUAAAUUACAGAUUGGAAACAUGAACACAAUGUUUUGACAUAGUAGACUUUUGGCUUGUCCAGAGAAAUUUAGGAUAGAUUUUUACGCACUAAGGUGGCGUUUGUUUUUUUGUCUGAAAUCUGAAUAGACUUGAAUUAGUCUGAAUUCUGAACAGGUCUGAAUGUUUGAAUCUGAAUAAUAUGUUUGUUUUUUCAUCUGAAUCUUGAAAAAUAAGUAUUAAGUUGUUUGUUUUUUUCAACUUAAAAAGCUAAAAAUAUGUACUUUUACAUUUGUAUCCUUAUUAAAUUUAAAUGUCAAAUAAAUAAUAUAUUAAAUACCACAAUAUUUUAACAUUUAUAAGUAAAACUAUAUUCAAGUGAAUACAUAAUUAUUUUAAAAUUUUAAUAUAUAAAAUACCAUAAAUUUCAAAUUUUAUCGUAUAUAAUAUAAGAAAGAAAAAACAGGGAUAUUUUUAUGUGGGGUAAAUAUCUAUGGGUGAGUUUUGGGAUAGACAUGAAAAAUAAAUUAUAAAACAGGGAUAUUUUUGACAUUAGCAAGUAAUUGACUUAAUUCAGAUUUCUCCAUUAAGUAAAAAGCUAAAAAAAAUUAGCUUAUUUUAUUAAGUCAAAAUUAUCUAAAAAGUCUCAUUAAGUUAUAAAAACAAACACCUCUAAUUAACUUAAUUAAUUAAGUUAAGUCACUUUAAGUCAUUAAGUUAAAAAACAAACGCCACCUAAGACUCUAUUUACUUUUGAGGUUUUAGAACUUUUAAGCAACACUAGAAAUUUGUAUUGUUUUGAUAGAGUUGUAGUCUUUGAUAUGUGAUUGGUAUUAAUCAAGUGUUAUGUUUACAAUAGUUAAAACACAUAUUGAAUCAAAAUCCACUUCUAAGGGCUUGAUUGAGUGAUUGUAAAGUAGGUUUUUAGUUUGCUAGCCACUCAAGUUCAAAUAUUGGAACCACAUCGCUUUAUAGCCAAGUGAGAGAACUUGUGCCCUAAAAAUUGAGGGGUGCAUAUCGAGUUUUACCACCAAUAAAAGUUGGUGUUAAAACUUUAAUUUCUCUCCUAUUGUGGAUAGGGGUAAUUAGGAGUUUACAUCCCCUCCUAUUAAUAGAUAGGGGUUAUUAGGAAUAUUAAAAAAAAGUUCAAAUAUUGAAAAUAUAGGUAUGUGUUAUAAAAUUCAUAAUAUAAAGACACAAAAUCAAGAUAAAUAUUUAAAAAUUUAGAACCAUAAGAGCGUGACUUGUAAGUUUCAAAAAAGUAUGUGCAAAUAUAUGCAUUAUUGAUACCCCAAUUAAGGGUGGGCAUUAAGAAAAAAAAUCCCAAAAAAUUAAAACUAACCCUAACUAAAAUAUUCGACGGCGGCCUCCUCGUUUUCUUUUCUUCUUCUUCCUCCUCUUGCUCACCCUCAAUGCCCAUUCAUGGAAAUCCAACAGCUCCAAACGCGUUUCAGCCGCUCGCACGUGUGAGAAAUUUUCCUUCUCAUAGGAUUAUUCGUUUCCUUCGCUUGCAUGCCAGCAGAAUAUUCAGGCCGAGGAUUUUUCCGGGCCUAGCCCAACUAUAAGCUCUCCCAAAACCCAAUCAUAAAGUUCAUAACGUUUAGCGUUUGCUUUUACUAUAAUUUUUUUUAACCAAUUUUCACAUUCAUCAACAUAGGCAGACAGAUUUUGUAGAAAAUAAAAUUAAAUAAAAAUACAAGAUCACGAAAAUUCCUUUUCCGAUGUGGGAAUCUAUCUACACCUUUCACGUACCUUUUUUUUUUUUUUUUGUGGUGGGGGAUUCACUUGCUUUUGUUUGCAUUGCCUUAUUGGAUAAAAGUUUGUAGAACAUCGUCUGUUUGGUUAAAGCCGAGCAUGAGUGAAGAAAAAUUAAAAAUAAACAAUUUUCCAUUAAUUUGCAACAAGUAUUAAUAAAGUGCAUGAGAAAAGACACCAGGAUAUGUCUUUUUUCAAAUGAAAAUAAAUGUGUUAAUUAGUCAAUUUAAAUGGUAUGACAUUUUGAAAUGACAGAAGUGAUCUAAAGUUUAAAUCUUACUCACAAUUACUUUAGGGUUGGGGAUUAAUUGACCUAAUAUAUAAUAACGAAUUCGAAAGACAAUUAAAAAUUAAAAGAAAAUAAAAAAGUACUUUCUUUUUUAUGAUGGUAAUUUGUUUAGAUGAUGAAAACUCUUAGAGUGGUAUUAUCAUUACAUAGUUUCGAGCGUUGCCAACGUGAAUAAUAUUUAAUUUCGUUUAUAUAGUUAUAUCUCAACUAACAUUUAAACAGAAGUAAGCUGUAAAAAAAAAAUGAACCAUUGAGAUUUGAGAGAACGAAAAACUAAAAAAAAAAGUUAAAAAAUUAGAUCUCAAUAAAUUUACUUGAGAACUACUUUACUUAUUAGUGACGAGAAAACACAAAGAAUAAUGAUGUAUCUCAAUUAAUAAGACAGUUUUUGUAUUUUUCAUUUAUUCAAGAAUCACGAAACUUCAUUGAAAUUUGUUAUUUCAUUGAUAAUAUAUUAAUAUUGAACAAUUAAUGUAGGAGACAUUCCUUUUCAAUUAUACCCAUAUAUUAAUUAAAGACUACCAAAAAGUUCAGGGAUACUAUAGUAAUUUAAGUUAACAAUUUCUGUGCUUGAAAUCAGCCGAUCAAACUCACUUUAAAAUAAACUGAGAAAUCAAAAUCACAUUCUCCGAUUCUACGAUUUCAAUUCAUCUUAUUUCUUCAACUGAAAAAUUGGUUAUAUUUCGUUUUAUUUUAUUUUUAUUUUUAUAUAAAGAUAAAUAUAAAAUAUUUUUUUGAUUACAUGAGACUAUUGCUCAAAUUACAACUCAUAUUACAUGAGAAUAUAACUGAUAUGUACAAAUCAGACUAUAAUUAGGACCAACAUACAUCAAAUCUAAUGGAGCGUUGCCCAAAUUUUAACCCUCUCAAAUAUUCGAGGGAUGUCUACUUCUCGCACUGAGACAAAAAAAUAGACUGCCUUCACUCAAUUUUAUUUAAGAAAAGAAAUACUCCCACAUACAUUGUGGGGGCUCGAACUGUUGCUCUCCAACUUGGAGAGCAGCAGCUCUCACCACUCGGCCAAAGGCCGAGUGGCUGAUUUAUAUUUUGGCCGAGUGGCUGAUAAAUAUAAAAUAUAAAUGAAGAGGAAACUGUUAAAGUAAAAUCAAAAGAAGGACACGAGUUUUAUUGAAAAUGACUCUUUUCAUCAUUUUACCGGAUUGAAUGUAUCUACAUAUAAACUAAAGAAGCACAUUUGUUUCCGACUCUACGCUUUAAAUUUAGCUUCAUUUCUUCAACUGAAGAAUCGGUCGUCUCUCAUUUUUUAUUUAUUAUAUAAAGAUAAAUAUCUAAAUUUAAAUGGCGAGAAGAGCGGACGAGGAAUACGAUUACUUGUUCAAAGUGGUAUCAAUCGGCGAUUCGGGAGUCGGCAAAUCGAACUUACUCUCCCGAUUUACUCGUAACGAGUUCUGUUUGGAGUCGAAAUCCACUAUUGGCGUCGAAUUCGCCACCCGCACUCUUCAAGUAACUAACUUUUCCUCUUUCACUUCUCUUCAUUUUUAUUAGUUAAUUAAGAUCCAGCUAAUGUAAUUAAUUUUAUUUAAUCUUUUAAAUAAAGUUCUAGAUUAGGCUAACUUAGAUUCAUGUGAAGUUGAAGUGAUUUACUUUCGAUCUCUUUUUCGUCCUAUGUUUAUUUGUACUUACUAUUACUUUUUUUUGGGUUUAAAUUUUCGUUUUUGAAGUGUUUACUGAAUAAAUUUCUGAGCUUUAUUUGUGUAUGCUGAUUGAUUUGUGAUUUUAAUUUUGUGACUUUUUUUUUGGAAUUUAAAUUUGAAUGCUUUUUAAGUUGAAUCUGAUUGUGUUGGGCUGCGAUUUAAUUAAGUCAUCUGUGAGCGCCAAGUUGUGAUAGCUAUAUAUUGGGGUGAAAAUUUGGGAUUUAAAGUUAUGUAUUUAAGAUGCAGUUAAUUCGCAAGUGAAAAUUAUGGGCCGGCAGAUUUUGUCAUUGGAAGACUGUUCUCCACAUGUUGAAGUUAGUGAUGCAAGUUGAAACCAAUCUGUUUAAGCUUGGGGUUUCAUGUCUUGAAUCAAGGCUGUGACUUGGGGUGGGUUGAAAGUAUUAUAGCUUUAGCUAUUCCUGAAGUGAUCUGUUUAGACUCACCGUGAUGAGACCGAGUGCUGUACAGUAAAAUGAAAGGAAGUUGGAAAAUAUUUACUUAGCAUUUCGCGUUACUAAUGUUGAACUAAUAAAACCUAGCCCCUAUCCUAGUGAAUUUAUGUUAAAAAGCUAUGCACGCAUUAAGUUAGUGCGAGAGUCUGCUGAAGCAUAUGCCAGCUGUGUGUUUGGAGCUGAGUAUUCUUCAUUCCACAUUUUGGGUUUUGGUUGACCUCCAGCAUGACUCAACCCACUUGAGUUAAAAGCCCUAGAGUUACAUUCUACCCAUGAUAUUUGAGUUUAUCAAGUCACCUUAUUUUAAUACUUCUCUGGAAAACAAAUAUAUAUGUUAAAUCAGGUAGGAAAAAUAAAAAGUUAAUUAUUGAGUUGUAAUGGUGCAACUAAGGUUUUGAAACAUUAAGAUCUUUAGCCAUUAUGUUACUAUCCCGUAGUUAUUUAAGUUACAAGAGAUAGUAAAAAAUAACAUCAUAUUUUAAUUACUUACACUAAUCCUACAAGUGCUGAUGGUCUAAAGUUGCUGCUGCUUGCACUGAAUCAGUGGUCAUGGGCCAGCCAAGGUUAGGUGAGGCCAACUCAUUAGCUUGUGAAACUUAAAGAAGUCUUAGGUUUGGAAAAGAUGGGGCACAGGUUACAAAAUUUUUUUUGAGUUUUGGAUUGAAGGAACAAAAUUGUUGAUGUCUAGUUCACAAUAUUUGAAGUCACUCUGUGCUUCAUCAUGUAAAAUGGAUUGAAUUGCUGUAUGAUCAGGUCAAAUUAAAAUGUUUAAACUCAUUUUUAAGAAACGAAUUCUCAAUUGGACCAGCCUUUCACAGAAGCUGAUAUCACAGAAGCUUUGAGUCAGAUGCAUCCAACCAAAGCCCCUGGCCCAGAUGGUCUCCCAGCAGUAUUUUUCCAAAAGCUUUAGAAUUCAGUAAGCGAAGGAGUUAUAGCCACUUGUCUGCAUAUCCUCAAUGAUGGAGGUAAUAUUGCUCCUUUGAAUCAUACAUACAUUGCUUUAAUCCCCAAGAUAGCAAAACCUAGGACUCUGAUGGAGUAUAGACCAAUCAGCAUAUGUAAUGUAAUUUAUAGGAUCAUUGCAAAGACUAUAGCGAAUAGGCUGAGGCUAAUCUUAGAUCAUGUUAUUUCGCCAACUCAGAGUGCUUUUAUGCCAAAUAGGCUCAUAACUGAUAAUAUAAUUAUUGGGCAUGAGUGUCUUCAUAAGUGGACAAAGCUAAGUUCCAGAGGUGAGAUAGGAAAUUCUCCCGCACGACACAGCAGAAACAAACUUUCCCUUUCAUUUUCUUUUCUCUUUCUCGCUCUCCAAACAGAGCAAAAGGACUGUCGCAAGAUUCUUCACUUCCAUCCAAAAUCAUGAGCAACGAAUGGUGAGCCUCCCUGUUUCCUUCCUUUUUUUGAUAUUAACCUUGUUAACAUAUACUCAUUUUAAUUUGACAAUACUUCAACUUUUUUUAAUUUUUUGCCUUUUCAUUUUUUUUGUUGAAGCAAUUAUCUGUUCAAGCUGUUGCUUAUCGGAGACUCGUCCGUCGGAAAGUCCUGCCUGCUGCUCCGAUUUGCUGUCUGUUGACUUUUCCUUUCCCUUCUUAUUUUCUUUUUUUAUAUUAAUUACUUUCUAUUUUAGCUUUUUGUUCUCUUAAUUUGUGUUAUUAAAAUGAUAAUUUAGAUAAUAAAUAAUUGUUAUUCUUGUAAAUUUCUGUUUUCAUUACGUUAAUUGUUAGCUUUUAGGUUUAUUAAUGUAAUUUUUUUUUUUCAAUUUUUCAGGAUGAUUCUUAUGUCACAGCUACAUCAGUACCAUUGGAGUUGAUUUUGUGAGUCUCUCUUCUAUAUAUAUGUAUAUAUGUGUAUAAGUUAUAAUAUGAGUCUAUGUACGUGUAUGUAUGUAUGUGUAUGCAUAUGUGGAAAGAAAUGUUGGCAGACUUCAGCAUUUUACUCUUUUCUUUUUUUGGCAGAAAAUAAGAACUGUGGAGCUGGAUGGGAAGACGAUCAAACUGCAGAUUGUGAGUCAAAAUUUCCUUUUAUCUUGUAUUGAGAGAAAUUCGAUUUGUCUUAUUUUCUUUGUUUGAAGAGUGAUAUGUUGAAAUGAGUGUAUUUGUCUUAUAAACAUCAUUUAGGUAAUGUCUUCUGUUUGAUUGUUUUUCAUCUGUUUAGUGGGACACUGCUGGACAGGAGCGAUUCAGGACUAUAACUAGCAGUUAUUACCAAGGAGCCCAUGGAAUCAUAGUAAGGAGCCUUCCCGGUUCUUGGUUUAAAUCAGAAAGUUUGUGAUUUACAUGUGACAUCUUAACAGCAUUGUAUGUGUUUAUUAACUUAUUUUUCAUCUUUCAUUAAGCAGUACACUUUCUAUUAAAUCUGUAUACAAGAUGAUGUAGUCCAAGAAUGGGAGCCAUAAUAUGAUGCAAAUUGUCUAAUAAAUUCUUAUGACAUAUGAUGUUGUCGGAAGUAAAAGUCUUGCAAUGCUGUAUUCUCUUUUAAGAAAGAAUAAGUGGUAAUUUUGUUUUUCCAAUUUUUUAAUUGAGCAACUGUAUGAGAUUAAUUAAAUGUGUUGGGAUUUCAACAGAUUGUUUAUGAUGUAACUGGGAUGGAGAGCUUCAAUAAUGUCAAGCAGUGGUUGAAUGAGAUUGACAGAUACGCAAAUGACAGUGUAUGCAAGCUUCUAGUUGGGAACAAAUGCGAUUUAGUUGUGAACAAGGUUGUGGACACACAGACAGCCAUGGUAUAUUCAUGACUUUUGUCGCCUGAACUUUGAAUAUAAUUUUAAACUCUUCUCAAGUGCAUUUGCUUGGUAAGUUUCUGCAUACCCAGGACACUCAAACUUUGGACAGUCUGUAUCUCGAGUUGGAAUCUUUUCUGUCAAUACGACUUGUUAAAAUAAGGGUUGUUAUCGUUUGAAUCAUUCAAGAAUUGCCAUAAAUCUAAAGUCCAUAAAAAAUAUGAUUCCAUCAUUUUACUAUUAUAUCUAGACAAAACCCAUUAUUUUACUACAUUUCAUUGGCACCGAUAGUUGACCUGUUGGCUGACUGAUAAAAUAUCAAUUUUGCACUUUAUAUUAAUUCUUUUUUGGUUAAAAAAUAACACACAAAGUAUUACAAUAUUAUAAAUUCAAAAUAUAAAGUAGUUACAAAUAAUUCCUAUUAGCCUAUGAAUAUAAUAUUUGAUACCUCUAUUUGUGUAAUUUUUUUCCAAUGGUGAAAUUGUUAUUUUUUUUGUACUAACGGAAAUAUAGUAAAAUCAUAAGUUUUGUAAAGAUAUAGUAGUAAAAUGAUAGACUAAAAUACUUCUUGUAGUUGUUUGAUAUAUUGUAAUUCUUAAAGUAGUCAAUUGAUAAUAUCCCCUAAAAUAAAUGUUCGUAAUAUGUUCUCAUUUUAAUGCAACUGAUUGUUUAAUAAAAUUGUAUUUCUUUGUUAAUCUUUUAUCAUGUGCAUGCUCAGUGAGAAUUUGACUUGCUAGAACACAAGUUUGACUCUUCAUUUAAAUGUCUCUUGUAUCAUAUCCUUCAAUGUUGAGUGUGAUUCCAAUAAAAUUGAGUAGGGAGAUCCUUAAAUACCUUUUCCUUUUUUCCAAGGGCCUGCCAAAUUGCUCUAAGUGGUUCUACCCUUUAUCAAUGAAUAAUGAAAAUAAAAUUUUUAUUAAAGCAUUCUGUUCCUUAAAUGGUGACUAAUAGUACCCCCUUUUUUUUUGGAGAGGAAAGCCAAACGCCCAAAGAGGAUCAUUUACUUUCCUCUAAUGUAUUUUCUAAUUCGUUUUGAGCCUUGAAUGUCUGUUUUGGUGCGUAUUCUCAUUCCAUGUCGAAUCUUAUCCAUAUGGACAACCCCACUUACAAAAAAGUCUAAUGAAUCUAUUGAAGUUCAUAUGAGGUUUGUGCUUUAGAUUUAGACCUCUCUCUCUCUCUCUCUCCACUUACAUGUCUUUCACUUACCUGUUUGCAUGCAUGCCCAUGCACACACUUUCAAGAUAAUACACGGUCACUCGUACUUGUGUUUUGGUUGAAUUACUGGCUGCUAACCUCUGUAAUUCAGUUUGAAACUUGCCACCCUUAGUGCUUCACUCAAAUGGUUGGUUAGGGUGAGAUCUGUAUCGUUUUCCUGGUCUCUUUCCAAGGUUAUCUAAAGGGAUUUGGCAGUCUGAUUCUUUAGGGAAUAUCAUUGCAUAAGAUAUCUAUUGUUUGUUAAUGAAUAAUUUCUAUUUAACUAGUUAUCUAUAUAAAUUGGUAAAUUUUAACUGCAUAAUUUGCAUGCAAUAAGAUUUUAUAAGAAUCUUGUUUUCAACUCAUGACUUAGACUAAUGUGAUACGUUGAGCAUUAAGCUACAAGAUCUGCACAUCAAAGUGCUUCACCAUGUUAAGGAGAAAGCAUCGUUUUCUGCUUCUUCAUGUGAUUUAAAGUUUCCAAGGUACUUAUCCAAUAAAAUGUCUUUCAAGACUUUGGAAAUGCUUUUAUGUAUGACUGAGAGAAACUUGUUGGGUUGGUUUUUAGCAACAGACGGAGUUAUGGACUUUGUGUUGACUUGUUAUUGAUUAAGACAGUACAUCGGCUGAUCUAUUGGCAUCAAGCAGCAGAUGCAGAAAUUAUGGGUGGCAUACCAUUGUAUCCAAAUAACAUACUACAUUGAUUUUUCUGACUUUCUGUUGGUCUCCGAGUGAAAUGCAGGCAUUUGCAGAUGAACUGGGGAUUCCUUUCCUGGAGACGAGUGCCAAAGAUGCAAUCAAUGUGGAGCAGGCUUUCUUGACCAUGGCCGGCGAGAUUAAGAAAAAGUAAAAUCACUUAACUCUUUCCUUCUUUCCGACUGUUCUUAUUCAACAAUCACCAUUAUUGCUGGUUAUGUGCAUUGUGAUGAAAAUUCUGCAAUGAAUAACUUUUUACCUAAUGUUUUCUGUUGGAACAAAUUACUCUGGUAGAAAAGCCCUACAGGGUUUGAGAAAUCCCAUGAUGUGAUGAUUGUGAGCAUUUUAGACACCGUGUAUGGGUUUAUUUUGUGACUAUAAAAUGUUAAGAUAUUUCUAGUUUUGGUUUGUAGUGCAUAAAAGGAUUCAAAAUUUGACAUCUGUCUAAAUCAGAUUACUAACAUGACAAUGUACAUAUGCAAGAUGUGAGGAAUUGUUUUAUCUCACCCCUAAACUUUAAGAAAUUGAAACAUUAUUAUUCAAAAUAUUUAACAUUUCCAGAAUUGAUAGUUGUCUAUUUGAGCAGUGACUGGUGGUUAUCAUGAACUGAUGUGUGGUUGUGGUUUCAAAUCUUGGUGAAACCUGUUGUCAUAUGCUGAUUAACAUAGCUAGUCUCUGAAACAAUUUGUUGAUUCACUAAUUAUGAGUUCAAAUUUGAUGCAGAAUGGGCAACCAGCCUACUGCAAACAAAUCUUCUGGAACAGUUCAGAUGAAGGGAUAGCCAAUCCAGCAAAACAGCAACCGCUGUGGUUAGCCGAGCAUCUUAUUUUACUUCUACAUGUUAGCUGACUGAUUGUAGACAGUUUUAACUAUGUUGACUGCAUUAUCUUAUGAAUCUUUUAAUCUGUCAAAUAUUUAUUUCCUGCUUUAAGUUCUUUCCCGUUUAUAACAAAUUUGAUUUCUUGCUCUAUAGCAUUCCAAAUUCCUGUUAAUUUACGAGGGAAAAAGAAAAGAGACGAAAUGGGAGAAAAUGGUCAAAUUUGUUAGGGGGGGAGAGCUGUUGAAGUAGUUUUUGUUCUCGUUUAUCAUCGUGACCCUCUUGUCGCUUAUCUACGACCUGGAAGUCCGGUCAUAUCGGAUGGGUAAAGUUACCGAAACGGCAUCAUUUUGGGUGAAAUAUCAUGUUUAUGUAACACUUUUGAUAAUAUUUUUAUGCAACAAAAAAAUGUUUGCAGUACCCUUCUCACAUUGUGAAGCGCAUGAUCGGAUGAGAGCAGUCUGGAUUCUGGCAUCACAAGCUAAUGCUUUGAUUUGCUUAGUUUGUUUUUUGUUUCUGAUAUUUUCUCGGCAUAGUGUAAAUGUAUGAAGAUGAAAUUGCUGGGUUGGUUUUGUUAUGGAAUUUGGUUUAGUUCACUAACCAUUAAUGCGCAAAACCUCCUAAGACCCUAAAAAAUCCCGUACAUAAUUAAAGAAUUUCAAUUUUAUAUGUACAUAAAUAAAUAACUCUCAAAUAUAUUAUUUGAUAAUCCCAAAAACAACAACUCACUCUAAUAAAUCUCGUAGUCAAUACAUGGUCUAUAUUGCAAGUGUUUUCGAGACUAAUUCAAAAAGAAAAUACGAAGGAUAUAUAAUUGACUUUUACUUGUUAUAAAGAACUCUAAAUAAAUUUAUAUACGCAUCACAGCUAAUUACAGUCUUGGUACUUCAUUAGGUUUUUGUUAAUUUUCUAUACAGUUGUGUUGUGCAUUAAAGCUUUGUUAAAUGAAAUCGGUAGUGAGAAUUAAUUAAUUAAUUAAUUAAUUAAGAUCCAGUUAAUGUAAUUAAUUUUAUUUGAUUUUUUUAAUUCGAGUUCUAAAUUAAUCAAUUAAUUUAGAUUCAUGUGAAAUUGAAGUGAAUUAGUUUCGAACUGUUUUUCAUUCUAUGUUUGUCUGUGUUUACUCUUACUGUUUUUUUUGUUUAAACUUUUGUUUUCUUAUUGUUUACUGAAUAAAUUUCUGAGCUUUGUUUGAGUAUGAUGAUUGAUUUGUGAUUUUAAUCUAAUGUGUUGGGCUGCGAUUUAAUUGAGUGAUGUGUGAGCGCCAAAUUGUGAGCGCCAAGUAGUAAUUAUAAAAUAUUUCAGUCGUCCACUGUUCAGUCACCAAAAACCAAUUUCUAAUCUAUUUCAAAACAAUUUUUGCCAAAGUCCUCCUGGGCUAAUUAAUUCAUACAUUAAUACAGUCCUCCUCUGCUGAAUAAUGCAAACCCGUUACGUUAUUCUACCAUUUCUUAAAUUUAAAGCAUUCCACCAUUUAAUAAAAAAAUUCGAAAACCCAUUAUAUACAAUACAAAAAGCCCACCGACACCAAACCAUAUUAAUUUAAAAUAGUUUUCAAUUGAGAUUUGAAUUUUAAAAUUACAUACACAAACACACCCGAUUUUAAAAAAUAAUAAUAAUCCUAACAAUAAAAUAUUUCAGCCGUCCUCUGUUCAGUCACCGAAAACGGAUUUCCAAUCUAUUAGAACAACCGGUAUAUGGGUUUCCAACCAAUAUUGUCCUCCAUCCUUUCUGCACUUCUCUUCUAUCAACGGACAGCCCACGAUGUAUAAUCGCAAAAGUGAGGAAGGCAGGCCCUUCUCCGGAAAGUAUUUGAGCUUGGGACAAUCCGCGAGAUACAAUUCAGUGAGGUUUUGAAGAUCAACAAUUGAAGAAGAUAGGCGUUCCAGAUUUGGAAAAUUAGAAAUCCCCAGAGAUGUUAGAGAGGCAGGAAGAGGAAGCGUGGUCCCUAAUCUUUUGUCCUCUAGUGGAAAUGACACCAUGUCGUCAUCGCAUCUGCUGAUUGUAAGACGUCGCAGAGAGGAGAAUCUGUGAAAUCCCCGUCCCCGCUCAAUCAUUGACUUCCAAAUCUCCAUAUUACCCCAAAUAUUAAGUGACUGAAGGUUGGUGGGAAGGUCAUCUUCUUCUUCAAGGCUUGGAAGCGCACCUCCUAUUCCUAUUGUUAAUUGUUGAAGAGAGGUCAGAUUGUGCAAUCCCUUGGGUAAGGCCUCUAGUCUCUUACAAUUAGAUAUCGCCAGCGUCCUGAGUUUCGCACAAGGCAAUCCCCCUUCGGGAAAGGACACCAGAUUUUUACAACUAUCUAUACUGAUUGUUUCAAGAGAUGUGUUGUUGUCCAACCUUUCUGCUAUUGACUCCAGCUUUGAACAUCCACCAACACGAAUGGACUUAAGAGACGGAGGUAGAUUGCCAACUUCAAGGGACUCAAGCGUGGCAGGUAACUCGUUUUUUGAAAAUAUACACGUCAGAGAAUCACAACAGUAAAUAUGCAAUUCCUCAAGAAAAGAUGAGGUGUACCUUCUGCCGCUGCUACACUGGAUGCCCUCUUCCACUGUCAAAGUCCUUAUAUUAUCGCAACGGCAGAUCUGCAACUUCUUAAGGCUCGAUGGUAGCUGGACAGCAGCAAUAUAUGUCAACGAACGGCAACCCUCAAUAUUCAAGAUCUCGAGAGACGAAUUGGUGUCGCACAUCCAUGCCUCUGGUAACGAUUUCAGUGCAUCACAAUACCUAAUCUCAAUUUUCCUCAACUUGGAAGGCAGAGCAACCUCAGGAAAGGAAACAAGGGAAUGACAAUCGCAGAUUUCUAUCUCUCUCAAGGAACUGAGGCUGAGCGAUGAUUGUGGCAGCUUCACAAGGCCUUUGCAUUCGCUCAAUCUUAGAUAUUCGAGUCUGCAUGACAACUCGCAGAGCUGCUGUUGUUGGUCUUUCUCUUCCUCCGCCACCAAGGAUUGAAUUUUGGGACACCGUCUAAUCGUCAGUCUUUUGAGAGAGCAAAUGUCUUGCAGUAAUUCGUUAUGACUCUUCCAUAUAUGUGUUUCAUUUUUCAUAUUAUUUAUCCCCAAUUCUUCCAGUUUUGGUAUUCGCGGCUUCAAUGGCUCUGUGAAAAACACUUGAUUUGAUGUAUCUCUACAAACCACUGAAUUCUGUGAGCCGAGAUGAUCAGUUGCACUUCUCCACACAACCUUUUUACAUCCACCAAUUUCAAAUUUGCAAAGAGCUGGAAGACUUGCAACUGAAACUAGCAAUUCUUCACAUCCUUCAAUUGCAAGCAUCUCCAAUGCAGGAAGGUGUUCUGGAAAUGUUCCUUGCAGCUUAGAACACCUUAUAAUAUGAAGCUCUCUCAAUUUAGGAAACCAUUCAACUCCCUGACCAGUUCUAAGAGGAAUCCAGUCUUCCCAUUCUUGCAUGUUUUCAAAACGAAGAGUUUCCAAGCAUGGAAAAGGAAUCGGGGAAUCAUUCCCAUAGAACUCUGAACCCAAACUCUUUACUCUACUCAUUCCACGCACUGCAAGAUGCUUUAGAGAGGGUAGUUGCCCGACUGACGGCAAGGUAGUACACACGCUGCAAUCUUCAAAAUUUAAGGUCGCUAAAUUUGAGAAUGAGGAAUCUCCCAACCAAGUUGGAAAUUGUUUACCUUCAUAGCCACUGAUACAAAAUUGUUCCAGAUUUUCAUGAGGUUUUAGCAUGACGAGCACAUCCUUUUCAGUUUCUGCCUCCCUUGAAGACAAACCAUUGGUACUCUGUGUCCAUUGAAACUUUAACACUUUAAGAUUCUUCUUUCCAUCCAAUUGAGCCUCCUUCGCAUCACCAAUGUCUUUUACGUUCUCCAAUUUUGAAAUGUUAAGUGUCCCACGAAGAUGCGUCAACAAUUUUAGCUCUCGUAUCCCGGAACCACUGUCUUUUCCCACAACAAAAUUACACAGCGUCUGAAGGAAAGUCAACUUACCAAUUCCUAGUGGCAUCUCCUCCAAUGAAUCUGUCUUUGAAUUAUCGAGAUGAUGCAAUUUGAUGAGGUUUCCCAUGUCUGCACACAACUUCUUCAGUCGCCGACAGCCCUCCAGCAGAAGAGUGUGCAAAUUGUAAAGCUUGUUGACUGAUUCAGGCAGAGUUCUAAUCUCAGUUAGAGAUAGGUUAAGGUACCUUAAAUACCUCAAAUCACCAAUUGAAUCCGGUAGCUCAGAGAUGUGAUAUCCACGCAAAGAGAAGACCCUCAACCGUUGGAGUUUGAACAACUUAGGAAGAAUGCUAUGAGCCAAGUAGCCGGGCCGGCUACUUAACAACGUUACUGGUAAAAGAGUUCGCAAAUGUUGGAUAUCGUACAACUCCUCAAACCUUUUAACACCAUCGUAAUCUCCACGAAUGUACGACAGAUGACGAAGAUUUCUUGGAAAACUUUGUUGCUUGUCAACCUCUGAGAUAUACUCCAUUCUGAAGUACAUUUCCCCAGCAGCCCAUUGAGCAAGAUCAUUGAUGAGGUCGUGCAUCACAAAUCGUGAUAUACUGUUGCUUGAUUGCUGGAAAAAAGAUCUUGAACGUAGCUCUUGAAAGAACUUUCGACCUAGAUCUUCACUGGGAUUCCCACUCUCUCCGUGAUCCAAGAAACCCGAAGCACACCAUAAUAAAAUUAUCUCCUCCUCUUCAAAUUCAUAAUCCUUUGGAAACAAUGAGCAGUAUGCAAAGCAUUGUUUCAAAGGUGCCGAAAGAUAAUAGUAGCUCACUCUAAGCGCCGGUAUAAUGUCACAUCUCUCUUCUGGUAAAUCCCAUAUCUUGCAACUGAGCACACCUUCCCAAUGACUCCGGUCAAGUUUACCACGCAAGAGACCACCAAGAGUUUUCGCAGCUAAGGGCAAGCCGUUGCAUUUGAUCACUAUCUUCUUGCCAAUUUCCUCCAAUGACUUGUUUGAACUGAUAUCUCUUGCCCCUAAAGAGUGUUGAGCGAACACAGACAGACAAUCAUCAUUUGACAGCUUUUUCAAAUGAUAAGCCCGAGCAGUCCCCAUGAUGGCUGCAACCUCUUGAUUACGAGCUGUGACAAUAAUCUUACUCCCCGGUGCGCCAGCUUCAAAUGGACGGCUCAUGUCAACCCAGUCAUUGUAAUUCUCAUUCCAAACAUCGUCUAAAACAAGCAAAAAUUUCUUUUGAGAUAACUUCUUCUUCAGCUCCUCUUGAAGCAAAUUUAAAUCACUGUCAUCAGUAGUCUGCUUAGUAAUGGAUCUUAGAAUUGUUUUUGUUAGCCUGAUAACAUCAAAAUCAUCAGAGACACAAGUCCAUGCCUUGAGAUCAAAAUGACCCUGCACUCGAGCAUCAUUAUAGACAAGCUGAGCGAGAGUGGUUUUGCCCAGCCCGCCCAUACCUAUAAUAGGAAUAACAGAGAAUUCACCAUCAUUUCUCAAAUCAUCCCUCAACAGCAAUUCAACAAUUUCAUUCUUUUCUGUUUCCCUCCCAUAUACCUUGGCUUCAGUCACUAAAGAGGUUGUGGGUAGUCUUUGCCUGUCUUUUCUGGACCUCCCAGCUGAACUUACGUUCAAACCGAGCGAGUCUUUCUGUGUUACAAUAUCUUGAAAUCUGUAGUUGAUCUCUUUGAUUUUGGACAUUAUGGCGUAAUCGAACUGAAUCGAUUGUGGGGUAAAAGUGGUGCAGCAAGUAGGAAUGAGCUUCUGAAACUUACUUGUUCUUGUACGACUGCUACUGGGUUGAUCCUGAGCCGCAGCUGGAUCUCCAUUUCCAAGCAGCACCUUCCUCCGGAAAGCCCCAGUUUGAAACUCAUCCAACAAGUCUUCAACAUCAAAAGCCAAGUUCUGAAGCUCGCCAAGCCACAACUUCACAAUCUCAUCAGUCUUCUUUUCCUCAGCAUCAGCAAGCACCGCCUUGACCUUCAAAAGCAUCGUCUUCCACUUCAUUAGAUCGGCCCGGAUUUGAUCUUGGCGUGGAAACAACCGAAUCCCCACUGAAGCUAACUUAUAGACCAACAACUCAACGGACGCCGUCAGGAUUGCCUCUCCGAUGAUUGACAUUUUUUUCUUUUUUUUGUUUUGCAAAGAAAGAAACAGAAUUUUGAGUUUUGAGAAGCAAAAUGAGAAAAUUGAACAGUAAGUGUGGAGGGUCAAGCAAAAUGCGCGUAUCAAGUCUUCCACUUGUUGUUUAUUCCAGUAAAGUGAAAAAAAAAUAGAGACCACGACCCUUUAAUAAUUUAGCAAUUCACCGGUCACGAGUCACCACCACUCGUUACCAUGAAUAUAAUAAAUUGCACCUAGAUAUUUGCAGGGUCCAGCAACAUUGACCCAGUGUCCGGGUAAAUGCUGAAUAACGAGGAAAAUGGAAUGUAUCAACUACGAACCUUCGCUUUACAAGUCUUCAAACUCAUAAACCAAGUUAAAUCAAAACGUUUAUCUCUCUCACCCUUUUUGCCAUAUAAUUACUUUAUUUAUUGAAUUAAUUUCCAUGCUAAAACGAAGACUUAAAAGUGCACUACAAUUUUUUAUAAUCACAAUGGUAAUUCCUACUAUCAUGUUAUCUUAAUGUCGUGUCAAAAUAAAUUAUAAUAAAAUUUUUUUUAUAUGAACAUUUUUUUUAUUUAUGAAUUUCUUAAUUUUUAAUAUUUUUCUUACUCUUUAGUCUUAAUAUUUGUAUUUCUCUCUUCAAACUUUCUUUAUUAUUUAAUUUUUAAAGAAAAAUAUAAAAAAAGUAAGAAAAAUAUUAUACUUAAAAAAUAGUGAAUAUUUUAUGGGUCUAAUACAAGCCUGUAUUAUUUUUGACAAUGAAAGAGCACGCGAAAAAUCUCACUCAUAGAAAACUUUGUGAAAGGCAUUUGAAUGUGUGGCCACAUUUACCGAACGAAACGAUAAGGCUUUAGCCCUAUAAUUGCAAUUAGUUUGUCUUGUAACUAAAUUAUUGCCGACAAGCAGCCAUGCAUGUAAUUAGUCACAAGUUGCUUUGAAAUAAAUAGGUACUUGACAUUUGGCUCACUGAUUAUGUGUGCAAUAUUCCCGUAUUUCCCAUUACUUCCCGUACUUUAUGCAUUAUUGUUUUGUAUGUCUUUCGGUGUUUACGGUGUAGUUAGGGAUGGUAGCGGGUAGGGUCUGGUACGGGUUUGACAUCACCAAACCCGCAUCUACAAAAAAUUUUAAUUACGUAAUUCAAAUUAUAAAUUUAUAAAUAUUGCCUAAAAAAAAAUCACAUAAAAUACUUAAUUCUAGAUUUUAUCAAUGUAAAUGAAAAAUGAAAAUAUCAACAUUAAAAUAAAUACACAAAAUAUAUCAAUUUAACACGAAUUCUCAAAUUCAAUUAGCAAAUAAAUAAGUCUAUCACAACUCGAAGUGUUUUCAACUGAAAAAGAAAAAAAAGAGAAAGAGAAAAAAACAAAGAACUACAAAUCAAAGUAGCACCCAUAACCUAUUUCAUAGGCUCAUUCAACACCAAGAUUCAUUCAUUACCACUAGCACCCAUUCAACGUGGUUUUUCUAAACAAAAUAUAAAGUACAAAAUUACAAUAAGCAUAUCAUACUCCAUGCUUUAAGUUAAAGAUCCUUAUAUAAUUUUAUGAAUAAAUUUUUAGUGAAAUUUUAUGAUUAAAAUUAAAAAUACAAAUAUUAAAAUAAGAAUGUUGGACAUCUGCGCAACUAUUUGCUAUUUUUUUUUCUCUAUAAAAAUUCACCUGCAACUUACAGCAGAUUUAAAUUUAUAAUAUCAAACUUGAUUGUAGCUUGCAAAAUUUUUGGAUGUACGAUAAUUUUGCCACCCUAAGUGUAGUUAGUGUGUUUCCAAUUGGCUCCUAUAAAAAGCCUAGAAGUUGUUUGAAUAAUGAGGGAGGCAAAUAUUUCCCAAAGAUAUUCUCUUUUUCAAAUUCUUUUCUUUUCUCUAUUAUUGUAACUUCAAAUCCUUGAAAUUACAUAUUUCAAAUCCUUGACAUGAACACAAUGUUUUGACAUAGUGGCUUUUGGCUUGUCCAGAGAAAUUUAGGAUAGAUUUUGAUGUAUUAAGGCUCGUUUUACUAUUGAGAUUUUGGAACUUUUGAGCUACACUUGAAAUUUGUAUUAUUCUAAUAGAGUUGUACCCUUCGAUAUGUGAAUGGUAUUAAUCAGGUGUUAUGUUUACAGCAGUUAAAGGCAUAUUGAAUCAAAGUCCACUUUUGAUUGAGAUUUUAAAGUAGGUUUUUAAUUUGAUAGCUACUCAAGUUCAAAUAUUGGAACCACAGUGCUUUAUAACCAAGUGGGAGAACUUCUGUCCUGAAAGUUGAAGGCUGCAUACCGAGUUUUACUACCAACAAAAAUUGGUGUUAAGACUUUAGUUGCCCUCCUACUUAUAGAUAAGGGUAAUUAGGACUUUACAUCCCCUCCUGCUAAUAGAUAGGGGUUACUAGGAAUAUUAAAAAAAUGUUCAAAUAUUGAAAAAAUAGGUAUGGGUUAUAAAAUUCAUAAUACAAGAACAGUAAAUCAAGAUAAAAUUUAAAAAUUUAGAACCAUGAAAGCGUAACUUGUAAGUUUCAAAGAAGCAUGUGAAAACAUAUGCGUAUCGAUACCCAUUAAGGGUGGGCAUUAAGAUCGGGUUAACUCGAACCGAACCUUAAAUUUAUUUUGGGUUCAAUUUGAUUUUGGUUGAACCUUUCAACUGAGUUGAAAACUUAUAAACGAUUGGGGUNNNNNNNNNNNNNNNNNNNNNNNNNNNNNNNNNNNNNNNNNNNNNNNNNNNNNNNNNNNNNNNNNNNNNNNNNNNNNNNNNNNNNNNNNNNNNNNNNNNNNNNNNNNNNNNNNNNNNNNNNNNNNNNNNNNNNNNNNNNNNNNNNNNNNNNNNNNNNNNNNNNNNNNNNNNNNNNNNNNNNNNNNNNNNNNNNNNNNNNNNNNNNNNNNNNNNNNNNNNNNNNNNNNNNNNNNNNNNNNNNNNNNNNNNNNNNNNNNNNNNNNNNNNNNNNNNNNNNNNNNNNNNNNNNNNNNNNNNNNNNNNNNNNNNNNNNNNNNNNNNNNNNNNNNNNNNNNNNNNNNNNNNNNNNNNNNNNNNNNNNNNNNNNNNNNNNNNNNNNNNNNNNNNNNNNNNNNNNNNNNNNNNNNNNNNNNNNNNNNNNNNNNNNNNNNNNNNNNNNNNNNNNNNNNNNNNNNNNNNNNNNNNNNNNNNNNNNNNNNNNNNNNNNNNNNNNNNNNNNNNNNNNNNNNNNNNNNNNNNNNNNNNNNNNNNNNNNNNNNNNNNNNNNNNNNNNNNNNNNNNNNNNNNNNNNNNNNNNNNNNAGAUAUCAAAAUCACAUUCUUCAAUUCUACAAUUUCAAUUCAUCUUCAUAACUUCAACUGAAGAAUUGAUUGUAUCUCGUUUUAAUUUUUUUUUAUGUAAAGAUAAAUAUAAAAUAUAAAUGGUGAGGAGACUGAAAAAGUAAAAUCAAAAGAAGAGCACGAGUUUUAUUGAAAAUUACUUUUUUUUCAUCAUUUUGCCAGAGUGAAUGUAUCUACAUUUAAACGAAAGAAGCACAUUUGUUUGUAUUAGCUUUUUUAUUGUAUUUUUAAUAAUAAGUAAUUUUCAAUUAACUUAUAUCAUUUUUUACGAAAAUAAUAGGUGUUAGUUAGUUGAUUCAAAUGGCAAGACCUCUUGGGAUAGAGUUUGUAAUUUAGUGGCUUAUCAAUUGUUUAAAUAGGGCAUUAUUAGAGCCAAAUUAUUGUAUUUGGUUAAAAAACUCCUACUUUGCUUACAACUUUAUUAUCCUAUUAUGUUUAUUAAUAAAUAACAAUUUUAUUGAAAAAAAAACAAGAUAUGUUGAAAUGAUACAAAAAAUUUGGGUUGUAAAUCUUACUCGAAUUUAGCUUGAGAUUGGCAUUGUUAGCAUAAUAUUUGAAGAUAUAUUUUUUAAAUUAAAAAAAAAAAGAAAUUGGGUUCACACUAGUUAGUUUUAACUCAUAGUGAGAUUUAAACAAAAUCGGAAUAAUAAAUCUUGAUAUCCUAACUCAUGGAUAACAUCUACAUAAAAUAAUAAAAUCUAUUGUGUCGAAAAUAAGGGGUCUAAAGUUUGAAUUUCACUCACAUAGGUAGCAAGAGAAUCAAAUUAUUGUUAGAUUAAAUUAAUUAAAAAAAUUAUCUGAUAUACAAAACACAGCAUAUCAAAAAAAUUGAAAUAAAAGAAAAUUGAAAAGCAAAACGAUUGAGAGAACGAAAAACUAACACAAGAAAAUGCCGAUAAUUAAUUGCCUCAGCGGGCACCAACUUAAUUAUGCUUAUUAAAGCCUGGUUUAUUGUUAGAGUGCAAUUUAUGCACUAGUUUUGCAUUAUUUACUUCCCUUAAUAUCAAUGUUUUGCACUUAAUAAUAGUGAUUUACUUGUGUUUUACUUUUGUAGGUGCAAUUCUAUUAAUUGGUGAUAAAAUUAAGCUAAAAGAUGAUGUUUAAGGAGGAUUGUUCUCUUGGAGAAAUUAUGAGCGUCGAAGAACUUUGUUGAUAAGGCAUGGGCACGUGCUGUCAACUGCGGACCUGCAGUUUUUAGUUUAAACGUGUUUUGUAUUUUUGGCUAUUUUUGUAAUUACGAAUUUAAUAUUUCAGAUAUUAGUAUUUUAUUUUAAAUAGAACUCUAAAAGAGAAGAGAGAGAGAGAGUAUUUAAGAGAGGAAUCUAUUGUGAAAAAUGUAUUUACGCUUUAAUUUUUAUGUGAGCUUUGAUUAUCUUACAUUAGGGACAAUGUAAGUUCUUGGUGUGGGGGAGGGAUUUUUGCAUUAUUGAUGUCUGGAAGUAUUAUUUUCACUCUACUCAUCUAUUUUCAUUCUACUCAUCCUUAAAUGAUUUUGGAGUUAGUAUGCUUCAUAUAUUAUUAAUUUUCUUUUCUUUUCUUUCUCACUACUCUUUUCCCAUCUAUUUUUUUUACUACAUACAUCUUUCUCGCUUAUUAUCCUUUUUACCUUUCCUUUUAUUUCUCACUCAUACCUUCUUCUCAUUCUAUACCACUAUUGAUGGUUGAUUCAUUUGAAGAGUGUACAUGAUUUGAUAACAAAUUUACCAACUUUGUGAGGAUUUGAGCCUAUGAGCAACCACUUUGCUCUAAUAUUUUUGUUAUGUGAAUAUCAAUCUUAGUUUUUUUAUUCUAGAACUUGCUUUGUUAUGCAUGUUGAAGCCGCAUUACGGGAUUUUAUGCAUUAAAAUGAUAAGGGCAAACCCUUUUCCAUUUUUCUAUUCUCGCAUUUUUUUUCUCUACCCGAAGACCUUUAUUUGCUAUCUUUGUUUGAGCCUUAACCAUUACCCAUCUAAUCCUCUCCGUCUACUUAACCAUUUUUCUUCUUUUUGAGCCUCAAUUUAAGGAGAUUUUUGGACUCAUUGUGUGGAUAUAUUUUGUGUUUUUUUUACCUUGUAUUAAAGUUUCUCAAUUAGAUCAACAAGCAUUAUGCUUGAAUUAAAUUGUGCAAGGUUCGUUUCUUUUGUUUGAUUAAAAAAAACAAAAAAUAAAAAACAAAAAAAAGGAAAAAGAAAAAAAAGAAAAAGAAAAAAAAUCGAAAAAAAAUCGAAAAAAAAAAUUAAAAGUUUACAUUCUUGGUGACUUGAGUAGAAAUAAGCAUUUUGAUAUCAUAAGUUCAUUCAAUGAGUUCAUUCUUCUCAUUUUGAUAUCUUUUUCUCUUUCAUGGACCUUUCUUUUUCAUUUAACCUAUUUAACCCCAUUGCAACCCUUUUAAGACCCUUAGAUUUUUGCAUUUUAUUCAUGUUGUGGAUUGAGAUGUGAUAUAUGAGCAAGCUUAUGGUAAUAGCAUUCUUUGAUUUGAUUUGAGUGAAUAAAUGACACCCUAAACACUUUGAGUGCAUGGAGUGAAGUCAUUGAGAGGGCUAUUAAAUCUUGUUGCACUUGAAUUUUGAAUGUAUCUUCUUGGUGGUUGAAUGUUCUUAUUCUAUCUUAUGAGAUUCUAUGCUUUAAAAUCCUUGUCUCUCGAAUGUUGAUCGACUUAAUUUCUUGAGGUAUGGUUGCUUAGAAUUAUUUAUGGAUGAGUUGAGAUGAGAAUUGAGUGGAGAUUUGGGAUUAGUCUUGAGUUAUAUGCUUGAGGACAAGCAUCAUCUUGGUGUGGGGGAAUUUGUUAGAGUGCAAUUUAUGCACUAGUUUUUAAUUAUUUACUUCCCUUAAUAUCGAUGUUUUGCACUUAAUAAUAGUGAUUUACUUGUGUUUUACUUUUGUAGGUGCAAUUCUAUUGAUUGGUGAUAAAAUUGAGCUAAAAGAUGAUGUUUAAGGAGGAUUGUUCUCUUGGAGAAAUUAUGAGCAUCAGAAGAACUUUGUUGAUAAGGCGUGGGCGCGUGCUGUCAACUGCGGACCUGCAGUUUUUAGUUUAAACGUGUUUUGUAUUUUUGGCUAUUUUUGUAAUUACGAAUUUAAUAUUUCAGAUAUUAGUAUUUUAUUUUAAAUAGAACUCUAAAAGAGAAGAGAGAGAGAGAGUAUUUAAGAGAGGAAUCUAUUGUGAAAAAAAUGGGGAUUUUAGAUUGAAGAAAAGAAAGAAACCCUAGAUCUAAUUUUUCUCUUCUCUCUAUGAAGAACUAAACUUAUUUUUCUGGUUGAAGGUUAAUGAAGCUUUGAUUCAUCACUACUGUGAGAUCUUUCUUAUGCUUUAAUUGUUUUAUUACUCUUUGGGUAUUUGUUUAUUCUCUGAAUUAGUUUCAUGAUUAUGUUUGUUAAUUAGGUAAUUGGCCACUAUUUAAUUAUCAACUUAAUCUAUUGUCAAUUAAAGGAUUCAUCGUAUGAAGAAUUUAAUGUUUGUGACAAAUAACAUAGCAGAGAGUUGUGUUGUGAGAAUAAACAAUCUAAUUUAAAUGAAUCAUCAUAUGUGUUGAUUAGGAUUUGGGUCUCUUUGGUUUUUCAGGCUGUCAAUUGAUUAAAUCCUAUGAUCGUAUCUAGGAUUGUCUAUUGAUUAGGGAAAUAACCAACGGUCGUACCUUGGUUAUCGACUAGUUAAGGAGAGAUUGGCUAUUAGAGGGUCUCAGUAGUUAUAACCGGUCUAUUCAUAAGUAAUAAUAAUCUAUAUUUGAAUCAAUGAUCAGUAGUCGAAUCAAGCUGAGUUAAUUCCUUCAACCAGAGCUUUCUCCAAUUUGAAUCACAACUUUAAUUUACAUUCUCGUUAUUUUAAUUUAAUUUUUAUUAUUGUCAACAAAACCCCCAUUUUAUGUUUUACGUUUUAAAAGGAUUUAAAUAAUUACCGAUCUCUGUGGACACGACCCUGCUCAAUCACUAUACACAAUUUAUUUAGAGUAAAAAUUUAUUUUUGUUGGCUUCGACACCCACCAGUUAUUUCAUUUUCAUUGAUAAUCAUUUUGACACCGGUCAAAUUUAAAAGUUUAAAUAAUGGGGGCCAUUUUUCUUUCCAGCUAUGCCCAUUAGCUAAUAAAAGAACCGCCGAAAGGGUUCGGGGAUAAUAUAGUAAUAUGAUUGAUAAUCAUUUUGGAGCUGAGUAUUCUUCGUUCCACAUUUUGGGUUUUGGUUGACCAUAUUUUAAUACUUUUUCUGGAAAACAAAUAUAUAUUUAGUGACUUGUAAUGGGUGCAACUCAUGUUUUUGAAACAUUAACAUCUUUACUUACUUACACUAAUGCGGCAACUGCUGCUUGCUUUUUUUUUUUUCCUUUUGCUUUUGGUUAAUAAUAAUAAUAAUAAUAAUAAUAAUAAUAAUAAUAAUAAUAAUAAUAAUAAUAAUAAUAAUAAUAAUAACAACUUUUUAAUUUAAUAUAUUAUUAAAUAAUAUUUUUAUUUUUAUUUUUACAUUAUAAUUUAUUAUAACUAAUAAUAAAUAUUUAAUUUUGAAUAAUAUUAAUUUAAAAUUAAUAAUAUUAUAAAUAAUAAUAUAAACUAUUAAUACAAUUUAAAUAUAUCAAUAUAAUAUAAUAUUUAAUUUAAAUUAAUCACAAAAAAUUAAUACAAUAUAUUAUAAUACCAAAUAUUAUACAAUAUUACUAUAAUACAAUUAUGAUACAAUUUGAGGGAGAUUGUCAGCUUUUUCGGAUUAAAAAUAAUAUAUACCACUUACUCUAUUGUUUUUAUAAUGUUCAACAAUCCCCUUGAGAAAAAAAAAAAACGAAAAGAAGGAAUAAAUAGAUGAUUUGCUUGAUAUUGUAUCUUAGAAAUAUAAAAUAUAUAUUUAUUAUUAAAAGUAUUUAAAAAUAAUAAAGAGUACAUAAAAAAUAUCUUAUCCUCAACAACAAGAUCAGACGACGUCAAUUCAGCAAAAUGACUUGUACAAUUUGAAAGUCCAGCAACGGUCACCUCUUAAUGUUAUUUUUACUAUAUUAUAUUGAUAUUUUGUUUUGUUAAUCAUAUAAGUCAAUCAAUAAUUAUUUAAUCAUUAGAAUUAAAACUAAUGUAUUAAUUAAAAUUCAAAAUCUAUUAUAAAAAUAGUAAAUAUUAAUACAAAGAGAUGGACAUAUUACAAAAUACAUUCACCAAAAGUUCUAUUAUACUUAAAAUUCUCAUUCACAAAAAAAUAAUAAUAGUUGAAUACAUGUACAAAAAAAGGGGAUAAAUAAAAAAUAAUAAUAAUAAAUAAUAAAAGGAUAGUUUAUAUAAUAAAAAAUAAAUUUAUUGAAUAGGGAUGUUAAUAAUAAAGAAUAAUAGCCGAUCAAACUCACUUUACAAUAAACUGAGAAAUCAAAAUCACAUUCUCCGAUUCUACGAUUGACUCUUUUUCAUCAUUUUACUGGAGUGAAUGUAUCUAUAUGUAUUGGGGACCAUAAUGGAAACUGAUAGAACCUACAAGGGCUAAAAUUAGAACAACGAACGAUAUCUCAAAGUCGCCGAAACGUAAGUAAUUAAUCUUAUCUUUCAAUUGAUUUUUUGUGGAGACAGAGACAAACCCGAACAGCAAAUAGCCAUAAAUGAUAGGACAAUUAAAUUGGAACUCUCCGCGGACCCACGAUUUAAUAUCUUUAGAUUGUAACGGUUUAACCAAAAAAAAAACAAUUUUAGUAAAAUAUUUCUUAAAAAAUGAAAAAAAAUGUUGAAAAGAAGAACAAAAUUGUGGUCCACGUGUCAUUUCAAAAUAGGUUGCUGGCAUAAACAACCGUCCCCAUCUCGGACAGAUGUUAUUUGAGUGGUUGGUGCGCGUUUCCACUUUUUUGUUUUAGAUGCAACGACUCAUGCACUAUAUAUAUAUAUAUAUACGUAAUUUCUAUCUUAUAUAUGUAUAAGAUACAUUCUUUAUCUUUUAUCUCCCUUAUAGAAUAAUAUAUGUGUGGAAUUUAUAUAUAUUGUUCAUAUGAAAAAAAUAUAUCUUAUAUGCAUGAUAGAAUAAUCCAUGAAUCUAAUGUUAUUAGUUUAAAUAAUGGGUGCAACUCAUGUUUUUGAAACAUUAAGAUCUUUAGUCAUUCUGUUACUAUCCCGUGGUUAUUUAAGUUACAAGAGACAGUAAAAAAACAACGUCAUAUUUUAAUUACUUACACUAAAUAAAUUACUCACACUGAUGCCGCGUCUGCCGCUUACUUUUUUUCUUUUUUUUUAUCCUUUUGCUUUUGUUUUUAACUUUUACUUUUACUUUUUGACUUUUGCUUUUGGUUUAUUAUAAUAAUAAUAAUAAUAAUAAUAAUAACUAUUUUUUAAUUUAAUAUAAUAUUAAAUAAUAUUUUAUUUUUAAUUUUACAUUAUAAUUAUUAAUAUAUAAUUUAUUAUUCAAUAUUAUUAUAUUAUGUUUUUUAUUUUUAAUUAUAAUUUAUUAAUAAAUUUAUAAUUUAUUAUAACUAAUAAUAAAUAUUUAAAUUUAAAUAAUAUUAAUUUAAAAUUAAUAAUAAUAUAAAAUAUUAAUACAAUUUAAAUAUAAAUUAAUAUUUAAUUUAAAUUAAUCACAAAAAAUUAAUACAAUAUAGUAUAGCACCAAAUAUUAUAUAUUAUUAUUAUAAUACAGUACUAAUACAACAUAAUAUAAUAUAAUACAUUAAUAUUAAAAUAAUAUAAUACAGUAUGCGAAAUGAACCGAAAUGGUAUUACUUUGUUUGUCUUGUUAUUUACAAUUAUUUAAUCUGUAGACCCACUCAUGCUCCUUCUAUGCAACAUAGAUACAAUUUGAGGAAGAUUAUCAAUUUUUUCUGAGAAAAAAUAAUAUAUACCACUUACUCUUUAUUGUUUUUAUAAUGUUCAACAAUCCGUUUGAGAUGAAAAUAAAUAAAUAAAAAGAAGGAGUAAAUAGACGAUUUGCUUGAUGUUGUAUCUUAGAAAUAUAAAAUAUAUAUUUAUUAUUAAAAAUAUUUAAAAAUAAUAGAGAGUUCAUAAAAAAUAUCUUAUCCUCAACAACAAGAUCAGACGACGUCAAUUCAGCAAAAUGACUUGAACAAUUUGAAAGUCCAGCGACGGUCACCUCUUGGCACACAUACGGCAACGUGUGUAGCAUUGGCAAGAGGUCUCCCAGAAGGACGAUUAAGGAAAGAUUGCAAGACAAAAUCAUGAAAAUAGUAGUACAGAUAUGCAAUAUGCUAAAUUGUCCUCGAUUGAGUCAAUCGCAAUCAAGUCUUAGAAAUCGCACCCCUGUAUUAAUUUCCAGAAAUAUGUUUGUUCCAUAUUUAUCGUGCACGUAUACAUUGUAUGUAUUGGGAAUAGAAAGAGUGUAUGAAAAAAAAUUCUUCAUUCAUCGAUUAAAACUUAAAUUAUGUACGAGGGUUAAGCGCAGCGUUUUUAAAUUUAAAAAGCACAAGUGUCAAUCCACUAAGGUUUGGUCCAAUGGCUAGAGUCACUCCCUCGCGAAAUGAUUAGAGCUCCCACAAAUGUAUUGUACAAGUUUAAUUUAAAUUUUCUUCCUCAAAACUUAAGUGAAGACAUUAUUUUUCAUAGAAGUAGAGUUUUUCUAGGAGUUUGACAUCCCUCAAAUAUUAAAAGAAUUAAAAUCUGAACGAUACUAUAUAAAAUAUAAUUUAAACUGAUCUUAAUAAUUAUAUAAUUAUAAAUAUAAUGAGCAACAGUCUCGUUAAAAAAACAGAUCAAGUGUCAUGAGCCCAUUUAAAUUAACUAAUAUUUGAGGGGGAAAUCUCUGUAUACCAUAGUAUAUAUUCUAUAUCCAGUCAUGGGACCCAUACACGGAUGGUUCCACGUAAUUCGCAGAGUUGAACUGGAGACACUGAUUAGUUCGUUGUCUACUUACCAACUUAUGUACAACUAAGUAAUUGCAUGCACCAUUUGCGACUUAUCUAUCCACCCUGCUUGCAUUGCAUUAACUACGUCACCAAUCACCCACGUCCGCUACUUGUGUGAACGUGUAUAUAAAUACAUAUAUCCGCAGCAUAUUAUCAAACCAGAAUCAGAAGCAACUUAAGUUUUGUUCAUUAGGUUUAUGUUUAUCAACAUGAUAUAUUGUCAAUCAUAAUCGCAAUCAAGUUGUUAAUUAUUUUUUAAAUAAUGUGAAGGAACAAGAUUUUGGCCUUUGAGUGUCUGGUUAAAAAUAUCUCACCUCAAUGUACGGUGUUGUGCUCUCAUCAUCGUACUAUUAUUUGUUAAAAGUAUGUCAAAGAGGAAAGCAGAUUCAAACAUUACUUCAAUUUUAUUUAAGAGAAUAAAAAAAUCGUUAAUAGGCUACUGUUAUUUGUUAGUACGAUUUCACAAAAAAAUCGGUUUCUUAAACAACUCCAACUACAAUUUUUUUUUUACAAAUUUUUGAAUUAUUAAAUCAUAUGUGUGUGUAUAAAUUGAAUAGAAUUAAAAGUGGACUCAAAUGGCUAUUAUGUAAUUUUUUUAUAAUUAAAGAAAAGUUUAGAAUGUAAAAGUGUGUGUGAGAAAACAAAAAAUAUAAAUCACCUUUGAUGUAGUUGUACGGUUGUAAAGAGUUAGAUGGAGAAAUAUAGUAUAUAAUUAAAUUUAUUUUGUUCCUUAAAACGGGUAGGUUUUAUAAGAAUUUUCCAGAGGAGUGCUAAUAUUUCAACUUUUUUUCAAAUGAAGUGAUGUCCUGGAAUAAAAUCACUACUCUAUCAUUGCUAUUAGUUUGUCUUGUAUUUCAAUAAUUGUCGACAAGUAUUAAUUGUGAAUAUUAUUGUUUUAAAAAUUUUAUUAUUAUUAUCGUCGUUAUUCUUAACAGUAAUGACUAGAAUUAUAAUAAAAACAAUAACGUUAAUACAAUAAUAUAACAACAUAAUAAUAUUUUAAUUGAGAGGAUAAGAAUGAAAUUAUGAAAUUUAGGUUGGGUAAAAAUGAUGAGUAUGAGGAAAUUAAAUUACCAUUUUUUAAGCUAAACAAUUCAUAAAUUCCACAUAUUUCAUUCGUAUUUCUCUUAUAUUUUAACAAGUAAACAUUAUCAAUAAUUUUAAUAUUUUAAUUAAUAAACACGGCGUUAACUACGGAACUAAAAGAUCAAAAAAAAAAAAAAAAACAGAGACGCGUGUAUGUAUUGCUUGUGACAAAUCUCACCCGUGGAAAACUUUGUGAAAGGCAUUUGAAUGUGAGGCCACAUUUAAUGAACGAAACGAUAACUUUAAAAGAGAGUAUGUACUGUGUUAAUUAUUAGGCUUUAGCUUAAUGAUUGCAAUUAGUUUGUCUUGUAAUUAAAUUAUUGCCGACAAACACUAUCACGACCCACGUCCGCUACUUGUGUGAGUGCGUGUAUAAAUAUCCGCAGCAUAUUAUCAAACCUGAAGCGUACUAAUAAAGUAUUGGUUCCACUACAAUAGAGUCUCCUUAAGUGGUUUUGAUUGGGUUUGCUCCUCAGUUCGAGUCGCAGAAAAGUCACCUUUGUUGGGAGAACCUGUGCCUCUCAGUUCGAGCGGGGAUUUCUAGUCUGGAUUGUGAUACAGGCUUAAAGGUGCCUCCCACAGUUGGGGCCCUCCCCAGAAUACCUCGUUGUCAAAACCAAAAAAAAAAAAAAAAUCAAACCUGAAGCGUGAUCAUCUUUAAGUUUUGGUUAGGGUUGAUCAGACGUUGGAAGAUAUCUUUCCUAAUUUAAAGAAGAUGGAAACUCCUUAUCCAGGUUCUUAGGCCAUGUUCAGUUGAAUGUCAUUUAUAAUUUUUAUUUUAACAUUAUGUAUUUAUGAAUACAAUUAUUGUUUAUUUUAACAUUAUGUAUUUAUGAAUACAAUUAUUGUUAUGAUUUUUUCAGGUAAGAAUGGGUGGUCUGAGGGUAACCCAAUAACUAUGUACAAUAUUAUUAAUGAUGAGAGUGUGAAUGACAAUUUGGAUUUUAUUCUCGUCCCUCAAUACAGAAGAAAUCUUGACCAUAGCGGUUAAUUGCUAUGUAACUCUUUCGUAUUAUGUUUAAUUAAUAAUAAAAUGAUGGGUUAUUAUUACCUGUCAAUUAUGUGAGUGUCUCUGCUUGAUUUAGUUCACUUAUAAAAUAUCUUAAGAUAUACAAGAGAUUUUCUUUAUUUACUUUCAUGUACCGCGUCUUCUUGUAAAAAGAAACUAAUAAAAAAAUAUCAUUGUGUGCAAUGUAUUGACUAAGUUAGUGUAUUCAUGUUAGCUUAAUUGUGCUCUCUCUUCUUGAUUUUUUUGUUUUUUUUGGUUAAAACAAACUCCACAUAUUGUUGGUUAGCUAAUUCUUGCAGCUAGCAAGUGAUCCUUUUCUUUCCCCUACUGCCUGCCGUAGCAUCAAAUCCUGACAAUUAUAUAUCAAGUGGUAUUCGAGCCGUCAAAUGAUCCUUGGAAACACGCAACAAAUCAAAUGCUGAAUUUUGCCAAGAGAUUCACGAAAUCCUUGCUAGACAUGUCUUUUGUCCAGUUUAUUUCAAACUACGCGAGCAAUGUUCCCGUUACUGUUUAGUAUGUCUUUUGUUGUUUGCAAUGUAGUUAGGGAUGUUAGCGGGUAGGGUUUGGUACGGAUUUGACAUUACCAAAAGCCGGAUCUGUAAAAAAAAUUUAAUUAUCAAAUUCAUUGUGGGUUUUAUUUAUUCAUUUUUUUCCUCUUAACAAAGCCCAUCAGCUGCGGGUUUGAAUGGUACCUAGUGUAUAUUUUUGUGAGUUCCCACGUAUAAAAUCACACUUGCAACAAAACCUAAAAGUUAAAAUUAUGUAAUUCAAAUUAUAAAUUUAUAAUCGUAGCCUAAAAAACCACAUAAAAUACUUAAUUUUAGAUUUUAUUAAUGUAAAUGAGAAAUGAAAGUAAAACAUUAAAAUAAAUACACAAAAUAUAUCAAUUUAACAAAAAUUUUAAAUUUUAAUUACCAAAUACAUAAGUCUAUCGCAACUUAAAGUGCUUUCAAUUGAAAACGAAAAAAGAGAAAGAGAAAAAAAAAGAACUACAAAUCAAAGUAGCACCCGUGACCCAUUUCCCAGUCUCAUUCAAUACCACUAGCACCCAUCCAACGUGAUUUUUCUAAACAAAGUAUAAAGUACAAAAUUACAAUAAGCAUAUCAUACUCCAUGCUUUAAGUUAAAGAUCCUUAUAUAUUUUUAUGAAUAAUUUUUUCAUGAAAUUUUAUGAUUAAAAUUAAAAAUACAAACAUUCAAAUAAGAAUGUCGGACACUUGCGCAACUAUUUACCAAAAUUUUUCUCUAUAAAAAUCGACCUGCAACUUUCAAUAGGUUUAAAUUUAUAAUAUCAAACCUAAUUGCAGCUCGCAAAAAUUAUCUGUUGCGGCCAAGACUUUGGAUUUGCGAUGAUUUUGCCACCCUAAGUGUAGUUAGUAUUGUAUAUCAUGUGGCUCUUAUAAAAAGCCUAGAAGUUGUUUGAAUAAUGGGGGAGACACAUAUCUCCCAAAGAUUUUCUCUUUUUCAAAUUAUUAUUUCUUCUCUAUUAUUGUAACUUCGAAUCCUUAUAAAUUACAGAUUGGAGACAUGAACACAAUGUUUUGACAUAGUGGACUUUUGACUUAUCCAGAGAAAUUUAGGAUAGAUUUUUAUACACUAAGGUUCUAUUUACUAUUGAGGU